rnacentral:lncRNA from 1 species
AACCAAAACCCAAAAAACCUCUCUCUAACUUUCUCUCUCUAAAAAUUCUCUCAACUCAUCUCUGAUGCCCUUCUUUCUUCAUCAUCCCUAAACGGCCUUUAUGGCCCCUUCGGCCGCCGGUGAUGGCGAUCGGUCAUCACCGGUAAACACACUACCCCCGAGAAGAGUUUCACAGGUUCUUGGAUCCACCUGGGAAAUCUUUUAGGAAGCCUCCAAAAUUCACCAACGAACCACCACCUGACCUAAGGCUACCAUCACCACCAGAACCUAAGCCGAGACGAUCAAAGAGAUUACUCAACCAACGGAAAACAGCCCAUAAUCCACAUAUACAAUUACCACAUACCCUUACGAACCACCCUGAAGGAGAGUCACCACCAACAUCCACUGCCUCUAUCCUUUCUAAACUUCGUCAGCCAUCGAUUACGGUUAAUGAUCAAGAAGAAAUGUCAGAAGAUCAUGAACAAGGCGCUCCACCUCUCCAUGCAAAUAGCUUCCAUGGCGGCCAAGAGGAUGAAGAAAAUCGCCGUGAGGAAACAAAUCAGUCACCCCCUCAUAAAGGUAAACACCGAAGUCAAUCUCCGACCAAAGGCUUCACCUCCAACCAUGAACAAUCGCAACUUGGUAAAUCUCAAGAUCCAACCUCCAUCGCCCUUGUACAAGAUCCACAACAACUCACGGCUGUUAACCUUGUAACCACCGUGAAUAGCCAAGAUGAAGCUUCUCAACCACCCUUGGAUUGCACACCUUUUGGUCCAAAAACGGCAUCUCCCAAAAGUCAGCAAAGAGAACUAGCUUUAGUCCCACUCACAUGCAAAAUUCCCGAAAUUACCUCACAAAUUUUGACUACAUGCAAUCAUGCCCACCAUUCUCUACCAACGCCAACACAUUCCCAUUUUUUUUUUUUAAAUUAUUAUAAAUUUGAAAUAAAUUAAUAAUCAACAAAUUAUUAUAAUAAUAAAUAAAUUAAAGAAAAUGAAUAUUUUAAAGUAAAAUAAUAAAUAAAGCAAAUAAAAGCUCAUAACUUUAAUUUUUUUAAAUAUUGGAUUCUCUCAUUCCAACGCUCUAUUAAUUAUUUCACACAAAAGAGAGUUUAAUAUCAUAAUUUUAACUUUUUGAAUCAUUAUUAAUUUAUAAAUUAAGAAUUUAAGUUUUUUUUAAGUUACUUUUUAAUUUUAAGUUACUUUUUAAUUUUAAUUAUAUUAUUCUAAUUUAUAAAUUUAUUUUUUUAAAAAAACUGUGGGUCUAGGCCUAGCCCGAACUUUUUUUGCCCACCCGACCCACCACUCACACCUCUUUCCAUGUUUCGACCCCCACCACUCACAUUUCUUUGCAUGCUUUGGCCCCCACCAAUCCACAAACACAAGUCCACAAACAAAGCCCUACCAACUCUUAUCAUGGAAGCCCACCACAUAACCACUCAAACCUUCAAGCCCAUAUUCAACAUUCAGCAGCCCAUUCCAUAAAUAACAAAACACAAACUCUUAACCCACGAGCCCAAAAUCAAAAGCAACCCAUUCAACUCCAGCAAGGCCAAUCCUCCAAUUUAAGCCCACAAGUUCAAAAUCAAGCCCAAUCAACUAAUCCCUCUAAUCCAUUAAACCAUAACCAACCUCAAAGUCAGCCCACUUCUAUUCCAACAUAUGCUUUAGUUUUGAAUUUCGCUCCUAAUCGGAAUUCAAAUUGGCCGAUCAAAAAAAUCUUUGCUAAUAUUAUGAAUGGAUCCACAUCUCCAACAGUUCCCAUCAAGACCAUCUCUUCAUACGAGGGAGAGCCCAACGUACAUUUUUCUGUAGUGGAAGUCAAAGCGAUGGCUAUUCCAUUCAAACUGACUUUAGUCGUAAGUUUUCCUACAAUCGCCCUUGUAUGGAAUUAAUUUGAAAUUUUUUUUUCAUCAUUGGGAUUAAAAGGAAAUUCUCAAAUUUCUCUCUUAGAUAACCGUCAUGUUUUAAUUAAAUUGGAUGUCGAGGAAGACUGCACCCGUCUGUGGGUUAAGCAGACAUGGUACGUUAGUGGAAGUGCCACGAGCAUAUUUAAAUGGACCACAUAUUUUUGGUAUUCUGAGGAAUCGCCCGUUGUUCCGGUAUGGAUUUCACUUCCCUAUUUGCCUAUUCAUUUUGUGCAAUGCACGGAAGCAUUAUUUUCUAUUGCAUUAGUAAUUGGUAAGCCUUUUCGAAUCGACCAAGCCACUGCCUCAUUAUCACGACCCUCUGUAGCUAGGGUUUUAAUAGAAUAUGAUGUCACUCAACCACCGCUAUGACAGAUUUAAAUCGGUGUGGGUAACUCUGGAUUUUGGCAGAAUGUAGUGUAUGAGAAAAUCCUACUUUAUUGUGCUUCAUGCAAGCAUCUUGGCCAUGAUGUUGAGACAUGUUAUGUUGCCAAUCCAGGACUUCGUCCCCAACGGCCAAAUGGGACCAGUCAGAAUAGCAAGGAAAAGGGUAAGGAAACAAGAGAAGCCUUCAGACACUCCACAACAUACUCCCAGUCCAAACCCAGAGUGUUUGAGCUUGGCCCUGCAGAUCAUGGACACUGGGUCUCCGAUCACCAUGAUUUCUCCUGUGGAGAACUAAGCUGAUAAUACAGGAGCCAUCGACGUUCAGGAUUCUAGAGCACAGGUUGAGCCAAGUGAUCAAGGCGUAUCUCUCCGACAGACCAUCAGGACUCUAGAUUAUCGGGCAUCUAAAUGCUUUCGAUCUUUAUCGGAUGAUUUUGGCAUGACAGUUGUGGGCUUCAACACCCACUUUACCGAUAUUCCUGCACAAUCUGACGAGGAUAAUCGUGGGGAUGAGCUUCAACAUUUUAGGUAUCUUGUGAACUGCAAUUUCAUAACAACGAACACGACGAGUUCUCGGGCCAUGAUGGUUCCUUCCUGUCUGCACCUGAGGACACCGAGAGACAUGAUCUGAACCCUAACUUUAGUGUUACUCAGGAACAUUCUAGGAAGGGCUUCAAAUUACUCACCGGUCGCAAAUAUCAAAAAUAAUUUUCUGGUAGACUUCAUUAGUAGCGGAUCGACAUUUGUAUUUUAGAUAUUAGGCUUUGCCUUAGUUGAAGCAGUUUCAGGUUGUUCUAUUUCUUUAACUUGGAGGUUUAGGUUCAUGCCCUCUCCAUAUGUAUUUUUUCAUUUAUCGUUUAACAUUACAGGUAGGGGGAAAAAAACUAAUGGAUUGAAACAUUAAAUAACUUGAAUUUAAGAAUAAAAGCCUCAAUUUUAAACUGUUAAUGCCCGAAAAUUAAAGGAAUAUGUUUAUCGAAUCAAGAUUAUAUAUCUUCAAUUUCUUUUAAUUUACAAAUAAUUGUAGGUAUUGAAAAAUGUUUUAGAAAAAUACCAAAAUUUCCAAAUUAAUAUAAUAAUAUUUUGAAAGAAAAGAGUUUAUUUUUACUAUUACAUUAUCUUGUAAUUACCUACUCCCCAAUCACCCACCUUCGCACUCUCAGCUACUUAAUUCUUUACAUAUACAUUACAUAUAUAUUAAAUCAGACCAGAAGCAAGAACUCGCAAAAGCAACUUAAUUACUUUAAAUGUUUUAUUCCGGAAGCCGAUGCCUUUUCUGAUUUGAAGAUUAUGGAAGGACUAGGAUUCUUUUCUUAUCUGAGCUCUCUUAAGCUUUUAAUAAUCUUAUGUUAUUUGUCAUUUAAUAAGAGUGGAUGGAUAUAAUUUAACUUCUUUAUUUUUUUUAUUUACUAAUCACCAAUCAACGCGUGAAUUUGUAUUUAGGAGAAGUCAAAUCAAGAGAGGAUCUCAAAGCAUUAUCGGAAGCUAUAUGUGUAGGUUUUUCGACCAAUUUCAAUUGAAUAUUGUUUUUUAAUUCUUAUUUUGAUAUGUGUAUUUAUGAUUAAGUUUUCAAAUAUGAAUUUUUCUUGGAUAAUGAUUGGUGGAAGAGGAUCGUCCUAAUAUUUCCUCGUCUCAAUACUGCUGACGAUGACAUUUGCUAGUGACAAUCUUGAUAUAUAUGUUGGCAUUCAAUGUAAGAGAAAUCUCGACCAUACAGGUUAACUGCAAUGUUACUCUUUUAUGUUAUGUUUAAUUAAAUAAAAGAGAGAUUGCCAAUUUUCUUCUUACUAAAAUAAAUAUAUACCACUUACCACACUAUUGUUUCAUAAUAGCCAAUAAUCCCCCUAACAACAUAAUUUUACUGUAUUACUUUUAUUUACAAAUACACUUCUAAUCUAGAUUUGCUUAUUUGCUACUGAUGCAAUUCUAAAGCUGGUUAACAAAGCAGCUAGUGAUCAUCAUUGUUAGCAAAAUAGAGAGAGCUAUAAGAGAGAGAAAGUUCUAGCUUGUUUUCUAUAAUCUCUUAUAAUUUCUUUAUAAAAGAUUCUCUAUUGAUCGUCAAAAAAAAGAUCACCAAAAAACUUCUCCCGUGGAUGUAGGUUGUGCCAAUCUUGGUACAGCUGAACCAUGUAAAUUCAAAUCACUCUUUGGUUCUUGGAUGUGAUUGUUUUCAAUUUGGGGUUUUGUUUGUCAAACUUGUUGUUUUGAAUUAGAAUGGGAGCCUUGCUUGUUACUUAAGGAUUAGAAGAUGCAACUGAACCAGUAUCCAAGAAAGAAGGAAAAGAAGUUCCAUCAUCCAAGCCUUGCUUGUUUCUCGUGAUUGAAGUGCUAGAUACAAAAAUCUGUCAUUCAUUUACAUAGGAUUACAUCGUUUCCCUUAAAUGUAAUUGUUUUACUGGAUAUUUUGGUAAUACAAUUUUUUUUUAAAAAUAAUGGUUGUCAAGAGUAUUUGGAUAGGUUUAAAUAGCCCCUUGCUUGAUUGUUUAAAACUUUACUUAUGCAUUCUCUGUCUAUGCUUGAUAAACACUUUCAUAAUAUGUAGAAAUAUUUUCACUAGUUAAAUUCCCUUUAAAGUUUAUAUUAUCCUUUACGAUGUUAAAAUUUUAAUGACACUUUUUUAAAAUUAAAUGAGACAUCUGCAUACAAAUGAACUAAUUAUAAUUUAGACAAUUGUCAAAAUUUUAGCUGACGAUAAUUGCUACAUUUAUUUGUCAAUUUCAAUUAACAUCUUAAACCAAGAGAAAGUUAUAUGAAAAGUUUAUAAGAGAUCCACAGGGUUAAAAAAGGAAUGGGACUAUUUGAUCUCAUAAUUUUUCUUUUAACAUUUAUUUUCUUAAGAAACCCAUUAUUAAAAUUUAAAACUCGAGUUUUUACUCUAGACACCCUCUAUACUUCAAAAAAUUACCUUAAUUGAAGAUAGACGCUUCAGUUACCUUUUUCCUUCUUGCAAAAUUUUUCUACAUUGCAACCACUUUUUAUCACUUUUACUGUUGUUCUCACUUUUUUGUUUCAUCUCAACAACAUAUUUAAGUUGUUCUCUUUCCAAACCUCCAUGUGAUCACGCAUAUUAAUAAGGAGAAUGAGAUAAAAAAAUUUAAUAUGUCAAAAAGUGGCAUGCCGACACCACCAUUCUAGAAGGCGGUGCCCACUAUUGUUAGAGUAGGAGGUGUUGCCGUGUUGCCUCCUUCUUCGACCCAAAGAAAAAGACAAAAUGUACAGUGACGAAUAAUAGCCAUUGAAGGAGGAGGUGUUGCCUCCUUCUUUACCCCAAAGAAAAACCCAUAAAAUGUACAGUGACGAAUAAUAGCCACUUGGUGGCUAUAAAUAAAGAGGUUCAUUCCCUCAUUUGAUUCAUCCCCAAAUUCCUCUUCAAUUAUUAGACAAAAAUAUAGAAUUGUACGGGAGUUUGGGAGUUUUAAUACUCUUGUGUGAUUAGUGAUUUAAGAGAUUCAGUGUGUUGGGGUUCUGGGUAGUGAGCCAAAAAUAUUACAGUACUUGCUACCCUCAUUUCACUAAUAAAGUUUUAUCCUUCUAUUUUUGCGCAUGAACGUGAGCUAAAAGUUGAACCAAAUGUUUUCUAUGUAGUAAUUUCUUCCAAUUUCAUUUUAGCUAUGGGCCUGCUUCACACAUCAAUUUCCUAACAGUGAUAUCAGAGCUUCAGCUUGUAUUUUUGGGUUAGGGCACUAUUCACACAUAUGACACUGUACUGUUCAUGUAUAUGGUUACUGUUCAUGUGAAAUGGUAGGAGCCGCAACUCAUUGUAAGAAACAAUGGCGAAAAAAUAUGAAAUUGAGAAGUUCAAUGGAAAUAAUUUCUCAUUGUGGAAAAUGAAAAUAAAGGCUAUUUUAAGGAAAAACAAUUACUUGGCAACAAUUGAAGAAAGGCGUAUGGAGAUAACUGAUGAUACCAGGUGUAACGAGAUGGAUGGUAAUGUAAUUGCCGAUCUACAUUAACACUAGUUGAUGAAGUGUUAUCUAGUGUGGAGAAGAAAAAGAGAGUAAAGAAAAAAUAUGGGAUACUCUUAUAAGACUGUACAAGGCCAAAUCAUUACACAAUAAGAUUUUCUGAAAGAAGAGAAUUUAUACUCUUCGAAUGGUGGAAACCACAUCAGUGACUAACCAUAUCAACACUCUCAAAACUCUCUUUUCACAACUUACAAUGUUGGGUAAUAAAAUAUAAGAAAAUAAGUGUGUAGAGCUUCUACUUCAAAGUCUACCAGAUUCGUACAAUCAACUUAUCAUCAAUCUGACGAACUACAACAAAGCAAAAAGUCUAGUCUUCGAUGUCGAAGCCUCUGUAUUAAAUGAAGAGAGCAGGAAAAAAAAGACAAGCUGGCGAGUUCGUAGCAAAUGGAAGCGCUAUCGAUAACUAGAGGGAGAUAAAUAGAGCGUGGCCCUAAUGAGAUUUACAAUAAUGGUAGAUCAAAAUCAAGAAGUAAGAAGUAUGUCAAAUGCUACAAUAGUGGGCAGAACAGACAAAACUACCUGUUAUGUAGUAAAUCAAUCGCCAUCCAAAGUAAUUAGUUUGAAGACUCCGAUGGAGAUGUAGACUGGAAAUUCAGCUGAUUACUCUGAUCUACAUUCAUUUGGAUGACAUGUGUAUGUGAUGUACAAUACCCAAGAAAGAACAAAGCUAGAUCUAAAAUCCAAGAUAUGUAUUUUCUUAGGGUAUGCUCAUGGAGUGAAGGGGUAUUGUUUGUGGGAUCCCACUACCCACAAGAUUGUCAUCAGCAAAGAUGUUAUCUUUGUAGAAGUGCAAUUACAAUGGAAAAAAAAAGAAAAUGAUAGUACCGUGAAGAAAAACCCUUAGAUAAAACAAACUCAAUUUAGACCAUUGUUGAUAUUAUAAGAGAUUUGAAGAUAAUGAUUUCAUCAUUUUACUAUUAUAUGUGGAUGACAUUUUGGUAGAGACCCUAACAAAGAUCAAAUCCAAGAAUUGAAGGCUCAGUUGGCCAGGGAGUUUGAAAUAAAGCAAACAAGAUUAUAGGGAUGCAAAUUUACCGAGACAGAAAUAACAUGAAGAUUUAGCUUUCUCAUAAUAAUUACUUGAAGAAAAUCCUGCGACACUUCAACAUGCAAGAUUGUAAGCCAAUUUCUACUCCAUUUCCUGUUAAUUUCAAGUUAUCCUCAAGUAUGUGUCUUAGCAAUGAACCAGAGAGGAAAGAGAUGCCUUCAGCACCGUAUGCAUCAACAGUGGGAGCAGUUAGUUGAUACAUGGCGAAUCCUGGUGGAGAGCAUUGGAAAACUGUGAAGAUGAUUCUGAGAUACAUUAGAGGAACCUCAGAUGUUGCAUUAUGUUACUGAGGAUUAAAGUUUACUGUCAGGGGCUAUAAGGAUUCAUAUUUUGCAGGAGACCUUAAUAAAAGUAAAUCCACUACUAGCUAUAUAUUUACACUUGCAGGUGGAGCUGUAAGUUGGGUUUCAAAACUGCAAAUUGUUUUGGCUUUAUCCACAACGGAAGCAAAAUACAUAGCAGCUAUAUAAGCUUGCAAGGAAGUUGUUUGGAUGCAAAGGUUAUUGGAGGAGCUUAGGCACAAAUAAGAGAAUUUUUUUGUAUUUUGUUACAGUCAGAGUUCCUUACACAUUGCAAGGAAUCCAGUCUUUCAUUCCCAGACGAAGCACACAGGAGUUCAAUAUCAUUUUGCUCAAGAAGUAAUUGAAGAUAGAAAUGUAGAUUUAUAGAAGAUCCAUACCAAGGAGAAACUAGCAGAUGCUUUGACCAAACCAAUCAAUACUAUCAAGUUUGUAUGGAAUUGAUUCUCUUAUGGCCUAGCAGAAACGUAAAUAAUAUGACAAUGGCGAAGCAGAAAGGAUGGUGUGGAGAUUGAUUAGUUCUCAAUCUAAUCUCCAAGUAGGAGAAUGUCAAAAGUGGCAUGCGACCACCACUCUUCUAGAAGGCAGUGCCCGUCAUUGUGGAAGUAGGAGGUGUUGCCUCCUUUGAAUAUAAAAGAAGACAAAGCAAAAGAAGAAGAAGCCACAGAAUGAACAAUGAUGAACAAUAGCCACUCCAUGGCUCUAAAUAGAGAGGUUCAAACCCUCAUUUGAUACAUCCCCAAAUUCCUCUUUAAUUUUUAGGGAGAAGUAGAGAAUUGUGUGGGAGUUUCACAGUUUUAAUACUCUUGUGUGAUUAGUGAUUUUAGAGAUUAGGUGCAUUGGAUUUCUGGGUAGUGAGCCAAUAAUAUUACAAUACUUAUAAUCAUCAUUUCACCAGUAAAGUUUUAUCCUUGACGUAGGCUAAAAACCGAACCACAUAAACUCUUGUGUUCUAUGUGUGCUCUUAUUCUUUAUUUUCUUCCAAUUUCAUUUUAGUUGUGACCGUACUUCGCACAUCAAUUUCCUAACAUAAUAAACACGAUACAAACUAGAAUAUUUAAGGUUAUUAUAAUGAUAAUAUUCUAGUGUAAAAAGAAUCUCUUUGCAACUUCUAUGUGGUGCUAUAACGCUGCCUUAGUUCUUCUUAAAAUUUUCUGCGUAGCAAACUCACUUCCCUGUAUUUUUAUUUGAUUUGUGUAAGGUCCAUAGAUGAGAAAGAAAAUAUGAUAACAGAAGCACCAAUUAUGUUGACAUUUGUUGAGUUCGUAUGAUGUGCAUUCGUUUUGAUUAUUAUUAUAUUGUGAAAUACUCAUUUCAAUCGUGAGAAAAAAAAAGAAAUAAAUCAAGAGCCCUAAUAUGGAUAAGACAACGAAUUAGGAUUUUAUGUUGGAUGACUUUCUUAAGUGAGUGUCAGGAGAAUUAUUAUUAUAUUUUUUGCUCAACAGUAAUUUUCUUUAAUGAUUAUUUAGGAAUAUAAUUUUUAUUAAAAUAAUGCAUGUAAAAAGCAUCUUUAUGGUAUUAUCAAAUUACCUCUCCGUAAGAAAACUACAAAAGACAUGGAGGUCAUUCUCUAUACAAUUAUUCUCCAAGAAAGAAACUCUAAACUAAGGAUAAUAACAAAUUAGAAGUAGCUGAUUACUAAUUUGAAAAUUUUAAGCAAGGAUGCGAAAUUAGUUGAUAAGUUUUGAGAAGUUGUUGAAACGAUUGUGAAAUAAAUUUCCAAUGAUUAAUGAUUACGUUUUCAGAAUAAGAUGAUUAAGAAUUGCAGAACUAGCUGAUUACUAAUUUGAAAACUUUAGGCAAGGAUGCGAAAUUAGUUUAUAAGUUUUGAGAAGUUGUUGAAACGAUUGUGAAAUAAAUUUCCAAUGAUUAAUGAUUACGUUUUCAGAAUAAGAUGAUUAAGAAUGGCAGAAUUGGGCAACUACAUAUGACAAUACCGGCAUAAGCCUAGAUCAAAAUUCGAUAAUUGAUUAAUUUGCAUCCCAUUAUUGAUUACACAGUGUAAAUUUAUAAUUUUAAAGUUUAGUCGGCUUAGGCUUAUCAACAUGAUCUUCAGCCAUCAUCACUGUUUGUUAACUAUUUUGUUAAAUAAUGGGAAGUUAAAAAUUGUCUCUGAAUGCGGAGUUAAAACCUCGCAUUAUAUAUAUGGUCCCUCAUCUGAACAUUAUUUGUUAAUAAUUAUGUAGAUGAUCUAUUAAUUAAUGGAUUGAAACGUUAAAUAACUUCAAUUUAAAAAUAAAAACUUCAAUUUUAAACUGUUUUGCAAAUUAAAGGAAUAUAUUUAUUGAGUCGUAGAUCAUAUAUCAUCAAUUUUGUUUUAAUUUACAAAUAAUUGUAGGCAUUGAAAAACGUUUCAGAAAAAUACCAAAAUUUCCAAAUUAAAAUAAUAAUAUUUUGAAAGCAAAGAGUCUAUUUUUGAUAGAUUAUUGUAAAUAUUUUAUUUUUCCAUGCUAAAGAUUUUUUUUUGAUAAAAUCCAUGCAAAUAAAAACUCAAAGCGGUACUAAUAAUAAAUGACAAUUCUCAUUAAAAUUUCUUUUCACAUUUACAAAAAGUUACAUAUGAGGUUUAAAUCAAAAUCAAUUUCAAGAAGAAUCAAGCAACACUGAGAACCUAUUUUUUGAAAACCACCUAGACAUUUUAUAUGGAUUUAGAUUCAAAUCAGACAAUUAUUAAUUCAUAUAAUAUGUGGAUCCUUAUUGGAAAAUAUGAAUCUUUUAAAAAAAAUUAUUAUCUUAUAAAUUUCUCGAAUUUUUAAUUUAGCACGUUGCUUCUAAGUCGAGACACAAAAAUUGUUAUUUAAUCGAGAUUACCAAUUUUAUUAAGAUUCUACUCUAUAUAUUUCACCCGACUAACUGGGCUUUCGCUUAGAGAUAUCUAAACUAUUUUGGUUAAUUUUAAAAUGUAAUGAAAAUAACUUUAACCAAUUAUUUUUUUUAAAUAUAAAAUAAUGAAAAAAAAUAUCAAUUAAAUCCCUUAAAAGUUUUCAAAUUAUUAUUUUAUAUUUAAGAAAAAUAAGAUGUGAAAUUAGUUAAUAAGUUUUGAGAAGUUGUUGAAACGAUUGUGAAAUAAAUUUCCAUUGAUUAAUGAUUACGCUAUUAGAAUAAGAUGAUUAAGAAUUGCAGAAUUGGAAAACUACAUAUGACAAUACCGGCAAAAGCCUAGAUCAAAAUUCAAUAAUUGAUUAAUUUGCAUCACAUUGUUGAUUACACAAUGUAAAUUUAUAAUUUUAAAGUUUAGUCGGCUUAAGCUUAUCAACGUGAUCUUCAGCUAUCAUCACUGUUUGUUAAUUAUUUUGUUAUAUAAUGCGAAGUUAGAAAAUUACUAAUUCAUUUAUAUAGGAUAACUUCCUUUCCCCUAAAUGUAAUUGUUUUAAUGGAUAAUUUGGUAAUUCAAAUUUUUAUAAAAUAAUGUGCGUCAAGAGUAUUUUGAUGUAUUCAAAUACCCACUUGCUUGAUUGUUCAAAAUUUCACUUAUGCAUUCUCUAUCUAUGCUUGAUAAACGCUUUCAUAAUUUGUAGAAUUUUUUUCACUAGUUAAAUUCCUUUUAAAGUUUUUAUUACCCUUUACGAUGUUAAAAUUUUAAUGACACAUUUUUAAAAUUAAAUGAGACAUCUACAUACAAAUGUACUAAUUAUAAUUUAGACACUUGUCAAAAUUUUAGCCGAUGACAAUUGCUACAUUUAUUUGUCAAUUUCAAUUAACAUCUUAAACCAAGGGGUGGGAUUAUUUGAUCUCAUAAUUUUUCUUUUAACACUCAUUUUUUUAAGAAACCCAUUACUAAAAUUUAAAACUCGAGUUUUUACUCUAGACACCCUCCGUACUUAAAAAAUGACCUUAAUUGAUGACAGACGCUUCAGUUACCUUUUUCCUUCUUGCAAAUUUUUUCCACAUUGCAACCACUUUUACUGUUGUUCUCACUUUUUUUUUUCAUCUCAAUAGCAUAUUUAAGUUGUUCUCUUUCCAAACCUCCACGUUAUCACGUAUUAAUAAGGAGAAUAAGACAUAAAUUUUAAUAUGUCAAAAAAUGGCAUGCGGGCACCGCCUUCUAGAAGGCAGUGCCCGCUUGCCAUUGUUAAAGUAGGAGGUGUUGCCUUUUUCUUUGAUUAAAAAAAAGAAGCCACAAAAUAAACAGUAACGAACAAUAGCCAUUUGGUGGGUAUAAAUAGAGAGGUUCAUCCCAUAUUUGAUUCAUCCCCAAAUUCCUCUUUAAUUAUUACAGAGAAAUAGAGAAUUGUGUGGGAGUUUGAGAGUUUUAAUAUUCUUAUGUGAUUAGUGAUUUGAGAGAUUGGGUGUAUUGGGGUUCUGGAUAGUGAGCAAAAAAUAUUACAACACUUGUUAUCCUUAUUUCACUAAUAAAGUUUUAUCCUUCUGUCUUUGCCAGUGGACGUGGGAUAAAAGCCGAACCACGUAAACUCUUAUGUUUUCUAUGUGUGCUUAUUCUUCAUUUUCUUCCAAUUUCAUUUUAACUGUGACCCUAAUUCACACAUAAAUUUCCUAACAGUGAUAUCAUAAGUUCAGGUUGUAUUUUUAGGUUGGGGUACUAUUCACACAUACGACACUGUUCACGCAUACAAUAUUAUUCACAUAUAUGGUUAUUGUUCACAUGAAACGGUGGGAGCCACACCUCGUGGUAAGAAGCUGACACGUCUUAAAAGUGAUUUCUAGUUCUCAAGUAUAAGAGUGUCUUGUUAUAUUAUAACUGGGUUAGUCUGAGGUCGAUCCACAAAGAAAGGAUUUAAUUUGUUUAUUUAAGUUUAUAAAAAAAUUAAAAUUAAAAUUAAAAAUAUGCAAUUUAAUUUAGGAAAAAACUAUGAAAUUGAAUUAGUUAGGGUUAUGGAUCCACUCCUAGUAAUAAAUACAAUUGAUCAAAUUCUUUAUAUUUUUAUUUUAUAUCCCAAAAGAUUAAUUGUAUAAAUUACAAUUAUUUUCCCAUUAAUUUUUAUUAUGGAUUAAGAACUUAAUGUGCCAAAACUUAGCUUGUCCACAAUAAGGCAAAAUACCAUUUUUCCAUACUUUAUACUAAGAUAUUAAGAAUUCAUUGUGCCAAAAUCUCAUGUUUGUCUACAAUGAAUCAAAAUUUCAAAAUAUAAAAUAUGGAUAAAAUUAAAUAGAAAAUAAUUUAUUUUAUAUAAUUAAAAAUAGAAUUUGAUUAAAUCAUAUUUAUUUCAAAGAGCUUCACCUUCCCCAAAUUAUUAGUAUUUAGCUAAACAUAAUUGAAAUAAAGGAAUUUAUUAAAAAUUGAAAAACACAUAAAAAAUGAUAUUUGAAAAUUGAAAUAAAACUAAUUUUCACUACAAGAAAACAAACAAUAGAUGACAGACAAUUUAUGACAGAUUCAACUUAUAUCAUAAUAGUAUGACAGACUCGUGAUAGAAUUUUCAAUCUAUCAUGAAUUAAUGAUGAUUUUGUGACAAUAUGAUUUUCUAUCACAAAUUUAUGAUGGUUUUGUGAUAUAAUUAUUGUUUAUCACAAAUUUAUGAUAGAAUCGUGAUAAAAAAUUUCUCUGUUAAGAAAUUAUGAUAAAAAAAAUUCUUUGACUAUGUUUGACCUAAAGUUUAAUAUAUUAUUUUAUUUUAAAAAACAAAAGGGUGCAUUUUAAUAAUUCAAAAAAGAAAAAAAGAGAAAAGAAAAACACUACUGUCUUGACCCACCAAGCCCCAAAAUCACUAACACUCACACCCAAACACUCAUCACUCUCUCACGACCAAACCCUAGAAAUCAACCUUGCACUCAAUCGAUCGAGCAAAACACCAUCCUUUCGCCGCCAUUCAAGUAUAUUGUAACUAUGCCGGCAAUGUUGUUUAAAAAUUGUAGCUCGUUGCUGUCGGCACCAUUUUGCUAGUAGUAUUAAAAUGUUGGGUUUGUUGCUGUUGUGUCGCACAGGGUUCGAGUGGCUGCUUCUAAGUCGCGUUGCUGCUACGUUGCGCUGCUGAUGCUGUUGGGUCGCUACUGCAUCGCGUGCUGCUGGGUUGUUGAUGGGUGAUGGCUAUAAUUGUUGUUUGGGUGUGUGAGGUAGUGAAGGUGUGGCUGUCGGCUGUUGUUUGUUGUUGCUUCACGGAUGGUAGGGUGAGUGAUUUUGGGGAUUUAGGAUUUUGGCUGUUGCUUCGUGUGAGAGAGAGGGCGGCUGAGGGAGGCAAUUUGGUUAUUUGGGGAUUUAGGUUUUUGGUUGUUUUAUUUUGCUUUUUUUUUAUUUUCUAGUUUUUUUCUAUUUCAAUUUUUUUAUAUAUAUUAUAAAGCCUCUUUGUAAAAAAAAAAACCAAUAAUAUAUGUCAUCAACUGCAGUGGUAUUCUUCUACACCAUUUUUUUGACAAUCAAAUUCCUCUUUUCAUCUUGGCUUCCACUUGUGAAUUUCUAUCUGGUUCAUGCUUUUCCUGUUACCUGUGCUAGGUGGUGAAAUUUUUGGUAGAACAGAACAACAAUAAUGCUCUUCAUGGUCAAGUUACAAUUGGAACACUUAUUUUACAGGUACUGUUUAAAAAUAUAUUAAUGAUAUUCGCUUACAAUUUAUGGACGUGGACUAGUAAGAUUCAGGUUUUGAAGCAUAUUUAGCCGUUUCUUGACCUUGGGUUAUUUCAGGAUUGUAAAUAGUUCAGUUAAUCAAUUUCUUGGAGUAGAAUGUAUAUUUUGUAGUUUAUGCAUUGGCACCCUGAUUAUUUCUUCUUCUAGCUAUAGUUAUUCUAGUUACUGCUAAAGAAAAUAAACAAAUAAAUAAUGGCCAGUUGGUAAUGUGUAUGGGGACACUUAGUUCAUAGGCUAUUUUGACAGGAUUUUCUUGGAAGUAGUUGGAUGAAUAUAAAAGGAUGCAUAAAGGUGAUAUAAUGUUGAGUGAGUAAAUUAAUUCGAGAAUGGUUGUGGUACUGCUUUAGUUCUGAUUUGAUAAAACCUAUGGUAAUCGGUCCCAUAAUACUUCACUGUAAAAUUUAGUUUUUUGUUGUGAAAGCUGAGAACUUUCACAUCAAGAGAUUUUGAAGAAAAUCUGGCCUAAAAAAAAAGUAUGUUCCUCUUUAACUUUUCCAGUUUUUUAACUAUCAAUCCCUCAUUAUGAUAUUAACUUUCUGAUGAAAAGUUUUUCAUUUAGCUCAUUAAGCCUAGGUGAAUUGGUAGAUAUUCAGUAAACUACUAUUAGUUAUUAUCUGGUAGAGAUUCUUGUGGUGUAUUUGUUCUUCUGUUUAUUUUGCGAUCAUUAUUCCAGGUAACAAGUUCCUUUUUGUUUCAUUCAUCACAGGUUGAAACUUUUGCACAAUUUGGUGUUGUCUUCCUUCUUUUUGCUUUGGGGCUAGAGUUUUCUUUGACAAAGGUACAUCAUUAUGUGCUUGGAAAGUGUAUGAUAAUUAUUGAUAACAUUUUCCAUCUUUGUUCAUAAAAUCUAUUCCAAUUCCAUAAUUCAUCAUCAAUGCAGUUAAAAGCAGUGGGACAUGUCGCUGUUCUUGGAGGGCUACUACAAAUUGCAAUAUUUAUGUUCUUGUGUGGCAUAACGGCUGCAGUAUGUUGCUUAGCCUCUGAUUUGGUUUUUGUUACAAUUUCUGUUUGUUGUAUUUCUUGUCAAAAUUGAUGUUAAACUUGGACUAUUUGCUUAUGCUGCAGUUAUGUGGAGCCAAAUUGUCAGAGGGAGUAUUUGUUGGUUCCUUCUUAUCAAUGUCAUCAACUGCAGUGGUAUUCUUCUACACCAUUUUUUGACCAUGGGUUAUUUUAGGAUUGUGCUGUUGGGUUACUAUUUGCUCUACUCCCAGUCUUGGGUGGUAACAGUGGCCUUUUGCAAGGAAUGGUUUCAAUGGGGAAGUUGUAAGUUCAUUUGAGCUCUUUAAAUUUAGAUUUUAAUGUGAUUGCUCUUGUUGUUCUCCUUUUCUUUUUUAACAAUGUUUCCUUGUUGUUGUUGACCGGUGCCCUUGUGCAAACAUUAUUUGUUGAAUGGUGACAUUUUUCUUUUAUUAACUUCAGGCUGCUAGUUUUGUCCAUUUAUCUCACUGUUACAUCUAUUUUAUCCUGGUCUUUUGUUCCCUACUUUCUAAAGCUCAUGAUACAGCUGUCAUCUCAAGUGAGUUUUGUACAUAUAUUUUGUUUUUGUGCCUUGAUUUUGAUAAAUUUAUUGUCCUUUAUUAGCUCAUUUUGAUUUCUUUUCACCUGUCUAGACAAAUGAGCUUUAUCAGCUUGAUGCUGUAGCUUUUUGCUUAUAAUCUGCUUGGGUAAGUGCAAUAUGUAAUUACCUAUUUUGUCAAGGUUAAUACAUCUUGCUGGUAAUCGAUUAAUGGGUUCUAUUUUCUGCUUUGUUAAUUUACUGUUUAUGCACUGGAUGAUAUGCUUUUAUGCUGUUAAGUGAUCAUCUGCUUGGACAAUGUAAUACCUUUGGAGUUUCUUUUCAGUGCAGUGAUAAGCUGGGCCUCAAUCUUGAGCUGGGUUCAUUCAUAGCUGGAGUGAUGAUAUCUAGCGCUGACUUUGCUAAACAUACUUUAGAUCAGGUACUUUUUUGUGCUAGUGAUAAUUCCUCCACUUAGAUUUUAUUUUUAUUUUGUCGAUGAAGAAUGUCAUUUUAUUAAAAAUCCUGACAUAUAUAUAGUCGUUUCCAUUUUCCAGAAAAAGGGUUGUUAUGCUAUUUUAAAUACGAGGCAAGUUACAGGCCUAUAAUUGGUGCUGUUGGUUAAGAUAAGCUUGUCAAAGUUGGUUGUUUGGUUUUCGUUUCAUUGGUUGAUCAGUUCAGUUGGAUCUGGAUGCCAUUGCUUUUUUAUGACUUUAUGAUUUAUUUUUGUCUCCUCACACUGGUCUAUUGUUGUGGCUUCCUUUGGAUUUUUAGCUACCUUGCUGAUUUUGAUGAAUUCCUGUUCACCAAAAGUAAUUUUAAUCCAUUGAGUUUGUACAUUUUGCUCAUUCCAUAAAAGUGAAGAUUGCAGCCUCUUAAUUUUCCUUAUUCUAUGAUGCCCACAUGUAUUGCAGCCUCUUAAUUUUCCUUAUUCUACUUGGUGUUUGAAUCAAUUUUGUUCACAGGAAGCUUGCAGGUCGCUAGUUUUGUUGGGUAACUUGGCUUGGUGGCCGGAAUUCUUAUUGCUUUUCUUAGAGUUUGAUUGGAAUUUGACUGCAAUUUUAUACUUUGGGAUGGCUUUUUCAAUUUGGGAUGUUUUAUUAUGUAUUAGUGGAGAUUACAUUGGAUAUUAGAUGUAUUUCAAUUUUGGAUUGAAUGAAUGUUAAUUGAUAUUAAUUUUUUUAUGAUAUUUGUUUUAUUAAUUAAUUAAAUUUGUAAACAGGAAUUCAUCAAUAAAUUAUAAUUAUAAUAUAAUUUUAGAAAAAAAAUCAAAACUUUAUGAUGGAAAAGCCAUCAUAUAUUCUAUCAUAAAUAAUUUCCCGCCAAAAUUGAAUAAUAAAUUUUCAAAUAAUAAUUGAAUUUCUCACUAAAAAAUUAAAAAAAAUGGCGCAAAAAUUUAAAUAAAUUUAAUUUUUAAUUUAAUUAUUUUUUACAUUAAAAUAUUAUGUGACAGAUAUAUGACUAUGAAAUGCUAUCAUAAAUUCAUGACGGAAAAUAUUUUGUCAUAAAUUAAUGACAGUGACAUAGAUGACGGAUGAACUGUCUGUCAUACACCCCAUUUUAUGACAGUUAUUUCCCGUCAUCUAUUGCAUGUUUUCUUGUAGUGUUUAUUUAUUAAAAAUAUAUUACAAAGAGAGAUGAGAAGAAGAAUUUGGGGGGAAAAAAGAGAAGAAAAGGUGUGAAGAGGUGUGUUUCUAGUCCCCUCUCUAUUUAUACUAUUAUAUCGUAAAUCUAUACCACACAAAUAAAUAAAUCUAAUUACAUCUUAGCCUUACAUUUGUCCCACUAAUAAAACAUAAACCUAACUUAAUCCACUCAAGCAUAUCCAACACAUUCCACUAACAAUUACCAUACCUAACAUGAUAAAAACUUAUAAUUUUAUAAUUACCAAAUUUACCGUGGUAAAAACUUAAAAAUUUACAACAAAAGUCUCGGAUCCUCCUCGACAAUGACAUAAUUUCUCGGACUUCCGAAAUUCAAAUUUGACAUCCGUACAUUUGUUUGGAGCCUCAAAUUGCAUAAAAUUAUUAUUUUUUCUAAUAAACACACAAAAUCAAAUAUUCAGAAAAAUAAUUAGAAAUUCACAACAUGUUACACAAUUACAAAUAUAAAUCACAUUAAUUGCACAAAAUAACAUUUUACCCCUUAAUAAACAUACAAUUUUUAACACUAAUCAGAAGCAAUGACAAAAAAAAAAGAAAUUGAGAAGUCCAAUGGAAAUAAUUUCCCGUUGCAGAAAAUGAAAAUAAAGGCUAUUUUAAGGAAAAAACAAUUAAUGACAGUGACAUAGAUGACGGAUGAACUGUCUGUCAUACACCCCAUUUUAUGACAGUUAUUUCCCGUCAUCUAUUGCAUGUUUUCUUGUAGUGUUUAUUUAUUAAAAAUAUAUUACAAAGAGAGAUGAGAAGAAGAAUUUGGGGGGAAAAAAGAGAAGAAAAGGUGUGAAGAGGUGUGUUUCUAGUCCCCUCUCUAUUUAUACUAUUAUAUCGUAAAUCUAUACCACACAAAUAAAUAAAUCUAAUUACAUCUUAGCCUUACAUUUGUCCCACUAAUAAAACAUAAACCUAACUUAAUCCACUCAAGCAUAUCCAACACAUUCCACUAACAAUUACCAUACCUAACAUGAUAAAAACUUAUAAUUUUAUAAUUACCAAAUUUACCGUGGUAAAAACUUAAAAAUUUACAACAAAAGUCUCGGAUCCUCCUCGACAAUGACAUAAUUUCUCGGACUUCCGAAAUUCAAAUUUGACAUCCGUACAUUUGUUUGGAGCCUCAAAUUGCAUAAAAUUAUUAUUUUUUCUAAUAAACACACAAAAUCAAAUAUUCAGAAAAAUAAUUAGAAAUUCACAACAUGUUACACAAUUACAAAUAUAAAUCACAUUAAUUGCACAAAAUAACAUUUUACCCCUUAAUAAACAUACAAUUUUUAACACUAAUCAGAAGCAAUGACAAAAAAAAAAGAAAUUGAGAAGUCCAAUGGAAAUAAUUUCCCGUUGCAGAAAAUGAAAAUAAAGGCUAUUUUAAGGAAAAAACAAUUACUUGGAAACAAUUGAAGAAAGGCGCACAGAGAAAAUUGAUGCUGCCAGGUGUAAUGAGAUGAAUGGUAUUGUAAUUGUCGAUCUACAUUUAGCACUAGCUGAUGAAGUGUUAUCUAGUGUGGAGGAGAGAAAGAGAGCAAAGAAAAAAUAUGGGAUACUCUUAUAAGACUGUACGAGGCCAAAUCACUACACAAUAAGAUUUUCUUGAAGAAAAGACUUUAUACUCUUCGAAUGGUGGAAACCACAUAAGUGACUGACCAUAUCAACAUUCUCAGAACUCUAUUUUCAUAACUUACAAUGUUGGGUUAUAAAAUAGAAGAAAAUAAACGUGCAGAGCUUUUACUUCAAAGUCUAUCAGACUUAUAUGAUCAACUUAUCAUCAAUCUGACAAACUACAACCAAGCAGAAAGUCUAGUCUUCGUCGAUGUCACAGCCUCUAUAUUAAAUGAAGAGAACAGGCAAAAAAAAAAAAAAGGAAGACAAGUGGGCGAGUUCGCAAGCGGAAGCGCUAUCGCUGACUAGAGUGAGAUCAUGUGAGCGUGGCCCUAACAGGAGUUACAAUUAUAGUAGAUCAAAAUCAAGAUGUAAGAUGAAUGUCAAAUGCUACAACUGUGGCAAGAAAUGGCAUGUCAAGAAAGAGUAUUGGAACACCAAAAGAGAAGAGAAUGUAAAGAUCUUGAGUCAUCAAAUGCCCAUGAUUGUGUAGCGAGUACCUCAAAUGAUGGUGACGUUUUACACAGUGAGUCAGCAAUGGUUUCAAAAGGCAAAAAAUGGAUAUAUGAAGUCUGGCUCAUAGAUUCAAGAGCUACCAAUGACCUCUUGGAGAGAAUGGUUCCGUAAAUAUUAACCUAUCUCAGGAGGAUCGGUAUAUAUGGGUAAUGAUCAUGCCUUAGAGAUUAUUAGUAUUAGUACUAUCAAAAUAAAAUGGUUUAAUGGCACAAUUUGUAAAAUUGAGGAGGCACGACAUGUCAAAGGUUUGAAGAAAAAUCUAUUAUCUUUGGGACAAAUAGAUAGUCUCGGCUGCAAAGUUCAUGCAAAAAAUAAGAUCAUGAAGAUUGCUAGACGCGUGCUUGUAUUGUUGAAGGCGGAAAAAAAUUGGUGCUAAUCUAUUCAUACUUAAGGAGGAAAUAAUAUAAGAAGCUGAUUCACGUGUCACGUCAAAUGGAGAAGAGUCAGCAAUGUUAUGGUAUCUCAAGCUUAGCCACAUGUCAGAACAAGAUUUGAAGAUUCUCUCCGAGCAAAAGUUGAUUCCAAGGCUUAAAACGGUGAACUUACUAUUUUGUACGCAUUGUGUUAUAAGUAAACAAUAUAGAUUGAGCCCCACCAUUUGUUUAUUAUUAUAUUAUGAAAUACUCAAUUCAAUCAUGAGAAAAAAAAAAAAAACAAGAGCCCUAAUAUGGAUAGGAAAAGAAACAAGGUUUAAUGUUGGAUGACUUCCUUAUGUGAGUGUAAGGAGAAUUAUUUUUUUUUCCAACAGUAAUUUUCUUUAAGGAUAAUAUAGGAAUAUAAUUUUUAUUAAAAUAUAUGGAAGUAAAAAGUAUUUUUAUGGUAUUAUCAAAUAACCUCUCGCUAAGAAAUCUACAAAAGAGAUGGAGGUUAUUCUCUAUAUAAUUAUUCUCCAAGAUAAGGAUGAUAACAAAUUAGAACUAGCUGAUUACUAAUUUGAAAACUUUAAGCAAGGAUGUGAAAUUAGUUGAUAAGUUUUGAGUUGUUGAAACUAUUGUGAAAUAAAUUUCCAUUGAUUAAUUAUUACGCUAUCAGAAUAAGGAAAACUACAUAUGACAAUACCGGCAUAAGCGGUAAGCCUAGAUCAAAAUUCAAUAAUUGAUUAACUUGCAUCACAUUGUUGAUUACACAAUGUAAAUUUAUAAUUUUAAAGUUUAGUCGGCUUAGGCUUAUCAACAUGAUCUUCAGCUAUCAUCACUGUUUGUUAAUUAUUUUGUUAAAUAAUGGGAAGUUACAAAAUUUGUAAUUCACUUCUAUAGGAUAAUUUCCUUUCCCCUAAAUGUAAUUGUUUUAAUGGAUACUUUGGUAAUUCAAAUUUUUAUAAAAUAAUGGGCAUCAAGAGUAUUUUGAUGUAUUCAAAUACCCCCUUGCUUGAUUGUUCAAAAUUUUACUUAUGCGUUCUCUAUCUAUACUUGAUAAACGCUUUCAUAAUUUGUAGAAAUUUUUUCACUAGUUAAAUUCCUUUUAAAGUUUUUAUUAUCCUUUACGAUGUUAAAAUUUUAAUGACACAUUUUUAAAAUUAAACGAGACAUCUACAUACAAAUGUACUAAUUAUAAUUUAGACACCUGUCAAAAUUUUUGCCACAUUUAUUUUUCAAUUUCAAAUAACAUCUUAAAACAAGAGAAAAUUAGAUAAAACAAACGUUUAUGAGAGAUCCACAGGGCUAAAAAAAAGGGAUGGGACUAUUUGAUCCAUAUUUUUUCUUUUAACACUCAUUUUCUUAAGAAACCAUUAUUAAACUUUAAAAAUCCGGUUUUUACUGUACACAACCUCUAUAUUUCAAAAAAAUGACUUCAAUUAAGGAUUUACAGUUCUUUUAUUUUUUUUUCCUUCCUGCAAAUUGUUUCUACAUCGCAACCACUCCUCAUCACUUUUACUAUUGUUCACACUUUUUUUUUUUCAUCUCAACAAUAUAAUUAAGUUGUUCUCUUUUCAACAUACACGAGACCACGGAUAUUAAUAAGAAGAAUGAGACUUAAAUUUUAAUAAACAUGAUACAAACUAGAAUAUUUAAGAUUACUAUAAUGAUACUAUUCUAGUGUAAAAGAAUCUCUUUUCAGCUUCUAUGUGCUGCUAUAACGCUGCCUUAGUACUUAAAAAUUUUUGGGUAGCAAACUCACUUGCAUCUGUUUUUAUUUGAUUUGUGUGAGGUUAUUGGAAAGAAAAUUUGAUAUCUGAAGCACCAAUUUCUAUUAUAUUGACACUUGUUGGGUUCGUAUCAUGUGCAUUCGUUUUGUUUAUUAUUAUAUUGUGAAAUACUCAUUUCAAUCAUGGAAAAAAAAUAAAGGUUUUAAAUCAAAAGCCCUAAUAUGGAUAAAAAAGCGAAUUAGGGUUUAGUGUUGGAUGACUUCCUUAAGCGAGUGUAAGGGAAUUAUUAUUUUAUUUUUUUGUCAACAGUAAUUUCCUUUAAGGAUAAUUUAGGAAUAUAAUUUUUAUUAAAAUAAUGGAUAUAAAAGUAUUUUUAUGGUAUUAUCAAAUAACCUCUCGCCAAAAAAAAAAACUACAAAAAACAUAGAGGUCAUUCUCUAUAUAAUUAUUCUCCAAGAAAGAAACUCUAAAAUAAGGAUAAUAACAAAUUACAGCCAAUUGAUUACUAAUUUGAAAACUUUAAGCAAGGAUGUGGAAUUAGUUGAUAAGUUUUGAUAAGUUGUUGAAACGAUUGUCAAAGAAAUUUCCAUUGAUUAAUGAUUACAUUAUCAGAGUAAGAUGAUUAAGAAUCAGAAUUAGGCAACCACAUUUGACAAUACCGACAUAAGCCAAAAUCAAAAUUCAAUAAUUGAUUAAUUUGUAUCACAUUAUUGAUUGCACAAUGUAAAUUUAUAAUUUCAACCUUUGAAAUAGUCAUGCUGUUUAGUAGGCUUAGGCUUAUCAACAUGAUCUUCAGCCAUAAUCAUUAUUAAUUUGUUAAUUAUUUUGCUAAUAAUGCGAAGUUAUCUGAAUGCGGAGCUAAAAACCUCUCAUCAAUAUGGUCCCGUCUUCUGAACAUUUUUUUGUUAAUAAUUAUGUAGAAGAUCUAUUAAUUAAUGGAUUGAAACAAUAAUAACUUUAAUUUAAAAUUAAAAACUUUAAUUUUAAACUAUUAUUGCCCAAAAUUAAAGGAAUAUAUUUAUUGAGUCAAAGAUUAUAUAUCUUCAAUUUUCUUUUAAUUUACAAAUUAUUGUAGGCAUUGAAAAAUGUUUCAGAAAAAUGCCAAUUUUCCAAAUUAAAAUAAUGAUAUUUUGAAAGAAAAGACUCUAUUUUUGCUGACCUAGGAUUUCCAUGUAUCCAACCCAAAAGACUAGCCUAUUGGGUGGAGUCACCUACUCCAACUUAUAAACUCAAGUGUCUCCUCUUUACUGGCAAAUAUGGGACACAACUCAAGAAUCUCCCCGCCCCGUCCCCAGACAAAACCACCUUUCGACCCCAAUCCUUUCGUUCGACACACCUGAGUUGUUCUAUCACUACAUUCAAGCUACUAGGGUCUAACUUUAAUACCAAUUGUUGGGGGCUUGGUCUAGGAUUUCUAGGGUAUCCAAUCCAAGAGACUAGUCUAUUGGAUGGAGUGACCUAAUCCUACUUAUAAACUCAAGUAUCGUCAUUUUACUAUCCAAUAUAGGACACAACUUAAUAGAUUUAUUUUUCCACAUUAAAGAUAAUUCUACGAUAAAGUCUGUGCAAACAAAUACUCAAAGUGGUACUAAUAAUAAAUGACGAUACUCAUUAAAAUUUCUUUUCUUUCAGAUUACAAAAAGUUACAUAUUAGAUCUAAAUCAAAAUCAAUUUCAAGAAGAAACAAGCAACACCGAGAAUGUACUUUUUGAAAACUACAUAGACAUUUUAUAUGAAUUUAGAUCCUCAGACAAUUAUUUAUUCAUCUAGUAUAUGGGUCGUUAUUGGCAAAUAUGAAUUUUUUAUAAAAAAUAAGCAUGUUGAUUCUAAGCCAAGACACAAAAAUUGUUAUUUAAUUGAGAUUACUAAUUUAUUAAGGCUCUAAUCUAUAUGUUUCAUCCGACCGAUUGGGCUAUCCCUCAGAGAUAUCUAGACUGUUUUGGUUAAUUUUAAAAUUUAAUGAAAAUAAAUUUAACCAAUUAUUUUUCUUAAAUAUAAAAUAAUGUGAAAAUUAUCAAUCAAGUCCCUCAAAAUUUUCAAGGUUACUUUGUCUUUUAGAGAUUGGAUAGAGAUAUGUCCACCUUAAUAUUUGCACAAUGCCAAUGUUAAACUCAGAAUAACAGUUCCUGAAAGAACAAUCAUUAUUCAAUAUAUAUAUAUUCUGGAGUUUAGAGUCUUAAAACACUUAAUUACUUGUACUGAUAGCUGAACGUUAAGAAUACACUACCAAGACAGAAAUGAGGUUACUGCUGAUACUACAGUAUCACUAUAGCACACAAAACGAUAGCAUUGUUCAUGCUAACUGCAAGAAUUAGAUAACUAAUCCGUGGAGUUUAUUUUAGGUAAAUAUUCAAGAAGAAAGAGCAUAAUUAAGCUGACAUGGUAAACUAACUUAUUCAAUGUUAACACUUUGACACACACUAAUUUUUAUUUAUUUACUUAUUUCCUUUUCAGGAAAAUAUGGUACACGUAGAUAUCAAAGAAAAUCUCUUAUAUAUCUCAAGAGAUCUUCUCACCCUUACAAAUUUUGAAAGUAAUAAUAUACCCAUCUUGUUAUUUAAUUAGAUAUAAUGCAAAAGAGUUACACUGCAUUUACCAAUGUGGUUGGGAUUUCUAAUAUAUUUAUGGACAACAAGAAGAUCAAGAUUGUCAUUCGCAAUGUCAUCAUCAAUUGUUUUUGAGUAAACAAAUAAAUAAUAUAACAAGCCCCUUCGACCAAUCAUUAUUACUUGAAAAAUCAUAUUAGAAAAUUUAAUCAUAUGUAAAUGUAUCAAAAUAAGAGUUACAAAUGAUUUUCAACAGAAAUUGAUUGCCUAAAACCUGCGAAGAUAGUUUCCAUAUUCUUUCAGUUAGAUAUAUCUCUGCCUCUGGAAUCAAAACUCAAAAAGUAAUCAUGUUGCUUUGGCGAGAUUUUGAUAGUUUUUGGUUUGGUAUAAUACAUCAAUAUAUUGUGUGCAGAACUGGCAAAAUUUGACACGAUCUAAUUACCCAACUCUAAUAUGAUACGAAUAAAUAUAUACAGUCGUUAAAUUUGACACGAUUAUUAACGAUUUUUUCCUGUGUUAAGUUAAAGUUAAAGUUCUUGACCCAUUAACCUUAUUAAAGACACAAUUAUAUUUUUUAUUUUAAAUUAAUUUGUUUGUUCUUGUAAUCAAAACUUAAAUAUUGAAGAUGAUUCUCUCCUUUUAUAUUUUUUUUGGAAGGAUAAAAAUAUACAGUGUUUCAUUUAUAAUAUUAUAUAUAUAUAUAUAUAUUUAGAACUUCAAUAGUAUAAAUGUAUAAAAUAUUGUGGUAGGGCUUGGGGCAAAACUAGGGCCAAUUUUUAUUAAUUGAAUUAAAAGAAAAAAUAAUCCUGACCUACAAUUUGAGAGGUAGGUCAAUCUCUUCUAAACUCGUAAUUACUCUUAAUACUUGUCAAAACUCAGUAUAAACCCUAAAUGACUCCUUAAUCUCUUAUUUAUACCGGAUCCUUAAUUAGAGAAUAAGUAAAAUUACUAAACUCUAAUUGCCCUUUUAUAUUUGCGUGUAACAUUAGCUUUCAUCAGGUUUAACAUUACUCCCCUCCCAAAAGACACUUUGUGCUUAAGGUGGAAUCUAGGAAACUAUUGUUGUAUCAACUCAUAUGGCUCAUACGUCGCCUCCUAGUCUAGCAAGUCCUUCCAUGUAAUCAACACUUUUUUAUUAGCUGGUUGUCCUAUCGUCCCUUAGCAUACUCCCUUGAGAGCAGUCAGUUCUAGCACUGUCUUCAUGUCCUUAGUCAAGGUCGGUGAAAGCAAAGAAAAGGGUAUAUGUUCUCUAAAAGCUUGUCUCAACUGAGACACAUGAAACACCGAGUGAAUGACUGAUGUUGGUGGCAAUUUCAAUCAGUAAGCCACCUCUCUAAUCCUUUACACAAUCUCAUAGAGCCUAAAAUAUCGAGGGGAGAGCUUCUCAAUCCUCCAUCGCACCAGAGACUUUUGUCAAUAUGGCCGUAACUUAAGAUAAACCCAUUCCCUACCUCAAACUAUAUGUCCCUCCUAUGACCAUCAGCUUGCUUUCUUAUUAUCUGCUGUACCUUAGACAGAUGCCUUUCAACUCUUCGAGUAUGCAAUCUUGUUCCUCUAAAUACUGAUCUACAUGUGAUGCAGGCGUCGAACUCUAUCCAUAGUACACCAAAUACUGAUCCACCUGUGAUAAGAAGUAUUGUACCAACACUCUGCCAAUGCUAAUCACCUCGCCCACUGCAUUGGCAUGUCCGACAUAAAAACACCGCAGAUAAGUCUCUACACUCCGGUUUACUACCUCAGUCUAUCCGUCAGUUGAUGGGUGGUAAGUAGUGCUCCUCUUUAAAACUAUACCUUGCAUCCUAAAUAACUCCCUCCAAAAGUGGCUUAGAAAAACCUUACCAAGUCCAUUACUAUCGACUCUAGAAUUCUAUACAAAUGUACCAUCUCUUGCAUAAAAGCUAGUGCAAUGGUCACAGCAGUAUAAGGGUGUCAUCGGGGUAUGAAAUUAGUAUACUUGCUUAGUUGAUCAACCACGCCCAAGAUCACCAUGUACCCGUCUGAUGUGGCAAUCGCUUAAUAAAAUCCAUUGUCACCUCCUCCCAAACCUUAUCGAGUAGUGAUAAUGGCUAUAAUAACCCUCCUAGUGCCAUUGCUAUGUAUUUAUGGCGUGAUGACAUACAUCACACCUCGCUACCAUCUCCUCGACAUCCUUCUUCAUCCUCGCCCAAUAUAGCUCUAUUACCAAACACCGAUGAAUUUUUAGAACAUCAGAAUUUCCCCUAAUAGCACGCCCAUAAAACUCGUGCAACAACAUCAUUAUAUUGGGUGAUGUCCUCGGCAGUACAAGACUUCUUUGAUAUAACAGUCGUUGUCCAUUCAUAGAAUAGCCUAGAUAUCCUAUCUCCCUAUAUAAUAAUAUAGCCUAGAUCUUCACAAACUCCUUAUAUGCCUCAAUCUUUUGUGAUAAUGUGUCUUAAUUUAUCACCAAAGGCACCGAUAAAGCUACCAACAGAGGUUCCUCAUCCCGUCGCAAUAAGACAUCUACCGCAUUAUUCUUUAACCUGGCCGAUACUAUAUCUCAAAAUUAUAGCCUAGUAACUUCGACAAUCAGUAUUAGUGUUCCUUAGUCACCAUCCAUUUUUUCAAUGGGAACUUAAGAAUCCGUUGAUCCGUUCAAAUGAUGAAAUGUAGCCCCAAGAGGUAUGGCCUCAAUUUCUAAGUUGCUAACACAAUCGCCAUGAGUUUGCACUCAUAAAUAGACUUGAGUCACAACCUAGCUGUUAAGAUUUGGUUGAAGUAGGCAAUCAGAAGCUGAUUUUGAGUGAGAACUACUCAUAAUGCAUACCCCAAGGCGUUUGUCUCUUUAAUAAAUGAUUGGCUAAAAUCUGGUAAUGUUAGCAUUGAAACACUAGUCAUGGCCCUUUUCAAUUUCUUGCAAGUUUGCGUCGUUAUGUCCCCAUAUAGAAAACUAUCCUCCUUCAACUACUCUGUUAAAAGUCGUGCUAUGGUGCUAUAACCCUUUACAAAAUUCUGGCAGUAUUCAGUGAAGCCUCAAAAAAACCCUAAACUCUUUCUUUAUUUUAGGUAGAAGCCACUGCAGCACCGUCAUUAUCUUAGACUGAUCUGCUGAAAUCCUCUUAGCCGACACCACAUGCCUUAAAUACUCUGUUAACAUACAUAUUUUCAUAACAUUGAUUUUAAUGAUAACAAACAAGGUUAAAAUGUUGGAGAUAGUAAAAUUGGUUAAGUUCUUAAAGCCGUAUAAUGUUUUUUUGGGCAAGUUUAAGAAUCUGAACAAAAACGGAUAACCGUUAAUCUUGAAACGGAAAAUCGAUAUUAUAAGGAAAAACAUGUAGUUCCAGUUCUGAAAGAUAACAAUUAACCAUUUAUUAGAAAAUGAUUAAUCGACAAUUCACCACCUUCUUAGGUUGCAUAACUAGUAUUUCAUACUCCACUAUUGUCUACACAAACAAGCACUUUUUCCGAUUAGCAUACUACUGAUGAUUCUGUAACUCUAUCAACAUUAACUCCACGUGACCCACAUGAUCCUCUAAAGUGCAGCUAUAGAACAAAAUGUCAUAAAAGAAAAUAAGGGCAUUUGUCAAGCCAAACGACAUGACCAUAAAUUUAUAAUGUCCCUCGUGAGUCCAAAAUGCAAUCUUAUGCGCAUCCUAUAGUCGCAUCUGAAUAUGGUGAUUUCCCAACUUCAAAUAUAACUUUGUUAACACCGUCGCCACGUGCAACUCAUCUAACAACUCAUCGAUCACUGGAAUAGGAAACUCACAAGCACCGUUUCCUUGUUCAGGGCUUGGUAGUCAAUAAAAGAUCUUCAACUCCCAUCUUUUUUCUUCAAUAACAAGAUCAAACUCGAAAACAGACUCACGCUCGAUUGUAUUAUCCCAACCUUCAACAGUUCCAUAACUAUCCUCGCAAUCUCAUCCUUUUGUAUCUAGGGAUACUGAUAUGGCCGAACACUAAUAGGGGAGGCCCCUUACUUCAACAUUAUUGCAUGCUCAUGUUCCCAUUGUGGAGGUACACUUUUGGCCAUCUGGAAAACCUCCUUAAAUUGCUCCAACAGCUGUUGAAAUUGGUCCCGUAAUCACUGUUGAUGUCUUUAUUCGUGCCCUUUUCCAGGCUAUGCAACUCCGCCAAGAAUCCCUGCCCGCAUCUUAAAUCGUCUUUACCAUGGUUUUAAGUGAAAAAGGUUUUGCAUAAACUCGAAUUACCCCAUAGCAUUACCCCUCAACCGCCCACCCGAAACUCCAUUGUUUAUAAUUUCCGAAUAGCUUACAAUACUCCUCUUAGCAUGUUCCCAUACAAAAUUGUUUAUGGGAAAGCUUGUCAUUUACCCUUAGAGCUGGAGUACAAGGCAUAUUGGGUAAUAAAACAACUGAACAUGGAGAUGACUGCUGUAGCAGAACAGAGGAAGCUACAGCUCUGUGAGCUAGAAGAGUUGAGGUUAUUCUCCUAUGAAAAUGCAAUAAUCUAAAGGAAAGGACCAAGCAAUGGCAUGGAAAACAAAUCCAGUAAAGGGAGCUCAUUCCAGGCCAACAUGUUCUGUUAUAAUAUUCACGACUAAAGCUUUUCCCUAGAAAAUUAAAGUCUAGGUGGUUAAGUCCUUUUAAACUUAUCAAAGUUUAUCCUCAUAAGGCCGUAGAGCUUCAAGAUGAAAUGACAGACUAAAAAUUCAAGGUGAAUGGACAAAGAGUAAAGCAUUACAUUGGAGCUUCUGUGAACAAUACUAUGGAGGAUUUGUUCCUCAAGCAUCCAUCUUGAGAAAUCAUGGAUGGUCAGGCUAAAGGACAUAAAAUCAAGCGCUGAUUGGGAGGCAACCCCAUAAGGAAAGUUGUUUAAAAUUUUUAAAGAAUUAAAUUUAGUCUUAAUUAUUUAAUUUUUCUUUCUAUUAUUUUUAAUUGUGCAUCUAAUUUCCUUUUAUUCCAUUGUAUUAAUUUUUAGCAAGUAGAAGUAAAAAAAAAAUGUUUGGGCAAAUAGGCUGACAAGAAUUACUGCAACAUCACGUAUAGCAUGGCAGUUAGAAGGCAAUUCUCAACCAACGAGGGAAUUUUUCACAAUUGCUGGGGCAACGGUUUUUUACCGUUGCACUUACAACUUUGGAUUUUUACUUUUGAAGGGACGGACACGCUUAUGUCAACUUAUCAGACUUGGUGAUAAGGAUAAUUCAGAAAUCGCUGAUUUGCCGUGACACAUAUACUUUCUUUUCCUUUUAAAGUGUUUUGAAAAUUCAAAAAUAUAUUUCCAAGAUUACCAUAUUAAUUACCUUCCUCUUUUUACUUUCCCUUUUGGCUAUAAAUUAGGGAUUUACUUUAACUUUUUUCAAUUUCACUACAACUCUUUCUUUCCCUAUCUGUAACUCUCAACAAUCUUUACAAUUCCUUUUCAUGUUGUACUUUUCUUUUUAGCGAAAUAAAGCUUUGGUCAAACUACUACAGCAAUGCCGAAAAUUAAAACACGUGCUGUUAGAUUGAAGGACCCUGCACGCUUUUAUAGUUACAAAGCUGAGGAAAAUUUUGACGACAUUAUCGAGCCUCGUUAGAUAUUGGAAUGAUGAACAACACAUAUAAUGUUGUAGCACGAAGAGGAUGGAUGAAAUUUUGUGCUUACCCCCAAGACCCUGUUGUUCCUGUCGUUAAGGAAUUUUAUGCCAACAUGUUACGGUAGGAACAACGUAACAUCAUUAUGAGGAAUUUGUGCAACCUCUGGGGUGAAAUUUGAGGCCAAGGAUCAAAGAGUGAAAAAUGAGGGCGACAUCACAACCAAGACCGUUAAAAAAGAUUGCUGUGGAAUUUACUACUACAACAACCCUAGAACACCAUAUUGCAGCUAAAGCAGAGCAAGCCACAUGGAUUGAGGAUAUGCUGCAGGAGCUCAGUGACAACAAAAAUGCAUGUGUCCAAGCACAAAAAGAAGAAAAUCGGAGGUUUUGGACAUAUUUAUGCAUCUGGAAGCUCAUAAGCAUCAAUUUGCCAAAUAUAUGAAGAAUAAGCAUGCAGAUUUUCCAGUUUCUGCUCUAGCAGCAGAAAGUGAAGAAAUAAAGAGUGAAGGAGAGUUUGAAUAAGAGCGGUGUUAUUUUAACUCAUUUGCUAUUGGUGUCAAUACGCAAGUGUACACACCAAGUAAUAUAAUGAUGAGUAUCCAAGAUCGUCUCCGCAGAGAUUGAUGCUAUCAGACUUGCUACAACAAUUUCACAAUGCAAUAUAUAUUCGAAUGUAAAACAAGGCAACUAAUGAACUAAAAGACUAAGUAAAAAAAAUAAAAACACAAUAAUAAAAAAAUGCAUUGAAUAAAAUUUGCAUGUUAAACAUGAAGGUAAAAUCAAUAGGAAUAUAGUAGUUGAGUGAUUAAACUCUCUUGAUGAUGUUGACUGUUUUAUUCAUGCUAAGUUCAGUUGCUACAGCAUCUGCUACAACACUGGGCAAAAACCAUCUUUAUCCUCAGCACUAGGAUGUUGGAUGUCUUUUAUCUUUAUUCAACCUAAUAAUGACCAGUUGCUAUGUCAACAUAAGAUAUAACAUUACAUGUUUAUGUUCUCUUUACCCUACAAGGUGAAUCCCUAUAACUAGUGCAUCACUAAUCUUAGAUUAAGCGUGACCCUUUUUGGACUCAAGUUAAACUCAAUCCACGAAACUCAAUCUAAGACCAAGUAUUACUCUAAUAUAUUCCACUAAGAUAGGCCAUUUUGCGGCUCUUUCUUAACUUGUAUCAUUAAAUGGAUGGUUAAUCGAAAUAAUGAAUGUAAAUAAUUGUUUUUAAAACAACAUGCUAUAGCAAACAUGCAACAACACCUAUAUUCAGUAAAUUAACCAUCUAGAUAGUUUAAUACUCAACCACAAAUAAAUUUAGUUCUUAAUUUCUGAAAGGAAAUUAAACAACCAAGUUCCAGCUAUCGAAUACAUCUUCAUGAUCAAUGAAUAACAAGUAAACAAGAAAAAGAAUGAGAAAGAGCGAAUUCCAAUUGAUUCUGCAAAUUUCGUCUACUAGUGCGGCCUUGAAUUCUGCUCGGGAAUUCUAUUUCUUCGUUGUUUCUUUUCUGUUUAGACUGUAAUAUUGUAAAUAUCUCGCCCAGAUUUUUCUCUGUCAAUGCUCUAGGAUUGUUACAGCAAUGGUUGCUACAACAAUGGCUGCAACAUCUUUUCUGUUUCUGACUUGCUCCAAUUCUUCUAUAGCCAUGCUUGUUUGUCCUCUUUAUAAGUCCAUUGCAAUAGCAUCUUUCCCAUAAAAUUCAAGUUUCCAUUUACCUACAGUUAAACAUAUGUUUUAGGCAUACAAUUAUUCAAAAAUCACACAAACUUUAUUAAACUUAAACUAAAAUGAAUGUAAUGCAAACUAUCAUUAAAAUGCACUAAAACACAUCAAUUACUCUCUAAGUAGUCUUAAUUUAAGCCUAAAAAUACCAUGAUAACUCUAAUUUCAUAGAGUGAUCACACCCCCAAACUUAAACCAUUACUUGUCCUCAAGUAAUGAAAACAACACUAACACUACAAUCACACAAUCAUGCAAUAAGUAACCUAGCCCUAUCAUCAAAUUUGCAAGGAUUCUUCAACCCUCAGAUCACAUUCUUAAUCAUGCAAAAUUUUCCAUACCAGUUCAAGUUCUAGACCUAGGCCUCAUUUUGUCUAGAGUGUGUGUGCGCCACUUUGAUCAAAUUCUGAAGGUGCUAUAGCAUUAAACAGACAUUGCAUAAAAUUCAGAGGUAGAAAACAAAUAUAUUUACAUCUAGGGGGACAAAAGUUACAAUUCAACUCAAACUAUACUAUAUAUUUACAUCUGUCAAGAAACUCUCUUCAAUAUAUCAUUGAUUACAGAAUUUUGUCAAAGCAUGGAAAACCUUUUGGAUAUUAAGUAAUAAUUACGCUUCUAAGAGUAAAUGAUGAAAACGACACAAGGGUAGUCCAGCCCAUAAUACGAAUAAGAAAAUUGAAGGAUGUACUUUCAGUUGUUUGAUGAGAACCUUUCAUUAUGUUGCACAAGAAUAAUAUAAUAAAUCUCAAUUGAUAAUCACUUUUUCUCGUAAGGGAGAAUGAAGGAACAAAAGGGGAAGAAAUGCUUUGAUGUUAUGGUUCAAUUUCUGGACUCGACUAGCUUACAGAAUCUGUAAGGUACAGACUGCAGCAUCAGCCUCAAUUUCUUGGUGGCGGUAGGUGGAUAGAACAAUAUGAUUACGACGUUGUUUGGGUUCCCAAAUCCUUACGAGAUCGAUCCUACCGAUCUGGUCUUCAAUAUAUUUUUCAUAUGAAUGUCAAUCACUUGUAAUAAUGAUACCCAAUUACUUUACCAGUGCACAAAUUAGAGUUGUUGCAGCAAUGUUUACAAAAUAGUCAUAUCUAUAGACAUCUUUUAGAUCAAGGCUAAACAUGGGGCUCAUGAAUAGACCUGGCUAUUUCAAUACCUUAGACAAAGGACUUUCUCCAGAGGGAUUUUUUAUUUUUAUUUUUUGAUGCUAUAGCAAUGCUCAUAGCUCUUAUUUCUUUUGGACUCAAGUCUGUAUAUGGAGUACAUACUUAGCCCUAGUUACUCAAAAACUUUAAGCCAUUGGAGCAACUAUUAUUUAACAACAAGCACAUAUUAAAAAUAUUUUCCCCCCAAACUUGAGAUUUUUCUACCCUUUUUUGUGUUCUCUUUUUUUGCUACUGCAUUCUAAUAGGACUUACUCAAAGCUUAUGUGUAAUGACAAAAUUUAGCCUUUGUCCAUGAACUGUUCUAGUUGGUACUUUAAAAUUAACAUUCAAGUUAUCCUCAUUGGUUUUUUAUUAGAUCCACUCACAAUUAGAUAACAAAGUUGCAUACCACACUAAACACACAAUGCAAACAUACACUCUAAACACAAUAAUAUAAGUUAGCACAACUCCCCCCAAACUUAAGAGGUGUUGUGUCCUCACAUGAACGCCAAAAAUAAUCAAACUACACAUUCAGAUGGUGGUAAAAAGCAUUAAAACUAAAAGAAAAGUUUUGGAAAGGAAAGAAAGUAAAUUGAGCUAGUAAGGGGGACUCCCUUGGUGUGGCUUAUUUUGCUGCAGCACAGAUUCACGUCUUUUUUCAUAGCGUUCCUCAAACGGUCUUUAGGGAAAGCUUGGGGUGUGGCUGCAGACUUCUAUUUCUUCGGGCGGGGUGUUGGACUGGUUGAGGAGUACCAGCAGUGGUGGGAGGUGUAGGCUGAGUGGUUCUUGUGCGUUUUUGCUUUGGUUCUUUUGGUGUUGUACCACCUCCAGAGGUGGCCCCUCUGCGUUUGCUGGUUAUAUUGGUGGUGGUUGAAGAAGAUUUAGCUAGAGGUUGGAGAGAUGUAGCUGAGGCAGAUUUUACUGCAGUAACAUCCUCAGUAGUUAUUUCAGCAAUGAUGUCCAAAAGGCACUUCUUUGCUACAGGUGCCUGAGUAACCCUUUCAGCAGUUGCUCUAAAUCUGCAUCGAUAUCUAUUGAAACAUCCUCAGAGUCAUCUUCACUUUCAACUUUUUCUUUGGCCUUAUGAGAUUGGACUGGGACUGGUGCUUCCUCCUCGACCUCACAUCAUCAUCAUGUCCAAUGGUGUGUUUUCCUCUUUUCCUGGGGGGUAGGAUCUUUGAUGGCUCAACCUUUCAUCCCCGAAUCCCCCUCUUCCUCCUUUUUUGUGGAGCUGUGGGCUUCUAACUCAGGACACUCUGCUUCUGUUAGCGUUGGCUGGUCUUUCUGUUCUGGCUCAGCUUCACUAUGUGGUUCUGUUGCAGCUUCCUCGCUCUUUGCUGCUAGCUCUCCAAAGUUGAAUUACCGCAACAGAGAGUCUGAAAAAUCCAGGUGUUGGUUUUUUAUGAACACAGCAAACUGAUGCAGAUGGUUCUCUAAAUGUAUUAAGUAUGCCCAGAAUAUGUUAUUCUCUCUUUGUUGUGCAGCAACACACUAGGUAAUGCUGUCACUCAGUUCUUGCAGUCUUCUCUCUACCCCAAUAGCUCUUCAUGUACUUGUUACAACAACUAGUUAUGGUUAUGCUGCAGCAGUGUCUCCAGCAAUUCUCUCAACUGUUCGAGCAUUCACAGCUCCUGCAUUCUUAAUUUGCUCAUCUCGAACAGCGGAUUGUACCCUAGAUACUAGACAUAGGCUAGUAAUAAGAGAUGGAAACAAGAGGGCUGUUGUUUUAUGUUGUUUCAUGGCACAUUCUCUAAUUUACCUUUCAAUAAUGGCUCUCACAUCAAUUGGUAACCUCCAAACAAUGACAUAUAAAAGCACCAAUCAUUCUUGUGAUACAGUGGUAGUGUGUGUAGUGGGCAUCAAUCUAGAUUUUAAAAAUUUGAUCCACACUUUAGCAAUAGGUUUAAGGUCGAUUCUAUUGAUCACUCAACCUUCCUCAUUAGCCCAUGAUGUCCCUUCUACAGUAAGGGUUUUUAAUACUUGAUUCAAUGUUUUAUUAGUCAUGUUUGCAAUAAGCUUAGAAUAUUCACAGUCCACGUUAGAGGGCAAGUUGUAAAAAGUGUUAACAACUCGUGGGUCUAAAGGGACGAGGGGGUUUCUUACCCAAAUUAUUUUUUGAUUCUGUCCCAGCAGGUUGGCAUAGAAUUCCUUUACUAUUGCUAGCACAGGGUCACUUAGAUGUUGGCAAAAGUCCAACCAUCCCCGUUUUGCUACAGUAACCUGAAUAGUCUGAACGAUUACCGAGGGCUGUGGUGGAAAUUGGAAGCCUUUUUCUUCUAAGAUUUUCCUAGGCUCGAUAAAUUCUUUAAAAUUUUCUUCUGCCUUAUAGGCCUGGAAGCGGGAGGGGUCUUUAAGACGUUGUGCUCUGAUCUUGAUCUUGUAUUUAAGCAUUGUUAGAGCAAGUUGAAGAUACUUGCAAAAUAAUGAAGGUGCAGUUGCUAUAGGGAGUCGUAAGAAUGUCAAAUUGGUUCCUAGAAAAGAAAGAUAAAAUAGAAUUAGGGUGUCUCUUUCUGCACAGUAAAACCCAUAUUUAUACAUGUUGUAAAAAAAUUAAAUUAGGAUGGAAAUCAAUUCUAAUAAGAUAAACUUGGAAAUAAGAAUUUUAAAUUUAAAACAAUUCUAAUAUGGAAUGGAGAGGGAUUGUGAUGCGGUAAUUUAGGGAUUGUAAUCCUUUCAAAUCGUGAUCCAUAUUAACCACGGCAGCUAUCAACAUUUUGUAGCCUCAAUGGUAGAAAGAAAUUUCCCUCAGUGUGUCUUUGAAACGGUAGUCUUUAUGCUGCAGUAAUCAAUAUGCGCGCUGUAAUAGGUUGUUGUAAAGCUGCAUCUGUCUGGCCUGUUAAGCGCUAUGCUGUAGCAAUAAGCAUUGGAGUCCAUAUCCUUUUUCCACUAUGCUCUCUCUUUUUUGUUUUUUUUUCAAAAGGUAGGCAUGAAAGGAAAUUGGUUAAUAGAAUACAGAAAUUGAUGAAAAUUAUAAAGAAAAAGAAAAAUCAAGAUAACUUCCCUAAUUGUUGGGUUGCCUCCCAAUCAGCGCUUGAUUUUCGGGCCUUCAGUCUAACCUUUCUUAAUUUCUCACAAUAUUGGAUUUUUGAGGAGCAAGUCUUCCUUUGAGUGGUCCACAGCAGCAUCCAUGUAAUGUUUUACUCGGUGCCCAUUAACCUUAAAUUCCUAACCUAUUUUUUCAUCUAAAAGGUCCGCAGUCCCAUAAUGAUAGCUUCUGAUUAGCUUGAAAGGUCCUGACCACCUAGAUUUCAGUUUUCCCGGAAAUAACUUUAAUCUUGAGUUAAAGAGCAAAACUAGUUGGCUAGGAAUUAAACUUCUUUACUGGAUGUGCUGGUCAUUCCAUUUUUUUUGUUUUCUCCUUAAAAAUCCUUGCAUUCUCAUAGGAGAACAACCUUAGCUCUUCAAGCUCACAAUGUUGAAGUUUUCAAUGUUCUGCUGCAGCUUGUAAGUUCAUGUUUAGUUACUUUAAUGCCGAAUAUACUUUAUGUUAUGGCUCAAGAGAUAGGCGACAAGCUUUUCCAUAGAUGAUUAUAUAUGGAGACAUGCCAAGUGGUGUCUUAUAUGUUGUUCUGUAAGCCUAUAAAGAGUCAUGAAAACAUAGGGACUAGUCCGUUCUAAUGGGGUUCACCACUUUCUCUAAAAUCUUUUUAAUUUGUUUGUUAGGCACUUCGACUUGACUAUUGGAUUGUGGGUGAUAUGCUAUAGCAAUCUUAUGCUUAACUUCAUACUUAGCCAACGCUGCAGCAAAGAGCUUAUUGUAAAAGUGAAUACCUUCAUCACUAAUGAUUGCUCUUGGAGUUUUAAAUCUUGAGAAGAUAUUUUUCUGAAAAAAGUUCACCACUGCUUUGGCAUCAUUUAUUGGCAAUGCGGCAACCUCUACCCAUUUAGACACAUAGUCUACAGCAACUAGAAUAUAUAAGUUCCCAAAAGAUUGUGGGAAUGGGCCCAUGAAGUCUAUCCCCCAUGCAUCAAAGAUCUCUACCUCCAAAAUGUUUGUUAAUGGCAUUUUAUGUCUUUGAGAUAUGUUUCUUGUUCUUUGGCACCUGUCACAACAUUCAGUAAACUCAUAAGCAUCUUUAAAAAUAAAAGGCAAGUAAUAACCUGAUUGUAGAACUUUGGCAGUUGUUUUGUGGCCUCCUAAAUGUCUUCCACAUGCUGCAGCAUGGCAUGACUGUAGGAUGUGUGGAAUUUCUUCAUCAGGUACACAUCUUCGGAUCAUAUGGUCUGAGCAUAGCUUGUAUAAAUAUGGAUCAUCCUACUGGUAGCUUCUAACAUCAUGAAAAAAUUUCUUCUUCUGCUGAUAAUUCAAAUCAGGUGGUAACAACCCACUCACCAAGUAACUAGCAAAAUCUACCUACCAUGGCAAUCCAGCUUGCUGCAGCAUCUACGCACGCUGUAGCAUUAACAGUUGCUCAUUAGGGAAUGUUUCAGUGAUGUCUUGUUUAGUCAAUGUGCUGGCAUCUGCUUCUAGCCUUGAGAGAUGAUCUGCUACUUGAUUUCCAGUCCAUUUUCUAUCAUUGAUCUCCAAAUCAAACUCUUGUAACAAUAGGAUCCAUCUUAUCAAUCUUGGUUUGGCAUCCUUUUUUUAAAUCAGAUAUUUUAUUGCUGCAUGAUUUGUGUAAACUAUCACUUUGGUACCCACCAAGUAGGCUCUGAAUUUAUCAAAGGCAAACACCACAACUAGCAACUUUUUUUAGUAGUGGUGUAGUUGAUCUAAGCAUUGACAAAGGUUUUGUUGGCAUAGUAAAUGGAGUGAAAAUUCUUGUUCUUUCUCUAUCCCAACACUGCUCCAACAGAAUGGUCACUAGCAUCACACAUCGGUUCAAAAGGUAGACUCUAAUCUAGUGCUAUAACAAUCGGUGUUGUUACUAGAGCUUUAUUUAACUCAUUAAAGGCUUUAAAACAAUCUUUAUCAAAAUUAAAAGGCCUGUCAUGCUCCAGCAACAUACAUAAAGGUUUAGCUAUUUUGCAAAACUCUUUAAUGAACCUUCUAUAGAACCCAGCAUGUCUCAUAAAACUUCUAAUACCCUUAACUGAAGUUGGAGGUGGCAGUUUAUCUAGCACAUCUAUCUUUGCCUUAUCCACCUCUAUCUCAUUCUUGGAUGCUCUAUGACCCAAUAUUAUACCUUCUUGUACCACAAAGUGGCAUUUUUCCCAAUUGAGUACCAAGUUGGUCUCCUCACACCUCUUAAGCACAUCUUCCAAGUUGUGCAAACAAUCAUCAUAUGUCUAUGAAAUACAAGUGUGCAACCCAAGAGGGGGGUGAAUUGGUAUUUUAAAAAUUAUCCUAACAAAGCCACACAACAAUCCAAUCUAAUGCCUUAAUAAAUUCGAAAGCAAUAAGUUCAAUAAAAGCACAAUAACAAAUGAGUAAGAGAGAAGAGAAACAAACACACGAAUUUUUACGUGGUUCGGCAAUCCCCGCCUAAGUCCACGCCUCCAAGUGAUCCAAGCUUGAGGAUUUCACUAUCCAAGCCUUCCAAGGCUUCAAAUGUUUACAAUUGACUUCAAGGUGUCAAUGAACCUUUACAAUAAAGAGAUUAUCUCCCAAUCUCUUCACUCAAGUGUCUCACACACUCAAAUACUCACAAUUAAGAUGAGGAAUUGAAGAUUACAAUAAAAACUCUCUUAAAGAAUAGAUAUACAAAUUGAAGAACAAAAGAUGAUUCAAGGUUUUAUGAUUUGCGAAAUGAGAGCUCAAUGAACGUUGUGUGCUUUUUGAUUUUGCUUGCUAGAGAGCUUUAAAAUGAAUUGGAUUUGAGUUUAUAUAGUUUGAGCUCAAAAACUAGCCGUUAUGCACAUUUUGGUGAUAACCGGCUUACCAUUUAUGGAAUCCGGUUUGCCGCUUGUAUGUUACCGUUAAGGCAAAAAUUUGAAUUUUAGAACAUCUCGCAUGCCGCUUACGAUAUCCGGAUAGCCGUUUAUGCUCCAGAAGCUUACUGCCUAAAAUUUGGAUAGCUGCUUAUCAUAUCCGAUUAAUCGGUUGCUACAGUAACUGCUACAGUAAAAUAUUUUUUGAAAUUAUUGUUUAACCCCAAAACUUUAUAAAACUAUAUUAUGGCCCAAAACGUUAUGAACGUUUUAAAAUAAGUCCAAUUCUAGAAUUCCUAAAUAAUAUUUUGUCAAUCCCAAAACUUUAUGAAAUUAUGAUAUCACCCAAACUAUGUGAAAUUAGCUCCAAAACGCAUCCGGCUUUCCGGUUUUGCUCUGCUGUACCGUACAUCCGCCUUGGCCGUACAGCAGCAAUUCAUAAAUCUUUGUUUAACUAACACAUGUGGUUUGUUAUCAUCAAAAUUAAUAUUUAUAGUCAGAUAGACUAACAAUCUCCCCAUUUUUUAUGAUGAUAAAACACAUUAUAAAAAUUUAAUUUAGUUAUGAAAAACUCCCCCUUAAUUAAUGUAAGGUUAAAAAAAAAUGAUUCGAAAAUUAUUUAAAAGGCUCCCUCUGCAUACAUGCAUAUUUUUAUAUCACAUAUUAUAUUAUUCUCCCCCUUCAUCAUAAAAAAGAAUAAAAGCUCCCCCUAUCAAUCAUCAAAAACUCAAUGCAAGCAUAUUAGUUCAAAAAUAUCCAAAUCAUAAGAAAUUAUAAGAAAUCAUAACAAACAAUCAAAACAGAUCCAUAUCAUCCAAAACAAAUGCAUAAUCCAACAACAUAACAACCAUCCAUAAAAUCGGAAAUAAAAGUACAUAAAGCAGUAAAUGAAAUGUAGGUGUGUCCAAAUACAAGCAUAAGAGACUACUGAGGUGGUGAUGGAGGAGGAUACGGAUACAGAAUGCCGAAGUGCUCAAAGAGGAGGCACUAUCCAUGAAUGAGUUGCUGCUGCUGAAACUCAGUCUACCGCACAGAGAGUGUCCGCACCUCAUCCAUAAGUUGCUGAAGAGUAACCUCUUCAGAGGUAGGAGGCUGUGGAGGUGAUGAAGCGGAUGCAAAGGCACCAGGAGCUGAAGCAAUCACGAGAGGAUCUGGGCGUCUAUGCUGGCCCCGAAAUGAGAGUGAGAAAAUAGGAAGUUGAUCAGCAAGAACCACAACGUUGAGUGGCCGAUCAUCACUCAGAGCAAGAAAAGUAAACUUGUUUUCAGUUAAUUUUACCCUAGUGUCAUUACUCAACUCAAAACCUAAGCCAAAUACAGCAUCAUCCCCUAUACCCUUAGACGGUUUACACGAUGGUUCUUGAAGCGGUACAUCAAAAUAUUUAAGGAUUCAGGUAAUGAAGUGACCAUAUGGAAAGGAGCGGGUAAUCAAGGCAGGUAUGGUCAACAUAGUUCGGAUGAUGGUAUAUCCCAAGUUAACCGAACGACGUCUAAGAAUACAAUCAAUCAAAGCAACGUCCAUGUGGGAAACCUAGUCCAAAUGCCCUGAUCUAGGAAGAACAAUGGAUUGAAUAAAGCGAAGCAAAAUGCAAGUUUGAAGACAAAGACACUGAGUACGGAAAUGAAUGGUGCAAUCUUCACAGAAAGAUCAUUACGCCGACAAUUAUUACGAACGGCGUCAACAUGAACAUAACUAUCAAGUUUGGGAGAUUUCCUAGGCGAAAAAAUUUAUAGGCCAAAAUCGGAUGAUCUUAGGAUAGAGUUUAACAAGGAAAAAUCAAUAUCAAUCAUAACUCCUCCAACAUUGGUGAUUACUCGAGUCUUGUUCUCCGUGGAAAUGUUCAUAUUCGAGUAAAACACUUUCACCAAGUCGGGAUAAACAUUCUCCUCAAUCAUAAGUGCUUUAAUCCAACCAAUAUUUCCCAACAAUUGAAAUAAGUUUCUAUGGCUAAUAUUGAGAGUAUUAAUCCAAUUCGGUAAAACAUAAAACGUAUUGAGUACCUCACGAGUCCUGAAGCUUUGGUGAAAUCGUUUGGCUAAAUGUUUGUUGUUCUAAAAGUGUGAAGACUCAAAAUUGGAUUGAUUGGAGAUGUCCCCUGCUUGCCGUGACCGGUUGGUUUGUUGAACCGGUUCUUUGCCUUUUCUUCAAACCGGCCAUGAGCUUGACAUGGUGAUUUUGAUUGAUUUGAAGUUAAAAAAAGCAAUGAGAAGGAAGAUAACGAGGAUUGAAAGAGAGUUUGGGAGGUAAUUUGGAUAAAAAACGGCUUAAAAGGAAGAAAUUUAGAGAGAGAAGAAUUCGGUAAAACCCUAGAUUUGAGUUCGGAUCUAGUGAGUUUGAGAUUGAAAAUGCAUUUGAAAGAUGUUUUUAGGCAUAAGAACGGAUAGGAAACAAGUUUAAUGGUUCGAUUUGCAUUAAAAAUGAGUAGAAAUGAUGGAUUUUGGAGUGAAAAAGAGAGAGAAAGAAACGGCUUUAGAGAGAGAAAGCUUAUCCGGUUGACCGAAAGAUAGAAGAGGAAUAACUGUUCUAAAAAACUGCAAAUCCGGCUAACCGGUUAGCCGAUUAGUGGAUAGAAUGAGUAAAGCCGUAACUGGCUUACCGGGUUUGCUAACCGGCUGUCCAGUUUAAUUCCAGAAUGUGUCCAUACAGUAACUGGCUUGCCGGUUUGAAGAACCGGCUGUCCGGUUUUUAGGCAGAGAAUGAGCUUUGCAAAUUCAAUUUUUCGGAUUUCAUAACCGGAUGACCGGUUUUCGUCCAGUAAGCUCCAAAACGCAUCCGGCUUUCCGGUUUUUCUAAUCGAUUGACUAGUUUUCUUCCUGAAAUUUUGCAAAGCAAAUCCUGCUUACCAGUUUGGUAAAUCCGGUUAUCCGAAAGUUGACCCAAGAGCAACCAAAGCUAAUCUGGCUUACCGGUUUGCUAAAUCCAGUUAUCCGGAAUUUUUCCCGAGAGCAAUCAAUAAGAAAAACGGUUGGCCAGUUGAGAGAAAGCGGUAUACCGGUUUUAACUUGAAUUUUUUUUUCCUCUAAUUGAAUUUUGGCAAACUCUUAUACUUGUAUUAUACACACCGAUUUGUUUUUGGCUUAAAAAUUGAUCAAUUUUAAAUCAUUUUGUGAUUUUAAACUUUCAAUAAGCCAUUUUAAAAAUAAAUGAAACACAAAUGCAUUCAAGAACAAACAUAUCAACUUAAUCAUCAGAUCAUAAUUCAAGAUGCAACAUUCAUCAUUCCAAGCUCAUGUCUUAUCUUUAUAAAAUGCUCUUCACUAGUAGGUUUUGUAAAGAUAUCAACAAGUUGAUUUUCAGUAGAAACAAAUUUAAUUACAACAUCUCCUUUUUGAACAUGAUCUCUAAGGAAGUGAUGCCUAAUUUCUAUAUGCUUAGUCCUAGAAUGUUGAAUGAGAUUCUUGGAUAGAUUAAUAGCACUAGUAUUAUCACACAAGAUAGGUAUUUGAUCAAGAUUAAUACCAUAGUCUCUAAGGGUUUGUUUCAUCCAAAGAAUUUGUGCACAACAACUUCUGGCGGCAAUGUAUUCGGCUUCGGUGGUUGAAAGUGCAACCAAGUUUUGUUUCUUACUAAACCAAGAGACAAGUGGAUGGCCUAGGAAAUGACAUGUUCCACUAGUAUUUUUUCUAUCAACCUUAUAUCCGGCAAAAUCAGCAUCCGAAUAAUAAGUUAAGUCAAUAUGAGUUCCCCUAGGAUACCAAAGGCCAAGAUUAAUGAUGCCAAUCAAAUAUCAAAAAAUUCGUUUGACAGCAAGCAUGUGUGACUCUUUAGGACAAGAUUGAAAUCUAGCACACAAGCAUACACUAAACAUAAUAUCAAGUCUACUAGUAGUCAAAUAGAGUAAGGAUCCGAUCAUACCUCGAUAAGUCUUGAUGUCAACUUCCUUACCUUUCUCAUCUUUGUCCAGCUUGAUGAUAGUACUCAUUGAAGUGCUUUUUGCCAUUCCAUUAUCAUAGCCGAAUCUUUUGAGUAGAUCUUUCACGUACUUGGCUUGAUUUAUGAAAAUUCCUUCCUCGUUUUGUUUGAUUUGGAGUCCAAGAAAGUACUUCAACACUCCCAUCAUACUCAUAUCAAAUUCUUUGCUCAUACAAGAUGAAAAUUCUUUACACAACAAUUCAUUAGUAGAACCAAAGAUAAUGUCAUCAAUAUAGAUUUGUACUACAAGUAUAUCUUGGUUCUUAUGCUUAAGAAUGAGAGUAGUAUUCGCUUUUCCCAUUGAAAAACCAUUAUCCAAUAGAAAAUUCUUAAGCCUAUCAUACCAUGCUCUAGGUGCUUGUUUUAGUCCAUAUAAUGCCUUAGACAACUUAUACACAUCAUUUGAAAAUUUUCAUUUUCAAAACCAGGAGGUUGUUUUACAUAGACUUCCUCCAUAAUGUAACCAUUUAAGAAAGCACUUUUGACAUCCAUUUGAUAUAAAAUAAAAUUUUUAUGACAUGCAAAAGCUAAGAGCAUUCUAAUGGAUUUUAGUCUAGCUACAGGUGCAAAUGUUUCAUCAAAAUCAAUUCCCUCUUCCUGGUUGUAACCUUGAGCCACUAAUCUAGCUUUAUUUCUUACAACCACACUGGAUUCAUCCAUUUUGUUUCUAAAUACCCAUUUAGUGCCUAUAAUGGAUUAAUGUUCCGGAUUAGGAACUAAUUCCCACACAUUGUUUCUCUUAAAUUGAUUCAACUCCUCUUGCAUUGCCAUAGUCCAAGAUUCAUCAUUUUCCGCAUCCGCAAAGGAUUUUGGUUGAAUUUGAGAAAUAAAUGCAGCAUGCUCACAUGUGUUCCUAAGAGAUGAUCUAGUUGUAACACCUCGUGAGGGAUCUCCUAAAAUUACAUCCUUAAGGUGAAAAGAAACAUACCUCCACUCCUUAGGGAGUGUUUGAGAAGUACCUUCAUUUUGCUCUGCAUUCGUUUCUUCAUGAUGUUCCUCUUGACUUCCAUGUGGUGCAUCUUUUUGGUUGUCAUUUGAUGCUUCUUCUUGUUGUUCUUCUUCUGCAUUAUCAUCAACAACGACUUUCUCCGUAGAGGAGGGGUUAGAGUUAUCAAAUGUCACAUGCAUAGAUUCUUCCACAACCAAAGUUCUUUUAUUAUAAACUCUAUAAGUUUUGCUUGAGUUUGAAUAACCAAGAAAAAUACCUACAUAAGAUUUUGGAUCAAAUUUACUAAGAUUAUCUUUUGUGUUCAAAACAAAACAUUUGCAUCCAAAGACUUUAAAAUAGUCAAUGUUGGGUUUUCUAUCUUUCCAAAGCUUAUAUGGAGUUUUAUUAAGAUUAGGUCUAAUCAACACAAGAUUCAAAACAUAACAAGCGGUGUUGACGGCUAGAAUUUUCAUUCAACAUGGUCCUAGCCAUUUCUUGAAUAGACAUAUUCUUUCUCUCUACAACUCCAUUUUGUUGAGGAGUCCUAGGUGAUGAAAAUUGAUGCUCAAUGCCAAAAUCAUUACAAAAGUUCUCAAAUGCAUAAUUUUCAAAUUUUCCGCCAUGGUCACUCCUAAUACAAGAAAUACUACACCCCUUUUCAUUUUGAACCUUUUUGCAGAAAACUUUAAAUACAUCAAAGGCAUCAUCUUUGUUAGCUAAGAAUAAUACCCAUGUGUAUCUAGAAUAAUCAUCCACAAUUACAAAAGCAUAAUAUUUGCCAUUUAAACUAGCAUAUCUAGAAGGUCUAAACAAGUCUAUGUGAAGUAGUUGAAGUGGUUUUUAAGUAGAAAUUUUUUUCUUGCUUUUAAAGGAAGUUUUGAUUUGUUUUCCAAAUUGGCAAGCUUCACAAAUUCUAUCUUUUUGAAAACUGAUUUUUGAAAGACCUUUAACCAAAUUAUUUUCACGAUUUUUGAAAUCAAAUCCAUGCUUGCAUGACCUAAUCUUCUAUGCCAUAACCAACCAUCAUCAUACAAUGCGGAGAAAAAUUUAUCAUUUGUAGAAGCACAAUCUAUAUUAAUGGUAUAGACAUUAACACAUCUAUUUCCUACAAAUAAAAUCUUGCCAUUACAUGCAUUCUCAAUAACACAUUUUGAUUCAUCAAAGAUAACUCUAUAUCCUUUAUCACAUAAUUGACUAAUGUUAAGCAAGUUGUAUUUUAAGUUUUCAACCAAACACACAUUUUCAAUGAGAGUAGAGGAUAUAUUACUGACAUUGCCAAUGCCAAUGAUUUUUCUUUUGGAAUUAUCUCCAAACGAUACAUCUCCACCAUUUUCGAUCUUGGUAAAACUUGAAAACCAAGAAUAAUUCCCUGUCAUGUGUCUUGAACAACCACUGUCCAAGUACCACUUAUUAUUAUUCUUCUUCUUCUUCAAGCCCUGCAGAGAAAAUCUCAAGUUUUAAGUACCCAAACCUUUUUGGGUCCUUGAGAGUUAGCAAUGGUUCCUUUCGGAACCCAAACACAUUUCACACUAUAAUAUGCAUUUCUCUUCACAGGACAUCUAUUUUUCAUAUGACCAUCUUGAUUACAAUAAUGACAUACAAUUUGAUUGUUAAUAGAUGUAUUCUUCACAAAAUAAAUUUUGUAAUAUUUUUGUUUCAAAUUUGGCUUAUAACCAAUGCCUCCUUUGUCAAAUACACAUUUUUGUGAGUUUAGCAAGUUAUCCAACAUCUUUUGCCCAUUUGUGAAUUUUAGCUCAAUCUCAUUUAGUUCAUUGCUCUUCUUUCUAAGCAUUUCAUUUUCAUUUUCAUUUUUCAAGUCAUUCACGUGUGACUCUAAGUGCUAGAAUUCUCAAAUAAUGCAACUCUAUCACGCAAUGUUUUAUUCUCUAAUUCUAGGCAUGUAAUCUUUGCACUAAAUAAUUCAUUUUCAUUUUUAAGCUCUAUCAUUUUCUUUUUAAAACAUAUAUUCUUUUUACCAAUCUUCAUCAAUUCAUCAUGCAAAUCCUUAAAGGCAUCAUGUAAAUCCUUAAAGGCUAACAGUCUCUCCAAAAACUAAGAAAUCAUCAAUGAAAACUUCCAAUGUCUGCUCAACUAUAUCUGAAAAGAUGGACAUUAUACACCUCUGGAAGGUUGCUGGAGUAUUGCAUAAACCAAAUGGCAUUCUUUUGAAAGCAAAAGUUCCAUAAGGGCAGGUGAGUGUGGUCUUCUCCUGGUCCUCUGGUGCUAUAGCAAUCUGGUUUUAGCCUAAAUACCCAUCUAGGAAGCAGCAGUAUUGUUUUCCAACAAGUCUGUCCAAUAUAUGUUCUAUAAAUGGUAGUGGGAAGUGAUCCUUUCUCGUGGCUUUGUUAAGUUUCCUAUAGUCCAUACAAACUCUCCUUCCAGUUACCAUUCUUGUGAGAAUAAGUUCAUUCUUCUCAUUUGCUACAACAAUUACUCCACCUUUCUUCGGAACACAUUAUACUAGGCUCACCCAAGAACCGUCAGAUAUCGGGUAUAUGAUCCCAGCAUCCAACCAUUUGAUGAUCUCAUUUUUCACAACUUCCUUCAUGCUAGGGUUUAGUCUCCUUUGUUGCUCUACUGAAUUACUGUAAUAGUUAUCCAGCAGAAUUUUGUGCAUGCAUAUGGAUGGGCUGAUUCCCUUAAUAUUUGUCAUAGUCCAUCCAGUUGAUCUGCAUUGAGAGAAGAUGAAAUGAUUACAAAAAGUGUAUUACUUUUACCAAGAUAAACAUAUUUCAAGUGUGAAGGUAGAAGAUUUAAUUCUAAACUAAAAGGUGAUUCAAUAAUGAAAUUGUUGGUUUUACUUUCCUGUUUGAAAGAUCUAGAUAUUCAAAGUGUCUAUUAUAUCUUACAGAUUGCUUUUCUCCUAACCAUGCUAUCUGGUUUGGUGCAACAUCCUCUUCUUCAAGUUCUUCAAAAGUGGCAGCUUUGAUGUCUUCAUUGCUGCAGCAACUGUCUAUUCUUUUUGUCACAACAAAGUCCACAACACUCAUAAAAUUACAGUCUUCAACCUCAUCUGGACUCUUCAUAGCUUCCAGCACAUUGAAGGUGACUUGUUGGUCAUUCACCCUCAUGGUUAACUCUCAUUUCUACAAAUCAAUAAGGUUAGGGUCUUUUCUGUUGCUAGGAAAGGUCUACAAAGUAUAAUUAGUACUUCCUUGUCUGCCUCAAAGUCUAGUACAAAAAAAUCCACUGGAAAAAUGAAUUUAUCUACCUUUACCAAUACAUCUUCAAUCUUGCUCUCAAGACAUGCAUGAGAUUUGUCAGCAAGUUGUAAAGUUACUGUUGUUGGUCUGCAGUCACCAACUCCUAAUUGUUUAAAUACAAGUAAGUACAUUAGAUUGAUGCUUGCUCUCAAGUCACAAAGUGCUCUAGCAUUGUAUCUAGUUCCAAUAGAACAUAGAAUUGUAAAGUUUCCUGGAUCUUUCAACUUUUGAGGAAUCUUAUUCUGAAGGAUAUGCCUGCAUUCUUGUGUUAGAGCAAUAGUUUCAAAUUCUCCAAGCCUUCACUUUCUUGUCAAAAUAUCCUUAAAAAUUUUCAUAUAAUUGGCCAUUUCUUCUAAGGUUUCCACAACGGGAAUGUUGAUAGUUUCAACACUUCUAAGAAUUUGCUGAACUGCUUGUCUUGUUUUUGUUUCUAGAAUCUUUAUGGGAAAGGUGGUGGAUGUCUAAACUAUUGAACUACAACCGGAAGUACAAGUUGUUGUUCUUUUGGUCGACUUUGUGUUGUUACUGCUGGUGUUCCAGCUUCUGCUUCAACAGGUAUGAGUGAUUUCUUUCUGUGGUUGCUAUCGCCUGACUACUUUCACCAGUGUUUUGAUAAUUGGGUUGCUGCAAUUCUUUUUCAACUUGAAGCUCUUCUGGAGAUGAAAUAAGUUCCAUACUUUUUUCUUGGGAUACCAAUAAGGAUAUCAACACCCUUCCCAAACCUUAAAUUGAUUACCUUGCAAUGUUUCUUACCUUCUCUCCUUGGAUCUUAUGUGUUGCUGGGUAAACUCCCUUAAAGCCUGUUACUUAAUGCUGUGGUAAGCUGUCCAAUUUGAUUUUCUAAAUUUCUCAAUGAUACAGCCUGACUUUGGACAACUACUUUAUUCUUCACAAUGUACUCCUUAAUUAGUGUCUCCAGAGAACUAAAUUGAUCAUUGCUGGUGUUAUUUUCCCCUUUAUUUUGCUUACGAAAACCAGGUGGUGGAGUAGGUCUGUUUUGUCCGCCGGGUGCUGUAGAAUGCUAGUUCUAGUUGCUCCAUGAAAAAUUUAUAUGCUACUUCCAUCCAGGGUUGUAGGUAUUAAAGUUGCCCACAUAAUUGAUUGAUGCUGGAUUCCCUGGGCAAUUAUCAAAUAAAUGCCUCUCUCCAGAAUACACGCGAGAAACCUCAGCAACUUGAUUGACUGUUGCUGGAGUAGUGGUCAUAGCUUUCACCAUAUUGGUCAAUGAUGUUACUUGGGCUGAUAAUGCUGUAAAUCUAUCCACAUUAUGUAUUUCCGCUGCUCCUCUUGCUGCAGUUUGUCUACUCGAUGGCAACUGAUAGUUGUUAUUAGUAAUCCUCUCUAAAAUUUCAUAUGCUUCAUUGUAAGAUUUAUAUAAUAAAGCCCCAUUUGCUCAAGCAUCGACCAUCAAUCUAGUACUGGAGUUUAACCUAUUAUAGAAAUUUUUUAACUGUACGCAACAAGGAAUGCCAUGAUGAGGACAUCUCCUAAGCAAUUCCUUAAAUCUUUCCUAAGCCUCAUACAAGCUUUCAUCUUCUAGUUGGUGACAAGAAGUGAUCUCAUUCCGCAACUUUACAUUCUUGGUUGGUGGGAAGUACUUCAUCAGAAACUUAUCAGCCAAGUCAUUCCAUGUUGUGAUGAAGUCUGGUAGUAAAGAGUUCAACCAUGCUCUUGCUCGAUCUCUUAGGGAGUAAGGAAAGAGUAUGAGUCGCAAUGCAUCCUGUGAUGCUCCAGUAAUUUUAAAAGCUUCACUCACCUCCAAAAACAAUUUAAGGUCGAGAUGAGGGUCUUCUAAUGGCAAUCCAUUAAAUUGCUCCAUUGUUUGCAACAUUUAAAACAUCAUUAGUUUGAGUUCAAAGUUGGCAUCUUCCACCUUAGGUCUAACUAUUCCAGGAUGUAUAACUCGAGGGGCCAACACAACAUAAUCUCUAAUGGCUCUGCCAUGUAGAUAAUAUUAUUAUUCCUUGGUGGUCUCUGAUUGAUUUGCCCAUUCUGACCUUCUUGAACAUUGACAGGUUGUAUUAGUCUGUGAGGGUCUAAGUUUCCUAAGAUUUGCAAGUCAUCCAUUGCUACAACAACUUUUGAAUUUCUUUGCUCUCUUCUUAAUCUCCUUGCAAUUCUUUCAAUCUCUGGAUCAAAUUAAAAUUCAACAAGUUUAUAUUUGCGCAUGCAAGAGUGAUCUGUUAACAAAGUAAACAAAUCAGAAUAAAAUCAAAGAUUGGCACUGUUAAAAUUAAUUUCACAACUCAAAAAUAAACAAUCAAUUCCCGGAAACGGUGCCAAAAACUUGUUAUUUUAACUCAUUUUCUAUUGGUAUCAAUGAGCAAGUGUACAUAACAAGUAAUAUAAUGAUGAGUAUCCAAGAUCGUCUCUACAUGGAUUGAUGCUAUCAGACUUGCAAUAGCAAUUUCACAGUGCAAUUUAUGUUUGAAUGUAAAACAAGGCAACUAAUAGAACUAAAAGACUAAGUAAAAAAACUAAAAACACAAUAAUUGAAAAUGCAGUAAAUAAAAUUUGCACGUUAAACACAAAGGUAAAAUCAAUAGGAAUGGAUUAGUUGAAUGAUUAAACUCUCUUGAUGAUGUUGACUGUUUUAUUCAUGCUAAGUUCAGUUGCUACAACAUCUACUACAGUACUGGGUAAAAACUAUCUUAUCAUCAGCGAUAGCAUGUUUGAUGUCUUAUAUAUUUAUACAACCUAACAGUGACCAGUUGUUAUCUCAACAUAAGAUAUAACAUUACACGUUUAUAUUUUCUUUACCCUACAAGGUGAAUCCCCAUAUCUAGUUCAUCACUAAUCUUAGAUUAAGCAUGCCCAUUUUUGGACUCAAGUUAAACUCAAUCCAGGAAACUCAAUCUAAGACCAAGUAUUGCUCUAAUAUGCUCCACUGAGAUAGGCCCUUUUGCGGCUCUUUCUUAACUUUUAUCAUUAAAUGGUUGGUCAACCAAAAAAAUGAAUGUAAAUAAUUGUUAUUAAAGCAACAUGCUAUAGCAAACAUGUAGCAACACCUAUAUUUAGUCAAUUAAUCAUCAAGAUAGUUUAACACUCAACCAUAAAUAAAUUUAGUUCAUAAUUUGUGAAAGGAAAGUAAACAACCAAGUUCUAGCCAUCAAAUACAUCUUAAUGAUCAAUGAAUAACAAGUAAACAAGAAAAGAAUAGGAAAGAGCAAAUUCCAAUUGAUUCUGCAAAUUUCUUCUACUGGUGCAGCCUUGAAUUCUGCUUGGGAAUUCUAUUCCUUCGUUGUUUCUUUUCUGUUUUGAUCUUGAUUGACAACCUCCUUUUUCCUUUGCAUGAUUCCCCUUUUGUAAUCAUAACUUAGGGUAACUAGAAACUUCAGAGCGCGCAUCUUCCAGAUUAAGAAAUUGCAUAUCGCAAUAUUAUGAAUAUCUCACCCAGAUUUUUCUCUGUCAAUGCUUUAGGUUUGCUACAGCAAUGGCGCCAGCAUCUUUUCUGUUCCAUACUUGCUCAAAUUCUUCAAUAGCCAUGCUCGUUUGUCAUCUUUAUAAGUCUAUUGCAACAACAUCUUUUGCAUAAAAUUCAAGUUUCUAUUUACCUAUAGUUAAACAUGUGUUUUAGGCAUAAAUUAUUCAAAAAUCAUACUAACUUUAUUAAACUUAAACUAAAAUGAAUGUGAUGCAAACUAUCAUUAAAAUGCACUAAAACACAUUAAUUACUCUCUAAGUAGUCUUGAUUUAAGCCUAAAAAUGCCAUGAUAACUCUCAUUUUAUAGAGUUAUCAAGCAGCAGCAGGAGCAAGGGAAUGCUGAAGAGGCUAAAGUAGAAGAAGAAGAAAAUGUGAAGAAGAGGAAAAAGAAGCGGAAAAGGAAGAGAAACCACUCGUUCAGACUCCCAAGUGCAAAAGUAAAGAGAAUAUUUUGAUUGAGGAGGAAAAUACUGAGUCAGAGUGGGAAGAGGAUGUUGAUAUAGCAAUUGAAAAGGCCAUCAGGAGGGCCGCAAGGACAAAAGAAGUAAAGAGGAGUUUAAGGGAAAUCAUUGCAAGCAUCACUGCAGAACAAUCAACAACAAGAACUCCCACUCGUGGUGACGGAGAGAAAUCAAGCUAAACGUCAUGAUUAUCCAAAGGUUGAUCAGCGGUGAAAACGACCAGUAUGGGGCUUGGAAUUGGUCGGAAAAUGAAGAGAGGAUCUCAGAUAACCAAAUUUAGGUGGUGGCAUUGACGAAAACCGGCUAGAUCAGGCCAAAAUGAGAGGCAGUUGACAUUAUUUUUUAAGCUCGAUUUGCAGUCUUCUGGUUGUUUUAUGGCAGCGUUGACGCCAGAUAAACGACCAACGUAUCGCAAGCUUCCGAUCAGUGCCUCCCUUGGCCGGUGAAGUGAACGGAAUCAUGAGAUCCGUCUAGGUCGGAUUGUUGUUGUUUGGGUCAGAUCGGAUUGUUGGUGUAUUAGCAGGACAAUGGCUGGGGCUAAGUUACAUAUAAUGUAACAUACAUUACAAAAAAUUACAUCUAAUAAUUUAAUAUAGUUUAACAAUUAAACAAUACUUGAAUAUUUUGGAUAUUAAUCUCAUGUUGCCAUAUACUACAUUAUAUCAAACAUUGCAUGAUCUUUAAUUUGAAUUCAGAAAAUUACUUAUUCUAAGAUAUUUAAAUUUUAUCGAUUGUUGGUUUUCACUAAAUAUCACUAAUUUUAAGACGUUUCAUCGAAAUCCAUUAUCAAGAAUUCUGACUUUUAUUGGCUUAUUUAAGUUUAAAUACCUAAUUAAAUAUACUCUAUGCAAUUAAUUGACUUCCUGUUUAUAUUUUAAAUUUUUUGCACUAUUGUUUAUUUUUCAAGAAAGUGCGUGAGGCUUUCUUCUUGUUCAAAAAAGAUUUUCGCAUGUGCAUACUGUUCUUGAGGGUUUUCUUAUGUUGCCUGCGCAUACUACAUAUACACUAUUUUUUAGGGUGUGCUUAAGUUCUGGUUUUCCUUUGAUCUUGAAUACUCAAAGAGUAAUUCAAAAAAAAAAAACAAAGGAAUUCAGGUUAGUCACUCGCCAAAUAUUCUAAACAAAGAAUUUCUUUAAGGACGCAAGAUUUCCUCAUUGGCUUUUCCUUAGCCCUUAAACGCCUUGUCUGAGAUUUUGAUAUCAUAAUCUUAAAUCCAUUAACAACAAAAGGCUUAAUAAGAAUAGAAGAGUCUCUGUGAAUUUCCUAUAUAAUAAUGGGGUCAACAACUUCUUUUGAAGGAGUAUAUAUAUAUAUGAGAUUCUUGGAUAGUCUCUCUCAAAUAGUUAACUUAAAAAAUAGACGGAUAUGGUUCAGCUAAGAUAGAGUUCCUAAUAGAAUUUUGUAAGUUAGCUCCAAGGACAAGUACGAAUAAGGUUUGACUAGGUAAUGGAUCAGGUAUAGCUUUAGUAGGAGGUUUUAAGUAUGAUUAAGAUCUUCACCUGAUGUGAGCUAGCUCUCUGGAGCUUUUAAAGAUCUUGUGCUACCUUAAGAUCUUAAACUUUCUAUAUCUAUAUACUAAUGGAAUGUCAGGUAAAUCAACAAGUUCACAUGGUCAUUCAUCAACAUGCCUGGUGUGUAUAUGAAUCUAUGGAGUUUCUUCUUCAAAUAAAGUCUAUUUUCAAGGCUUUUGGUCAUGUACUUAUCCUCCAGUAUCUUUCAUAGUUUCUUUACUGAUGUCUCUUUUAUGACAAAAUAUUUAUGAUCUUUAGCCAAACACAAGUGAAUGGUACCACAUGCCUAUCUAUUGAUCUUUAUUCACUCUUUGUUAUCCAUCUUGUUAAUCUUUUCUUCAAGAGCGAGCUCCAACUCUUGCUAACAUAAGAUCUCUAACACCUCACAUUGCUAUAUACCAAAGUUAUUGGUAUCGUCAAAUUUCUCUACUUCAAACUUUGCAUUAGUCAUAAUAGUCUUUACUUAUGAAAACGAUGACAACGUCACCUUUACCCUCCAUUUUCUAACCACUUAACCUAAAUGACUAGUAUCUACGCGUCUAUUUGUAUAGACAAUGCACUAAGAAAGUUCCAAGGAAAGACUGCAUGGGUCACAACAGUCCCACUUAAAACUAGACUCCUUAGGCAAUUUUAGCCUUGUUGACAGAACUUUCCUGGACAUGCAUUUAUCCACACAACCACGUGAUAAUGAUCGCGACUUCUGGGGAAAUAUAAAUAUAGUGAAAAACAAAUGCAAAAAGACAAAAUAAUUUACAUGGUUCAGCUUAUAGCCUACGUCCACGAGUAAAAACUGGAAGAUAAUUUUAUUAACAAAUGGCUGUUGCAAGAUCAAGAACUACUCUUAAAAUGAUCAUAUACACCCAUAUGGAUCCCUGUUGUUCAAAUUUUAAUGUACUCGCAAGCGCACGAAUCUAUUGUAGUAUAGAUUAAUGGUGACGAGUGUCGAUCCCACGAGGAGGUGGAUUUUAAUUGUGUGUAGAAUUAAUUUUGUAAAUGGGUGAUUGGAUUUGUGGUGGAAAUGAUUUGGAAUAUGCUAAAACUUAAAUUAAAAUGGCCAGAAUAAAUUCUAAAAUUGGAAUUGAAAUGGCGAGAAUAAAUUGAAGAGAAUUCUAUUGAAAUGACGUACUUGGGUAUCUGGAUCUGUAUCAACAUGCACCAUGGGCUAAAUAAUCCUUAUUAAUGCCAAUUAAAUCAUGAGGGGGGAAUCCACACCUCAUGAACCACGCUCUAAUCAAUAUGGUGCUAAGGGCUUAUCGUGCCAAAUAAUAAUAACCUUAUACUAGAGAGCCGGUAUAACCAAAGCGGUAUCUAGACAAGACUAUUAUUAUUUGUCGACGAGAAGUCAAAACAUCCACAAAAACUAGAGGGGAAAAGAAAAUAAAUUUACCAAAUAAAGCCCACUGCUGUACGGCCAAGGCGGAUGUACGGUACAGCAGNNNNNNNNNNNNNNNNNNNNNNNNNNNNNNNNNNNNNNNNNNNNNNNNNNNNNNNNNNNNNNNNNNNNNNNNNNNNNNNNNNNNNNNNNNNNNNNNNNNNNNNNNNNNNNNNNNNNNNNNNNNNNNNNNNNNNNNNNNNNNNNNNNNNNNNNNNNNNNNNNNNNNNNNNNNNNNNNNNNNNNNNNNNNNNNNNNNNNNNNNNNNNNNNNNNNNNNNNNNNNNNNNNNNNNNNNNNNNNNNNNNNNNNNNNNNNNNNNNNNNNNNNNNNNNNNNNNNNNNNNNNNNNNNNNNNNNNNNNNNNNNNNNNNNNNNNNNNNNNNNNNNNNNNNNNNNNNNNNNNNNNNNNNNNNNNNNNNNNNNNNNNNNNNNNNNNNNNNNNNNNNNNNNNNNNNNNNNNNNNNNNNNNNNNNNNNNNNNNNNNNNNNNNNNNNNNNNNNNNNNNNNNNNNNNNNNNNNNNNNNNNNNNNNNNNNNNNNNNNNNNNNNNNNNNNNNNNNNNNNNNNNNNNNNNNNNNNNNNNNNNNNNNNNNNNNNNNNNNNNNNNNNNNNNNNNNNNNNNNNNNNNNNNNNNNNNNNNNNNNNNNNNNNNNNNNNNNNNNNNNNNNNNNNNNNNNNNNNNNNNNNNNNNNNNNNNNNNNNNNNNNNNNNNNNNNNNNNNNNNNNNNNNNNNNNNNNNNNNNNNNNNNNNNNNNNNNNNNNNNNNNNNNNNNNNNNNNNNNNNNNNNNNNNNNNNNNNNNNNNNNNNNNNNNNNNNNNNNNNNNNNNNNNNNNNNNNNNNNNNNNNNNNNNNNNNNNNNNNNNNNNNNNNNNNNNNNNNNNNNNNNNNNNNNNNNNNNNNNNNNNNNNNNNNNNNNNNNNNNNNNNNNNNNNNNNNNNNNNNNNNNNNNNNNNNNNNNNNNNNNNNNNNNNNNNNNNNNNNNNNNNNNNNNNNNNNNNNNNNNNNNNNNNNNNNNNNNNNNNNNNNNNNNNNNNNNNNNNNNNNNNNNNNNNNNNNNNNNNNNNNNNNNNNNNNNNNNNNNNNNNNNNNNNNNNNNNNNNNNNNNNNNNNNNNNNNNNNNNNNNNNNNNNNNNNNNNNNNNNNNNNNNNNNNNNNNNNNNNNNNNNNNNNNNNNNNNNNNNNNNNNNNNNNNNNNNNNNNNNNNNNNNNNNNNNNNNNNNNNNNNNNNNNNNNNNNNNNNNNNNNNNNNNNNNNNNNNNNNNNNNNNNNNNNNNNNNNNNNNNNNNNNNNNNNNNNNNNNNNNNNNNNNNNNNNNNNNNNNNNNNNNNNNNNNNNNNNNNNNNNNNNNNNNNNNNNNNNNNNNNNNNNNNNNNNNNNNNNNNNNNNNNNNNNNNNNNNNNNNNNNNNNNNNNNNNNNNNNNNNNNNNNNNNNNNNNNNNNNNNNNNNNNNNNNNNNNNNNNNNNNNNNNNNNNNNNNNNNNNNNNNNNNNNNNNNNNNNNNNNNNNNNNNNNNNNNNNNNNNNNNNNNNNNNNNNNNNNNNNNNNNNNNNNNNNNNNNNNNNNNNNNNNNNNNNNNNNNNNNNNNNNNNNNNNNNNNNNNNNNNNNNNNNNNNNNNNNNNNNNNNNNNNNNNNNNNNNNNNNNNNNNNNNNNNNNNNNNNNNNNNNNNNNNNNNNNNNNNNNNNNNNNNNNNNNNNNNNNNNNNNNNNNNNNNNNNNNNNNNNNNNNNNNNNNNNNNNNNNNNNNNNNNNNNNNNNNNNNNNNNNNNNNNNNNNNNNNNNNNNNNNNNNNNNNNNNNNNNNNNNNNNNNNNNNNNNNNNNNNNNNNNNNNNNNNNNNNNNNNNNNNNNNNNNNNNNNNNNNNNNNNNNNNNNNNNNNNNNNNNNNNNNNNNNNNNNNNNNNNNNNNNNNNNNNNNNNNNNNNNNNNNNNNNNNNNNNNNNNNNNNNNNNNNNNNNNNNNNNNNNNNNNNNNNNNNNNNNNNNNNNNNNNNNNNNNNNNNNNNNNNNNNNNNNNNNNNNNNNNNNNNNNNNNNNNNNNNNNNNNNNNNNNNNNNNNNNNNNNNNNNNNNNNNNNNNNNNNNNNNNNNNNNNNNNNNNNNNNNNNNNNNNNNNNNNNNNNNNNNNNNNNNNNNNNNNNNNNNNNNNNNNNNNNNNNNNNNNNNNNNNNNNNNNNNNNNNNNNNNNNNNNNNNNNNNNNNNNNNNNNNNNNNNNNNNNNNNNNNNNNNNNNNNNNNNNNNNNNNNNNNNNNNNNNNNNNNNNNNNNNNNNNNNNNNNNNNNNNNNNNNNNNNNNNNNNNNNNNNNNNNNNNNNNNNNNNNNNNNNNNNNNNNNNNNNNNNNNNNNNNNNNNNNNNNNNNNNNNNNNNNNNNNNNNNNNNNNNNNNNNNNNNNNNNNNNNNNNNNNNNNNNNNNNNNNNNNNNNNNNNNNNNNNNNNNNNNNNNNNNNNNNNNNNNNNNNNNNNNNNNNNNNNNNNNNNNNNNNNNNNNNNNNNNNNNNNNNNNNNNNNNNNNNNNNNNNNNNNNNNNNNNNNNNNNNNNNNNNNNNNNNNNNNNNNNNNNNNNNNNNNNNNNNNNNNNNNNNNNNNNNNNNNNNNNNNNNNNNNNNNNNNNNNNNNNNNNNNNNNNNNNNNNNNNNNNNNNNNNNNNNNNNNNNNNNNNNNNNNNNNNNNNNNNNNNNNNNNNNNNNNNNNNNNNNNNNNNNNNNNNNNNNNNNNNNNNNNNNNNNNNNNNNNNNNNNNNNNNNNNNNNNNNNNNNNNNNNNNNNNNNNNNNNNNNNNNNNNNNNNNNNNNNNNNNNNNNNNNNNNNNNNNNNNNNNNNNNNNNNNNNNNNNNNNNNNNNNNNNNNNNNNNNNNNNNNNNNNNNNNNNNNNNNNNNNNNNNNNNNNNNNNNNNNNNNNNNNNNNNNNNNNNNNNNNNNNNNNNNNNNNNNNNNNNNNNNNNNNNNNNNNNNNNNNNNNNNNNNNNNNNNNNNNNNNNNNNNNNNNNNNNNNNNNNNNNNNNNNNNNNNNNNNNNNNNNNNNNNNNNNNNNNNNNNNNNNNNNNNNNNNNNNNNNNNNNNNNNNNNNNNNNNNNNNNNNNNNNNNNNNNNNNNNNNNNNNNNNNNNNNNNNNNNNNNNNNNNNNNNNNNNNNNNNNNNNNNNNNNNNNNNNNNNNNNNNNNNNNNNNNNNNNNNNNNNNNNNNNNNNNNNNNNNNNNNNNNNNNNNNNNNNNNNNNNNNNNNNNNNNNNNNNNNNNNNNNNNNNNNNNNNNNNNNNNNNNNNNNNNNNNNNNNNNNNNNNNNNNNNNNNNNNNNNNNNNNNNNNNNNNNNNNNNNNNNNNNNNNNNNNNNNNNNNNNNNNNNNNNNNNNNNNNNNNNNNNNNNNNNNNNNNNNNNNNNNNNNNNNNNNNNNNNNNNNNNNNNNNNNNNNNNNNNNNNNNNNNNNNNNNNNNNNNNNNNNNNNNNNNNNNNNNNNNNNNNNNNNNNNNNNNNNNNNNNNNNNNNNNNNNNNNNNNNNNNNNNNNNNNNNNNNNNNNNNNNNNNNNNNNNNNNNNNNNNNNNNNNNNNNNNNNNNNNNNNNNNNNNNNNNNNNNNNNNNNNNNNNNNNNNNNNNNNNNNNNNNNNNNNNNNNNNNNNNNNNNNNNNNNNNNNNNNNNNNNNNNNNNNNNNNNNNNNNNNNNNNNNNNNNNNNNNNNNNNNNNNNNNNNNNNNNNNNNNNNNNNNNNNNNNNNNNNNNNNNNNNNNNNNNNNNNNNNNNNNNNNNNNNNNNNNNNNNNNNNNNNNNNNNNNNNNNNNNNNNNNNNNNNNNNNNNNNNNNNNNNNNNNNNNNNNNNNNNNNNNNNNNNNNNNNNNNNNNNNNNNNNNNNNNNNNNNNNNNNNNNNNNNNNNNNNNNNNNNNNNNNNNNNNNNNNNNNNNNNNNNNNNNNNNNNNNNNNNNNNNNNNNNNNNNNNNNNNNNNNNNNNNNNNNNNNNNNNNNNNNNNNNNNNNNNNNNNNNNNNNNNNNNNNNNNNNNNNNNNNNNNNNNNNNNNNNNNNNNNNNNNNNNNNNNNNNNNNNNNNNNNNNNNNNNNNNNNNNNNNNNNNNNNNNNNNNNNNNNNNNNNNNNNNNNNNNNNNNNNNNNNNNNNNNNNNNNNNNNNNNNNNNNNNNNNNNNNNNNNNNNNNNNNNNNNNNNNNNNNNNNNNNNNNNNNNNNNNNNNNNNNNNNNNNNNNNNNNNNNNNNNNNNNNNNNNNNNNNNNNNNNNNNNNNNNNNNNNNNNNNNNNNNNNNNNNNNNNNNNNNNNNNNNNNNNNNNNNNNNNNNNNNNNNNNNNNNNNNNNNNNNNNNNNNNNNNNNNNNNNNNNNNNNNNNNNNNNNNNNNNNNNNNNNNNNNNNNNNNNNNNNNNNNNNNNNNNNNNNNNNNNNNNNNNNNNNNNNNNNNNNNNNNNNNNNNNNNNNNNNNNNNNNNNNNNNNNNNNNNNNNNNNNNNNNNNNNNNNNNNNNNNNNNNNNNNNNNNNNNNNNNNNNNNNNNNNNNNNNNNNNNNNNNNNNNNNNNNNNNNNNNNNNNNNNNNNNNNNNNNNNNNNNNNNNNNNNNNNNNNNNNNNNNNNNNNNNNNNNNNNNNNNNNNNNNNNNNNNNNNNNNNNNNNNNNNNNNNNNNNNNNNNNNNNNNNNNNNNNNNNNNNNNNNNNNNNNNNNNNNNNNNNNNNNNNNNNNNNNNNNNNNNNNNNNNNNNNNNNNNNNNNNNNNNNNNNNNNNNNNNNNNNNNNNNNNNNNNNNNNNNNNNNNNNNNNNNNNNNNNNNNNNNNNNNNNNNNNNNNNNNNNNNNNNNNNNNNNNNNNNNNNNNNNNNNNNNNNNNNNNNNNNNNNNNNNNNNNNNNNNNNNNNNNNNNNNNNNNNNNNNNNNNNNNNNNNNNNNNNNNNNNNNNNNNNNNNNNNNNNNNNNNNNNNNNNNNNNNNNNNNNNNNNNNNNNNNNNNNNNNNNNNNNNNNNNNNNNNNNNNNNNNNNNNNNNNNNNNNNNNNNNNNNNNNNNNNNNNNNNNNNNNNNNNNNNNNNNNNNNNNNNNNNNNNNNNNNNNNNNNNNNNNNNNNNNNNNNNNNNNNNNNNNNNNNNNNNNNNNNNNNNNNNNNNNNNNNNNNNNNNNNNNNNNNNNNNNNNNNNNNNNNNNNNNNNNNNNNNNNNNNNNNNNNNNNNNNNNNNNNNNNNNNNNNNNNNNNNNNNNNNNNNNNNNNNNNNNNNNNNNNNNNNNNNNNNNNNNNNNNNNNNNNNNNNNNNNNNNNNNNNNNNNNNNNNNNNNNNNNNNNNNNNNNNNNNNNNNNNNNNNNNNNNNNNNNNNNNNNNNNNNNNNNNNNNNNNNNNNNNNNNNNNNNNNNNNNNNNNNNNNNNNNNNNNNNNNNNNNNNNNNNNNNNNNNNNNNNNNNNNNNNNNNNNNNNNNNNNNNNNNNNNNNNNNNNNNNNNNNNNNNNNNNNNNNNNNNNNNNNNNNNNNNNNNNNNNNNNNNNNNNNNNNNNNNNNNNNNNNNNNNNNNNNNNNNNNNNNNNNNNNNNNNNNNNNNNNNNNNNNNNNNNNNNNNNNNNNNNNNNNNNNNNNNNNNNNNNNNNNNNNNNNNNNNNNNNNNNNNNNNNNNNNNNNNNNNNNNNNNNNNNNNNNNNNNNNNNNNNNNNNNNNNNNNNNNNNNNNNNNNNNNNNNNNNNNNNNNNNNNNNNNNNNNNNNNNNNNNNNNNNNCCACGUCAUCAGUGAAUAGUACGCGGUUUGACCACGUGGAUGAACAGUAACACAAUUUGACCCGGAUGAACGGUAACGCGGUUUGGUUGAAAAUAAUCUUGUGUGUUGCAUGUACCGUACGUGAGAUUUUUGGUCCACUGAUAUGCUGCCACGUCAUCGAUCAAUAGUGCAUAAGAAUUUUAGUCCAACAAGAUCGUGACACCUCAUCAGUCAAUGCCACAUCAUCGGUCAAUGCCACCUCAUCGAUCCGUCUAUGUGAACAGUGUCGUGAACAGUAACGUAGACAGUACCGUACAUGUGAAUAGUACCGUACAUGUGAACAAUGCCAUUUUUCCUUUUAUGCUCCUCCUAAGGUUUUCGACCGUCCUGAGUUCAAAAGUGAUGUCCGUUUUACCGUCUGAUCUCUCGUUUAUUGUGAAAUGACUAUGACGCCCCUAAAAUACAUAAAAUACUUAAUUAAAAUAAAACACACAAUUAAAUUACAAGAAGCUUAAACACAUAAAAGUAAGGGUUGUUAGUAAGACGUGAAAUGUAAAAUGAUGAUUUUCUCCUUUAUAAAUAUGCAUUUUCUAACACUCAACAAUCCCCUUUAUACUCAAGGAAAUGCUCUUUCAACACUCUUGAAGAUGCUCUUAACUCUCACAAUUUGGGAUGCUUUACUCUCUCGAAAUGAAGAUCUAUUUAUAGUGAAUGAGUGACCUUGAACUUUAAGAAUUGCAGUCCAAAAUCCAGUGCAAUAGCCACCAUUUCCAUUUACGAAUAUUGACAAAUAAAGCAUGAAUUACUGACUAUUCAUAAUGGUGAAAGAUCACGUGAGAAUUUUCUGCCAAAUUUCAUUUGCAUGCAGUAAAGUCAUGCACACUUUGUCAAAAACUUAUGCGUGCAAUUUGCUGCCAUCUUCAAUUUUCAACAACAUCACUGUAUAACAUUAAUUGAAUAAACAAAUUUGUCAAACAAUUUUACUAUUUCACUUUCACGCUUUAAUAAUUACCCUUAUUCAAGUCAAUAUUUCAACAAAGGGUUGUGGUUGAUUUUAAAACAAAAAAAUUAGUUAAAUAAACAAAAAUAGAGGUUGUAAUUUUUUGAAAAAGUUCACAAAAUAGCCUCCUACCUCCUUUUAUUAGCUGCGCCAAAAUAAAGAAAAUUAUCAAAUAAGUGGAUCUUAAAAUAUUUACAAAACAUUCUUUCUUCUUUUUUUUUCAAAAUAGGCUCCAUAUUUAUGUAUUUUAGAGUUUAGAGUUUCACAACAUUUAUUCACCAGUACUGAUAUUUGAACAUUAAGAAUACGCCACUAAAACAAAAGUGAGGUUAUUGUUUGUGAUGGCACUAUUCGUACUACAGUAUUGUCGUUUCUAUCUUGUGGUGCUAGUUGCAAGAAAUAGUGUACUAGCAUGUGGAGUUUAUUUCAUCAUGAUAUUCAAGAAGAAAGAGUUGACACAUUGACACAUAAUAUUUUUAUUUCUUUAUUUCCAUUUUGGGGAAAACAUGGUACAAGUAGAUAAAUAAAGAAAAUCUUCUUGUAUAUCUCAAGAGAUCUUAUCACACUUAUAUAAUGAGCAAGUAAUAAUACACCCAUCUUUUUAUUUAAUUAAAUAUAACAUAGAGGAGUGACAUUGUAAUUCACCAGUGUGGUCAGAAUUUCUCCCAUAUUAAGGGCCAAUAAAAAGAUUAAGAUUGUCAUUCGCAAUGUCAUCAUCAAUAACAUUGAGUAAAUAUCUAAUAUGACAAGUCCCUCUGACUAACUGUUAUUAUCUGAAAAAUUCAUAUUAGAAAACAGAGUCAUUUAGACGCUAUUAAAACAAGAAUUAUAAAUGAUAUUCUACUGAAAUUAAUUGUCCUAAAAACUUGUGUAGGUACUUUCCAUAUUCUUCAAAUCAGAAAGCUCUCUUCUUCCGAAAACAAAGCUUAAAAAGUAUUCAAGUUACUUUUGCGAGUUUUUGCUAGUUUCUGGUUUGGUAGAAUGUGCUUGUAUAGUAUGUGUAUACAUAUAAAAUGAAGUAGCAGAUAAUAGUGCCAAGUUGGGUGAUUGGAGCAUAGUUAAUUAAUUACAAGGAAAACUAAUAGUAAUAAUACAUUAGAAAAAAUUUUGUUUUAUUAAGGAUAUAUUUGAUAUUUAGAUGUAUAUGUAGAGUGAAAUUUCAAUUUUUAAAUUUUAAAGAUGGGUUUAAAAAUCAAAUGGUUUUAGAAAGUAUCUUAGUGGGUUCAAAUAGACCCACCCAAUCAUAGGAUGUGGAAAAAUUAUAUAAUUAGCAUAAUUUUAAAAUGAUAUAUUAGAUAGACAUGAUCCAAAUGCUCAUCUAAUCUAAUCAUUUUUAAGAUUUGCCAAGUUGUUGAAUACAUGUCAUUUUUUUUAAAAGAUGGGGCUCUAAAAACAGCUAGUACAAAACAGAGAGGGGGUAAGCCACCCUAUACAAGUCAUGGUACAGGAGAGGAGUAACACUAAGUGGGGGACUAGAAAGAUGAUGAACACCUAGAGGAAAAGAUAAAGCAUAAUUAGCAACUUAGUCUACUAUGUAGUUCGCCUCACGAUGGACGUGGUUAAUGAUAACAUUCCAAUUACGCUGGAUAAUCUCCUUGAUAGAUUGAAUAAGAGAAGUGUACUUAUUGAUAAUAUCCACAGGCUUGUUAACCAGUUGAGUGAUGCAUAGGCUAUCAAUUUCCACCACCAGACACUUUAUCCCAUGUUCCCAUGCCAGUUUUAAACCUUGAUAUAAACCCCAUAACUCAACCAUCAUAACAAAACAAUGACCUAUAUUCAUUCCAAAACCAAAUAUCCAAACCCCAUUAUGAUCACGAAUUACACCACCAGCACUUGAUGCUCUUGUUCGCUUACAAGCUCCAUCGGUAUUCAACUUACACCAUGGCCAAGUGGGGGCCCUCAACACAAUCCAUCUCCAAAAUCAAUUAGAGAAGUUCAAAGGUUAACAAUGAAAUUCUAGUUAUGCAACCCAAGAGGGGGGUGAAUUGGAAUUCUAAAAAUUAUUCAAUUUAUAAAGAAAAAAACUGAAUGCAAAUAUAAACCAAAUUCAAAGCAAUAACAAAUAAGGUGAUCACAAUAUAAAAAGAUAAGGGAAGAGAGAUUCAAACACAGAGAUUUUUACGUGGUUCGGCCAACCUCGCCUACGUCCAUGCCUCCAAGUUUUCCGGGCUUGAGGAUUCAACAAAGCAAGCCUCAAAGGCUUCAAAUGCUUACACUUGACUUCCAAGGUGUCAAUAACCUUUACAACAAGAGAUUAUCUCAAUCUCUUUAACACAAGUGUAUCCCAACACUUACAAUCACUCAAAACAAAAGAUUACAAAUUUGUUUUGCCUCUCACAAUAUUUAAGAUUACACAAUUAUGCCCAAUAUGUGAAUAGAUGAAGUAAGAAUGUGUUCAAAGCUCUAUGAAGAUUGUAUUCUCGAGUAUAAGCUCAAUAGUCGUGUUGUGAUUAAUCUUGUUUGAAUUUGAAUGAGCUUAUUUAUAUUUGGAGCUGAUAAACUAGCCGUUGCAAACUGUCGGCCCGAAAAUGGUUCGCAGUUAACCAUUAACGGUUAACCGUUUAGGCUGGUCAAAAGUUACCGUUGGGCCAAAUUUCAAAUAAACGGUUUGCCGUUUAGGAUUACCCUUUCGCCAUUAAAUUCCAGAGACCUGCAAGAUGAAUAUCAAUUAUCCGUUUAUAUUAAACGGUUAAGGAUUUGCAUGAAGUGACUUCUCUGGAUAUUAUCGGUUAACCGUUUGUAAUAAAUGGUUCGCCGUUUGUUUCCAGUAACCUGCGAAACAAUUUAGCCUUAUCCGGUUUUGUUAAACGGUGUCAGAAGAGUACAACCUUCAAUUCUGAAUUUUAUCGGUUAACCGUUUAAAUAACCGGUUCACCGUUAAAUUCCAGUAGCCUUCCCAACUUUUUUGUGUUUUCCUUUUUUCUUAAUCGAUUAGAGUUUAUCGGUUAACCGUUUAAAUAACCGGUUCACCGUUAAAUUCCAGUAGCCUUCCUAGCUUUUUUGUGUUUUCCGUUUUUCUUAAUCGGUUAGAGCUUAGGCAAUAUGUUGUUAUCUGGUUUUAAUCGGUUAACCGUUUGUAAUAAAUGGUUCACCGUUUAUUUCUAGAAUCACAUUUUAAACCAGAUUUUGCAGAGAGUCAUUUUCUAAUUUGAAAGUCCAUCUUUUAUGAUUUUUUGGGUCAUGCUGGAUUCUACAGAAGAUUCUGCUGUACGGCCAAGGCGGAUGUAUGAAUAUGAUUGGAAUGAUUAUAAGGCUUUCAUUUAUUAAAGAAUAACUCCAACAUUUUAAUCAAAAAAACCAUUUAAAGUAUGUUAUCAUCAAAAUCAAUAUUAUUAACAUAUUCAUGUUAACAAACAAGAAGAGUUGCAGCCUUGAACCAAUUUAUUUCACGAGCAACAGAUAAAUGCCUACCAUUCUUCAAAACCCUUAGAGGGGGGAAAAGAAAUGAUAUGGACAGAGGAAUGUGAGAAAGCCUUCCAAGAGUUGAAGAGGUAUCUGAGAAGUCCUCCAAUUCUUUCUAAACCAAUACCAGGAGAAUAUCUUUACUUAUACCUGGCCAUUUCAGACUCAGUAAUAAGCUCAGUAUUGAUAAGAGAAGAAAGUAAGGUGUAGAAGCCAGUCUAUUAUGUGAGCCAUACAUUCCUAAAUGUCGAGACAAGGUAUCUAGCUAUAAAAAAAAUGGCUUUAGUGCUAGUACUAUCUGCCAGGAAAUUAAGGCCUUAUUUCAAAGCUCACACCAUAGUGGUGCUAAAAUACUAGACCUUGAGGCAGCUAAUGCAACAACCAGAGGUGUCGGGAAGGUUGGUGCAGUGGGCUGUAGAACUGGGAGAGCAUGAUAUUAGGUACCGACCUAAAACAAUAAUUAAAGGGCAAACAAUUGUUGAGUAUUAGAAAGUGUAUAUUUAUCAAGGAGAAAAUCGUUAUUUUACACUCCUAGUUUCACUAACAUCCCCGCCGUACAGCAGACUAACAUCCCCACUUUUAUGUAUUUAAGUCUCUUGUGAUUUAAUUAUGUGUGUUGUAUUAUAAUAAAUUAUUUUCUGUCUUUUAGGGCCAUCAUGGUCAUUUCACAAUGAAUGAGAGAUCAGACAGUAAAACGAACAUCACUUUUGAACUCAGGACAGUCGAAAACCUUAGGAGGAGUAUAAAAGGAAAAAUGGCACUGUUCACAUGUACACUACUGUUCAUGUUACUGUUCACAUAUACGGAACGAUGAUGUGGCAUUGACCGAUGACGUGACAUUGACUGAUGAGGUGUCACGAUCCUAUUGAACUAAAAUUCUUAUGUACUGUUGAUCGGUGACAUAGCAGCAUGUUAGUGGACCGAAAAUCGUGCGUACGGUACAUGCAUAUACACGGAAUUAUUUAUAACCAAACCAUGUCACUAUUCAAGUCGCCUCACUGUUCAUUUCGCGUUACUAUUCAAACCGCGUAUUGUUGACACGUGGCGCAAUCCUGAGCGUCCAAAUUAUUUUUAAUUUUAUGGUCAUGAUUCACUCAGUGUAUCUAUAAAAAGAUGGCUCCCCCCCUCACAUAAUUUGACACCCCUAAAUUCAUGUUUGACCUCCAUUUUUUGUAAUUCCUUCUCCAUCUUGUAUUUUCUAUGUAUUUUAAUAAAUUCUGAUUUUACCCCUAAUUUAAUUAUAAAUAGCCAAUUUUCUUUCAAGCUUGGGUUGAAGGUGAAGUCUCAACAUGGGCCAUGGGUUUUAUUUGGUAAAUUUACUUUCUCAUCCCCUCUAAUUAAUGUGCAUGCUUUGACUUUUCACCGACAGAUAAUAACAAUCUUGUCUAGAUACCGCACUGGUUUAACCGGCUCCCUAAUAUAAGGUUAUUACUAUUUGACACGAUAAGCCCUUAGCACCAUUAUAUAAGGUUAUUACUAUUUGACACGAUAAGCCCUUAGCACCAUUUUGAUUAGAGUGUGGUUCAUGAGGUGUGGAAACCCCCCUCAUAAUUUAAUUGGCACUAAUAAAGAAUAUUAAGCCCAUGGUGCAUGUUGAUGCAGAUCUAGAUACCAAAGUGCUUCAAUUUUAAUAGAUUUAACUUCAAUUUAUUCCCACCAUUUUAAUUUAAAUUUUAGGACAAUCUAAAUCACUUCCACCACAAAUCCAAUCACCACUUAGAAAAUUAACUCUACACAUAAUUAAAAUUCAUCUCCUCAUGGGAUCGACACUCGUUACCAUUAAUCUAGUUUACAAUAGAUUCGUGCACUUGCGAGUUCAAUAAAAUUUGCACAACAAGUUUUUGGCGCCGUUACCGAGGAGGUAAGUUAUUUUAAUUAGUAGAAUUAAUUUUUGUAAAUAAUUUCUUUUCGUUGUUUUCUUGUAAUUUUUUUCUUAUUAAAAAAAAGAAAAAAAGUGAAUAUGUAUUUAAAGGUAAGAAUUUCUUUUCUUUUUCUCUUCUUUAAAAUUCUGUAAUUUAAUUUUCAAGUUAUUUUUCUUUGUAAUUUAUUUUUAGUUAAUUUAUUUCACGUAUUUUUUUAGUGUGUUUUCAUAAAAAGGUUGUAACAGCGUGAUAAGGUUAGUACCGUAAUUUCUUUCUUCUUUAUUUUUAUUAAUUUUGUUCUCGUUUCUUUUUGUAUUCUUUGCAUGCAUGGUCAAAGGUCACUAUUACCUAAUCUUGAGCCUAUAGAUUUUGAACUGGAAAAAACGCUUCGCACGCACAAACACGUUGCAAUUAAAAAUAAAAUUGAAAUGGAUUUGCAACAACAAGAAGCACUACAGGAGAGGCCAUUUAAGGACUACUUCAGUCCCUUAGUUAACUUGAGCACAUCAUGCAUAAGAUACCCAAAUGUAGCUGUUAGGAGUUUUGAGUUAAAAUCUAGCGUGCUAAAUUGUCUCCCAACAUUUUAUAGCCUAGAAAAUGAGGACCUAUAUAAUCAUCUGAAUGAUUUUCAUGCUAUUUGUCAAACUUUUAAAUAUGAGAAUUUUUCAGAUGAUGAUGUUAAACUCAGAUUAUUCUCAUUUUCUUUAAAGGAUGGAGCUCCUUCAUAUUCAAUACAUUGCCUGCUAAUAGUAUUACAUCAUCAGAAUAAAUGGUAACAAAAUUUUUGAAUAAAUAUUUCCUAGUAGAUAAAACCAAUGUUAUUCGUAGGGAAAUUUCAGAGUUUACCCAGAGAGAAGACGAUCAAUUUUUCAAAGCAUGGGAACGAUUCAAUGGGCUACUUUUGAAGGGUCAACAUCAUGGGUACGAGAAAUGGCACCAAUGCCAAUAGUUUUUGGAGGGAUUAUUACCGCAUGUACAAGAAUGGCUAAUGGCAACAAGUGGAGGAGAGCUAAUGUCAAAAAGUGCAUAAGAGAUUUAGGAUUUCUUCCAGCGACAAGCGGAUAAUUCCCAACAACGGAGUCGAUCACUCAGGAAUACUAAAAGAAUUAAAGGAGUGAAUGAGGUUCACAUUGGCGAGUCAAGUUCGGAAAUUAAAGAAGUCAAAGCGAUAAUUGAAGGUCUUUCCCAACAAAUAGUAUCAUUAAUGACUACUAAAUCAACAGAGUCAUAUGACCAUGACUCAUACUCAGAUCAAGCCAAUGCCAUAGGUGUAAUGAGAAAACCAUUAAACCAUAACCCAUAUUCUAACACAUAUAACCCUGGAUGGAGAGGCCACCCCAAUUUUUCUGGUCUCAAGGAUUCCAACAGAAUAGACCAGCAACUCCAGCUCCACCAAUGCAACCAAUUCCUCAAGUUCCUCAAGCCUUUCAGCCACCAUUUAGACCAUAUAAUCAGAACUAGAAUUACUCUCAACCCAGACCAUAGGAGGAUGCAUUCCAAAAUUUCAAAAAUCUUACUCACUCCACGAUUGAGCAACAGAACCGCACCAUUGAUGAACUACGAAAUGAGAUGAGAGCAUGCUUCAUCUCACAAACCCUAUUAGUUUCAAACCUCAAGAAGAUGGUGGGAUAGCUUGCCUCUUCAGUUUAAACUUUGGCAAUGACUGUUGAGAAAGACAAAUUUCCAAGUCAACCAGUGUCUAAUCCUAAAGGAGUGCAUGAAGUAAGUGUCAGUUCACCACAGCAGCAUGGAGAGGUCAAAGCCAUCAUGACCUUGUGAAAAGCGAAAGAAGUCGACAACAAAAUGGAGAUGCCAGUGACAAAAACAACUCAAAUUGUACCUGUGAAUUUUGAGGACCCAUCAUUAGAGGAGAAAAAAGAAACCAACCCACGAGAAUACGUUCCUAAUGCUCCAUUUCCUCAGAGGUUAGCUAAAGGAAAGAAGGGAAAAUCUAUAGAUGAGAUUUUUGAAAUCUUUAAACAGGUAAGUGUUAAUAUCCAUUUGCUUAAUGCUAUAAGACAAGUGUCAACUUAUGCCAAGUUUCUUAAAUACCUUUGUACUAAAAAGAGAAACAUUCACGUUAAAAAAAAGACAUUUUUAACAGAAAAUAUUAGCUCUAUACUCCAACAUAAAAUUCCUCUAAAAUACAAAGAUCCAGGCUCCCCCACUAUCUCAUGUAGUAUAGGGAACUACACAAUUGAGAAUGCUUUGUUGGACUUAAGAGCUAGUGUAAAUCUAUUGCCUUACUCAAUAUUUGUGAAACUUGGACUGGGAGAAUUACACCCAACUCUAGUUGUGUUACAGCUUGCAGAUCGGUCCACGAAAAUAGCUCGUGGUAUUGUGGAGGACGUACUUAUCCAGGUAGACAAGUUUAAUUUUCCUGUUGAUUUCAUUGUAAUUGACACUUAACCAGUCCAGGAUUCAAGGAAGCACAUCCCCAUUAUCCUAGGCCAGCCUUUCUUGGCAAUUACCGAUGCUUACAUUUAAUGCAGGACUGAAAAUAUGCAGUUGUCCUUUGGCAACAUGACUAUGGAGCUAAACAUCUUCAACAUUACCAAACAACCUCUCAAUGCAAAUGAUGGAAUUGUUGAUGUGGAUUUAAUAGAAGAAAUAGUUGAUAAUACUUUUUUUCAAACCUUAGUGAUGACCCUUUACAAACAUGUUUAACUUAUAUUAGUUUUGACUUUGAUAUUGACAGAUCAGUCGAUGAGGUCAACGCUCUACUUGACUCAACACCAUCCAUGGACACUAAUAAAUGGAAGUCAAUAGUUCAACAACUAGCACCAUCAGAGAAAAAACUCAACCCAUCAUCAGAAUCAUCACCGAAACUUGAGCUCAAACCAUUACCCAACACUUUUGGAAUAUGCGUUCUUGGAAGAAGAAAGCACUGUGCCAGUAAUCAUUUUCAUCAUCCCUAAAUGAUGAACAAAAGAGUAAGUUGUUGGAAGUUUUAAAAGAGUACAAAGGAGCAUUAGGAUGGACCAUAGCCGACAUAAAAGAUAUAAACCAAGUAGACUGCAUGCAUUGCGUUCACCUUGAUGAAAAUGUUAAAUCUACUAGGGAAAUGCAACGUCGAUUGAACCCUAACAUGAAAGAAGUUGUUAGAACUGAAGUCCUUAAGCUAUUAGAUGCAUAUAUCAUUUACCCAAUUUCUAAUAGUUCAUAGGUCAGUCUUGUGCAAGUUGUCCCCAAAAAGUCAGGAGUCACAGUAGUUACCAAUGCUGAUAAUGAAUUGAUACCCAGUAGAGUGACUACAGGGUGGCGUGUAUGCAUUGAUUAUAGAAAAUUGAAUUUUUUUUCAUACGUAAAAACCAUUUUCCUUUACCAUUUAUGGUCAAACGCUUGAUAUAUUAGCAGGCCAUAAAUUUUAUUGCUUUCUAGAUGGCUACUCAGGAUAUAAUCAGAUUCCCAUAACACCAAAAGAUCAAGAAAAGACCACAUUCACUUGUCUUUUUAACACUUUUGCAUAUAAGAGGAUGCCAUUUGGAUUAUAUAAUGCACCUGCUACAUUUCAACGAUGCAUGUUAAGCAUUUUUUCUGAUAUGGUUGAACGAUUCCUUGAAGUCUUUAUGGAUGACUUUUCUAUCUUUUGUGAUUCAUUCGAUCAAUGUUUAAAUCAUCUAACACUAGUUCUGCAGAGAUGUAUAGAGAAGAACUUAGUCUUCAAUUGGGAGAAGUGUCAUUUUAUGGUAAAAUAAGAUAUUGUUCUCGGUCACAUCAUUUCGAGCAAAGGCAUUAAGGUUGAUAAAGCCAAUGUGGAUCUCAUUUCCAAUUUUCCUUCACCUAAAACACUCAGAGAAGUAAGAUAUUUCCUUGGGCAUGUUGAUUUUUAUAAACGUUUGAUUAAAGAUUUUAGCAAAGUUUCUAGACCCUUAUGCAAUCUACUUGCUAAGGAUGUACCUUUUGUCUUUGAUGAUUCAUGUCUUGUGACAUUUGAAAAACUAAAGCAGUUGUUAACAUCAUCACCCAUCAUUCAGCCCCCAAACUGAUGCAUCUGAUUAUGCAGUAAGAGCAGUAUUAGGACAAAAAGUUGAUUGAAUUCCCCAUGUUAUUUACUAUGCUAGUAUAACAUUGAAUGAUGCACAGUUGAACUAUUCAGCCACUGAAAAAGAAAUGCUAGCAGUAGUAUUUGCAUUAGAGAAAUUUUGAUCUUAUCUCAUUGGUUGUAAUAUAAUUGUAUUCACAUAUCAUGCUGCUCUUAAAUAUCUUCUCACAAAGAAAGAUGCAAAAGUUAGACUAAUUCGUUGGAUGUUACUUUUGCCGGAAUUUGACUUAGAAUUCAAAGAUAAGAAAUGCAUAGAAAAUGUUGUGGCUGACCAUCUCUCCCGUCUCAAUUUUGACAUAAUUACAAAACCAUUAACAUUGAAUGAGUCAUUUUCAGAUGAACAAUUGAUGAGUGUGGACGUAUUACCAUGGUAUGCUGAUAUAAUUAAUUAUCUUGUUACAAGUCAACUUACAAAGCAUUGGACCAAGUAAGACAAGGCCAAAUUUUUUAUAGAAAUAAAGAAUUUCUUUUGGGAUGACCCUUAUCUGUUCAAGUAUUAUGCAGAUCAAAUUGUUAGACGAUGGGUCCCAGAAAAUAAAUUUCAAAAUAUCCUUUCAUUCGGCCAUGAACAAGCUUGUGGAGGUCAUUUCAGCGCUAGGAAAACAACUACUAAAGUUUUACAAUGUGGUUUCUAUUAGCCAACUAUAUUUCGAGAUGCCUACACUUUUUGCUCUUCAUGUGAUAGGUGUCAACGAAUGGGGAGCAUUACACGAAGGAAUAUAGUGGCACUAAAUCCAAUUUUAGUGGUUGAGAUUUUUUAUGUGUGGGGUCUCGACUUCAUGGGACAUUUUCCCCCUUCUUUUGGCUAUCAAUACAUAUUGAUUGUUGUUGACUACAUAUCGAAAUGGUUAGAAGUUAUCCAUGUAGAACCAAUGAUCACAAGGUGGUGAUAGGAUUUUUGAAAAGUAACAUUGUUUCACACUUUGGAUUCCCUCGAGCAAUAAUCAGUUAUGGUGGUACCAACUUUUACAACAAAUCAGUCAAAACUCUUUUGACAAAGUAUUCCAUCACUCACAAAGUGACGACCCCAUAUCAUCCGCAAACCAGUGGCCAAGUUGAGAUCUCCAAUCGGGAAAUAAAGUACAUAUUAGAAAAGACGGUGAGGCCAGACGGAAAAGAUUGGUCAUUAAGACUCGAUAAUGCAUUAUGGGCAUAUAGAACAACUUUCAAAACCCCGAUUAGGAUGUCACCCUACAGGCUAGUGAAUGGAAAAGCUUGCCACCUACCUGUGGAACUCAAGCAUCGUGCGUACUGGGCCAUCAAGAAAUUCAACUUUAACAUGCAGCAAGCUAGCUUAGAAAGAAGAUUAUAGCUGGCAGAACUUGAAGAAAUUCGCAAUGAUGCAUACGAAAAUGCCAAGAUUUACAAGCAAUGAAUGAAAGUCUUUCAUGACAAGAAAAUUAUGAGAAACUCUUUCACUCCAGUUUAGAAAGUGCUUUUAUUCAAUUCUCACUUGCACCUAUUCCCAGGCAAAUUACGCUCUCGAUGGUCUGGCCCUUUUAUUAUUCACGCUGUUUUUUCACAUGGAGCAAUUGAAAUUAAGGACCCAAAGAAUGGUGUCACUUGUAAAGUUAAUGGUCAGAGAUUAAAGCCAUAUCUAGAGUACCAACUACAUGGAGAGGAUACCGAAAUAAAUUUGAGCAACCCAUAAAAUUUGAAUUGAGAUUUUUCUUUUUUUUCGGUGAUUUAAUUUUUUUUUUUUUUUCUAUUCUUUUGCUAAUUGAAAUUAUUUUUACAUAAGCGUGUUUUUGUAACCAUUAUGUUUUCUUUUAUCAUUGUUAAUCAUGAGUGCUUCAGCUGGACAAUUCUUCUUAGACCUUCUUGGACGACUUCAACGUGUAAAAUCUCAUCUCAGAAGCCGGAUUCAAUUUUGUAAAACACAUCAUAUUUGGGAUGUACAACCACCAGAGUUAGUAUCCCAUGUUAAGGCUUUAGAAAGACAAUUCAAAGACAUUGAGGGAGGUAUCUUCGACAUCCAGUUGGAGCUUGAGGUAAAUUCAAUAAGAGGACGAUUGUAAUUUUCUUUGUGUGUUUUAGUUUGUUACCCCGGUUAAGUGGUGGAUAACGGUACUAUGUGAUAUGUGAUUUUUUUAGAAAAAUAAAAUUAUGUGAUUUUUUUAACAUUGGAUGACAUGAUGACUUUCAAAUUUUAGUAUUUUUCUGCUGUACGGCCAAGGCGGAUGUACGGUAUCAGAAUGCCCUCCUUACAAUCUAUAAAGCUCGGUCCGAACUUAUGCGAUUGCUUGUGAGGAAUAACAUACAUGCUGACAUCCGCUGGUUAAUUAAGGCCAAAGUACGAUUGGCAAGUGAGUAACCUCCUAAAUUUAUUGCAAACAUGCUUGGUUGUGGUAAAGGAAAUUACGUAAGAAAACGAAAAGCUCGAAAACUUUUUGUUGCUUGUCAUAAGUAUGCUAGAAUGAGAUGUGAUAAAAAACUAUGUUAUUUAGGAAUGGUGUCUAAUAACAGCGAAGAUAAGAUUCAAUUCAUUAGGGAUGGCUUGAAUAAGGAGCCAUUGGAUGAUAUCCGUUUGUCUCUUGAAACGCAUCCCAGUGGAUAUGUACAAGGAGCAAUUCUCCAGUUAUGGCCAUUAUUCCAAAAAGAGUGUGCACGAUAUAGUCUCAAGAAUCUGACUAUAAAUGACCUUGUUUUUCAGUUUAUAAGAAAACUGGAUGGGAAGCCUAUUCUCAACCGAUAGAGGGCGUUCAAGCCGUUUCUGGACGUAAAACCAGAAAAAGAUGUGAGCCACAAUCACAACUAUCUGUAAAUAUCCUUUUACUUCACUUUUGUUUUAUCAUUUGCAUUAUUGUCUUUAAUAAUUUUAUUUUAUCAUUGUUUGUUUUUUUUCCUUUUCACUGUUUCUUUUUUGACUCUCGAGCCAUGUGCUUUACACAUUAAUUGACACAGACAUGCUACCUCAUACACAACUGUGACCCACUGUCACCAAGAUUCUUAAAUAUGAUUUUUUGUUAAGCACUCACAAAUUACUUUUGAGAAGUAUCCCAAUGGUAGCUAUCCCAAUUUAAAUAUGAUUUUUUGUUAAGCACUCACAAAUUAUUUUUGAGAAAUAUCCCAAUGGUAGCUACUCCCAAUAAACAAUUUAAGAACAUUUGUGUGCUUUCUCGAUUUAACUAUGGCAAACACAAAGAGUUCGUUGAGGCAGCCAUAGAUCUUGGUCGAAGCAUAGCAGAGAGAAAAUUAUCACUUGAUGUAUGGAGGAGGUAACCAAGGGUUAUCAAAAUUGGUCUCAGAAGCUGCUUUUGUCAGAGGAAGCCAAGUGUUAGGCAUCAUCCCAAGAGACCUAAAACCUUUGGGCAGUUUGUCUGACUCACCGACUGAAGAAGAGUUAGUCAUCUUAGGUAUGCAAGAGAGAAUAAUUGAAAUGCUAAAUCAUGCUGAUGCUUUUAUUUUCUUACCAAGAGAUCUUGCAACUCUAGAUGCACUUAUCACAUUAGCAUCUUAGGCCCAUCUGAACAGUCACCAGAAACCCAUCGAUUUGUUAAAUGUCAAUAACUUUUAUGAUGACUUUAUCGUAUUUCUUAACCAUGCAAUAAAAAAUUAUUUCAUUCCUUCCACAGUGAAAAAAAAUUCCAUUUGUGCUCAUACUCCUGAUGAGCUACUUGAUCUGUUACAAGCUUAUCGACCAGAGCUAGAUCCCAGGACCUUGGUGUUAAAGUGUCCAAAUAAUGAUGGUAACAGUAGCCGCAGUAAGAAGUACAAAUUAAAUUUAACUCUCCACUUGUAAAUAUUUUCUUCUGUGUUGCACCACCCAGGUGAUGUCUUCUAAACUCUACUUCUUUCCUUUAAAACAUUGAGAACAAUAUUUCGUUCUGGUUGGGGGGAGGGAAUAGUUGACAAUAAUGGAAUCUUGGUUAAGUUUUUAUUGAUUUUUUGUUGUAAAGACUAACCGUGGCUAACUUUUUGUGUUGAAGAUGGCUGAAUAUGGCGUGUAGUGACUCUAGAAACGCAUCUUCUUGGUUUGGAAGUAAAAAAAAACAAAAUACAAAAAAAAAAAUCCAGACAUUUUCUUUUUCUUUAUUAAGUUUUGAUAAUCAUUUUUUUUUCUAACUUCUUCUUUCUAAUUUCUCCUUUAUAAAUAUACACUUUCAAAUUUUUGAGUCGAAAAUGGCUGAAUAUAAAGUGUAGUGACUCUAGAAACAUGCUCUUCUUAGUUUAAAAAAAAAUUUCCAGACAUUUUCUUUUCAUGUUUAGAAUAUGUUUGGGGGUAGAAUGUCGUUUGAAAAAUAAAAUUAUGUGAUUUUUUUAGAAAAAUAAAAUUAUGUGAUUUUUUUAACAUUGGAUGACAUGAUGACUUUCAAAUUUUAGUAUUUUUAUUAUCUUUGGUCUUAAGGGAUGUUAUGCCAUGUUUGCUACUCUACAUGUUGAUGUUGGAGACAAAUGUGAGUUGCAUGAAGGAAUGCCCAUGUCAUAAUGAAUACCAAUGAGUUUUUGAGCCUAUCAUUUUUCUUAGAGAGUAACCAUUUUUGCCCAUUAUUCAUACAACUUAGCAGUUUAUUAUUUUAUACACGAUCUCUAGAUUUCUUUUGAGUUAAUCCUUUAAAAAAAUUGUAAAAUAAAAAAUAUAUAUAAUAAUAAAAGAAAAAAGUGUGUUGCUACAUCUGAAGGUCCAUCUAACCAGUAGAUAUGGAAGAUUAUUUAGAGCCCUAAAAGAUUAUGGAAAUGUCAUCUUUAACCCGUUUGAGCAUUUCUAGCCAUCCCUUUUGUGAAAUUUCCAUAGUUAACCCUUUUGAGCCUUUCAUAUAAAAAAAAAUAUUUCUUUGUCAACUUAUCAUCUUGACCUACUCCGAUUUAGAGUAUUACCCGAUGUUUUAUAAGUUUCAUCACCUAUUUAUGUUUGAAAAAAAUGUAAAUAAUUAUUUUGUUCAGAAAAGUUGUGCCACACAAAAAAAAAACAAAACAAAUUAGUUAAAAAAAGAGAAAAAAUAACAAUAAUAAUAAAUAAGCGAAAUUCACCUUGUAAUUUCUAAAAGAUCUCUACUUUUCUCAAACAUAUACUUUGCUUUCCUUAUUUUUCCUCAUUUGUUAGCCAUAUCCCUACCCUACGUUACAUCCUAAUAAAAGUCCUUCUUGAUUUUAGGAAUUUAUAGUCUGAAGUAGAAGCUAGUUAUAUGGCUAAAAAGAUGUAGUGAUGCAUAAAAAAAAAUUAAAUAAAUAAACACAUUGGGUUAACUAGCAUUUUGUUUGACUUAAGAUCGUGUUAUUUUUUAGCUGUGGGCAUAUUCCUUUCAUCUUGGUGAGAGUGUGUGAUAUCACUUCUUUAUUAUUUUCUCUCAAUUUACCAUUCAUUGGAGUGACUAUUUUUAUUGAGUUUAAUUGCUUUGUGAGAGUGUCACUACUACCGGUGAGAUUUUGGGGUUUGACAUGUCAUUCUUGAAAGUGGCUUGAUUACUAUAGCUAUGACAAAGUCUGCUGGACUGAUGCAUGUGGAUGGUUGAUGUGGGAGUGAUAUUUCUUUAGACUGGAGAUAAUGCUUAUACUUUUAUUUGAUUGGUAUCAUUAGUUUGACUGAAUAAAUACGAUUGUUUUUAUAAAAAAAAUCAUUUUGGGUUUGAAUUUUAUUUUUGCUUAAUUUUCUAGGGACUAGCAAUAAGCUGGUUGGGGGGUGCGUUGAGUGUUAGAAAAUGUAUAUUUAUAAAGGAAAAAAUCAUCAUUUUACACUCCAAGUUUCACUAACAUCCCCACUUUUAUGUAUUUAAGUCUCUUGUGAUUUAAUUAUGUGUGUUGUAUUAUAAUUGUGAGGUACAAUUUUCUCACUUAAAUACAAUAUAUUUUAUUUUAAGCUAACAAGCCCCUAAAGUUUAUAAUAUUUAAUUUUAAGGAAUGAUGACAUAAGCAAUGACAUAAGAAAUGAUGACAUAAACAAUGACAUAAGUGAUGAUGUAAGUAGAAAUAUGUAGAGAAAGUUAAGAAUUCUAGAAUUUAUUUAGUUAUUUAUGAAGGUUAAUCUUAUUUAUGAAGGUUAAUCUCAACCAUUGAUCAAGAGUUAUGGUGGCAAAAUCCUAACCAUCCAUUAGCCUUAAGAAAUUCUAUAAAUACCCCCCACCACCUCUUAUUUUCAAUGCAACCUAGAAAUUUCAUUUCCUUCUACUCUAAGUCAUAAUAAUAAGAGUAGAGGAAUCCUUAACUUAGGAAGAUCUAGAGAAGUCAAGAUCAAGAGGUAAGUAACACUUCAAUUGUAAUGUAAGGACAAAAUUCUUUUCAUAUAUAAGUUCAGUUUUAACAAUUCUUUUAUAUUAUGACGGCUAUUACAGUGUGACUAGUUAUAUCUUUAUAUGGUCGGCCCUGCCGCCUAAUAUGUAAUGUUAUGGUCGGCUCUGCCGCCUAAUAGGUGAGGUUAUGGUCUGUGAUAACUCUAGGAAAUGAGAGUUAUUACAUCAAUUCUAGACUUGAAUCAAGAUCAUUUAGAGAACAAAUAAGGUAUUUUUAUUACAUUUUGAUUACAUUUUGUUUAAACAUUCAUUUUAGUUGAGUAUUAAUAAGUUUUGUUUAAAUCAUCGUAAUUUGUGCUAAAAACAGAUGUAUAAUUGUAGGUUCGUGGAAAGUCUUAAUUCAUAAGGGGAUGUUGAGACAUCAGAUGAGCAAGAUGAGGAAAGAAGAUGGCCACAAAAAGAAGAAAAGCACAAUCGGGAACAAUGCUGUGCUAUUGAGGAUGUUAGAGCAGCCUGUGCUGUAGCAAUCUGGGAGCAAUGCGGGAGAAAACUUAGGCGCGGGUCAACGCAUGUUUAGUAAUUUAACGCAUGCAUGCUAAUGGGCUUGUGUUUACCCUAAUUUGCAAUAUAAAAGGGAGGCAUGCACCACAUAGAAACGCGGCAAGAAAGGGAAUUAUCAUUAGAUUAAUUACAAGGAACGAAGAAGAAGAAUAUCAUAAUUGAAGAUUGUUGUUUCGGCAACAUUGGAGAAUCGUGCAGAAUUACUUGGCCUUGAUUUUCACCGUGCUCAACUUAUAUUUAUCUUUUUCCACUAAUUGAUUUGAUGAAUUCCGAGAUCAAUAUGUUUAUGUUUAUUUUUCUCAUCCAGAUUAUGAACUAAAUUCACUUGUAGUUGAGUGACAAAUAAUCCAAUGGGUUCUUGACUGUUCUUAUAUGUUGUUGUGGUAUUACUGUAGCAUUUUACUCUAAUAGUUUUUAUUAAUAUAACUGCUAUUUCGGUUGACCACCCAUUUAAUAGUUCCAGUUAAGAUAGAGCAGCAAAAGGGCAUGUAUUAGCGGACAUUAUUAGAGUAUUACUUGUUCUUAAAUCGAGUUUUCUAGAUUAUGUUAUCUUGAAUCCCAUAAGGCCAAUACUUGAAGUUAAGAUUUGUGACACUCUAGACAUAGGUGUUCACCUUCUAGGGUAGAGAGAUUAAAGGUUAUAAUGUCGUACCAUAAAUAUAUGAGCAACUGGUCAUUGUUAGUAGAUUUAAGGGUGUGAGAUUUCCAAUAUGCGAUAGCUGCGGAUGCAGAUUUAUGCUACCCAUUGCUGCAGCACUUAUUGUAACAACUGGUGCUCAAUUGAUAAACAACAAUCACCCCAUUAGGAGAGUUUUAUCAUUCAACUACUAUACUCUCAAUUGAAUCUUAGACACAUUUAACUUAGUUUAUUUCGUUACAGUAUUGUUUUAUUCCAUCUCUUGCAAUUAUUAGUUAUAAUAUAAUUAUUUGACAAUUGUUUGUUGCGGUCUUUAGUUGAUUUGCACUAUUAUGAUUUCUUUAGCAUUUUGAGUAACAUCAAUCCCUGUGGAGACGAUCUUGAAUACUUAUCACUUUAUUACUUGUUGUGUAUACUUGCACAUUGGCAUUGAUAAUAAUUGAUUAUAUAAAUCAUCCAACAGUCAGCCAUGCCGCCUAAUAUGUGAUGCUAUGGUCGGCCCUGCCCCCUAAUAUGUGAUGUUAUGGUCGGCCCUGCCCCCUAAUAUGUGAUGCUAUGGUCGGCUCUGCCGCCUAAUAUGUUAUAUUUAUACUUAAUUAUGCUAUGGUCGGCUAUGCCGCCUAUACUAAAGACUCUUUUUUUUUUAAUAAUAUUGUGUGUUGAUUUUGUUAUGCAUUGAGAAAUUUCAAAUGUUAAAAGUUGCAUUGGAUGCAUGCAUAUCAUGGACUACAUUAUGAAGAAGACGUUUCAGAAAAUGAAUUUAUGAAAAAUAGGUGAUUGUACUACCAAGUGGCAAAGUUCUAAGGAGGGCAAUCCCUCAAAGCUAAGUUGAAAGAAAUCUUUGGGGGACGGCGAUACGUAACGCCAAAAAGAUCAACUAAUGAGGCCUAAGGGCAUAUUGUUUAAAGAGUAAACGUGCCAGCCUUGUAGUGCAACAUACCUAGGGUCCAAAUAAAGUUGUUUUGUAUUUUUUAAGUUUAUUUUAAGAUAGGAGAGCAGUCAUAUGCUCCAGAGUAAAAGUCCAACAAAAUUGAAAGAUCCAGGGAGUUUUACAAUACCUUGCUCCAUAGGGACUAGGUAUGCUGGCAGAGUACUUUGUGACUUGGGAGCUAGUAUUAAUUUGAUGCCAUUAUCUGUAUUUAAGCAGCUGGGAGUAGGGGAGUGCAGACCAACAACAGUCACUCUGCAAUUAGUUGACAGAUCUCAUGCAUACCCUGAAGGAAAGAUAGAUGAUGUACUGGUGAAGGUUGACAAAUUCAUCUUUCCAGUGGAUUUCAUUGUAUUGGACUUUGAAGCUGAUAAAGAAGAACCCAUUAUACUUGGAAGACCUUUUCUAGCAACUGGAAAGACUCUGAUAGAUGUGCAGAAAAGAGAGCUUACCAUGAGAGCAAAUGAUCAGUAAGUCACAUUUAAUGUACUAGAGGCUAUGAGGAACCCUGAUAAAGUAGAAGAUUGCAAUUUUCUAAGUGUAAUGGAUCUUGUUGUAGCAGACAGAAUGGAUAGAUGCUGCAGUAAUGUACUUGACAAAGUCACCACCUUUGAGGAUGUUGAAGAGGAAGAUGUUGCAGCAAUCCAAACAGAUUGGGUGGACAAACAGCAAUCUGAUAGGCACCACAAGUUUAUUGAACACCUGAAUCUUUCAGACAGGGAAGUAAAAACAACUUUACCAUCUAUUGAAUCACCUCCUAGUUUUGAAUUAAAACUGUUACCUUCACAUUUAAAGUAUGCUUAUCUUGGUCCAAACAACACACUCCCUAUAAUCAUUUCUUCCACUUUGGAUGUAGGUCAAGAACAGAGCCUAGUAGACUUGCUGGGAAAAUAUAGAAGAGCAAUUGGAUGGACCAUGGCAGAUAUAAAAGGGAUAAGCCCAUCCAUAUGUAUGCAUAAAAUCAUGUUAGAAGAUUGUUCCAGCAAUUCGGUGGAGCACCAGAGAAGGCUGAAUCCUAUUAUGAAAAAAGUGGUAAAGAAGGAAAUCAUCAAAUGGUUGGAUGCUGGAAUCAUAUACCCAAUAUCAGACAGUUCAUGGGUAAGCCCAGUUCAAUGUGUUCCAAAGAAAGGAGGGAUAACAGUAAUGGCCAAUGAGAAGAAUGAACUUAUUCCUACAAGGACAGUAACUGGAUGGAGAGUCUGUAUGGAUUACAGGAAGCUCAACAAAGCCACCAGGAAAGACCAUUUCCCACUUCCAUUCAUAAAUCAGAUGUUGGACAGACUUGCUGGAAAACAGUACUACUGUUUCUUAGAUGGGUAUUCAGGCUACAACCAGAUUGCUAUAGCUCUAGAGGAUCAAGAGAAGACUACAUUUACUUGUCCCUAUGGAACAUUUGCUUUCAGAAGAAUGCCAUUUGGGCUAUGCAAUGCUCCAACAACUUUUCAGAGAUGCAUGAUGUCUAUAUUUUCUGAUAUGGUAGAGCAGACUUUGGAAGUUUCAUGGAUGACUUCUCAGUUUUUGGAAAACCAUACAAUGAUUGUUUACACAACUUGAAAGAAGUUCUUAAAAGAUGUGAGAUGGCCAACUUAGUACUCAACUGGGAAAAAUGUCAUUUCAUAGUGCAAGAAGGAAUAGUGCUGGGUCACAAGAUAUCCAAGGAUGGUAUUGAGGUAGACAAAGCCAAGAUAGAGGUAAUAGAUAAACUGCCACCUCCAACUUUAGUAAAGGGUAUUAGAAGUUUUUUGGGUCAUGCUGGAUUCUACAGAAGAUUUAUUAAGGAUUUUUCCAAAGUAGCUAAACCACUGUGUUCAUUGCUGGAGCAUGACAAACUAUUUCACUUUGACAAAGAUUGCCUUCAAGCAUUUGGAGAAUUAAAGAAAGCUCUUAUCACUGCUCCAGUAGUUACAUCUCCAGACUGGACUUUACCAUUUGAAUUGAUGUAUGAUGCUAGUGAUCACUCUGUGGGAGCAGUAUUAGGGCAAAGGAAGGAUAAAGUUUUUCACUCUGUCUACUAUAUAAGCAAAACUCUUACUCAAACUCAGAUCAAUUAUACCACUACAGAGAAAGAGUUGCUAGCAGUAGUAUUUACUUUUGACAAAUUCAGAGCCUACUUAGUAGGCACUAGAGUGACUGUAUACACAGACCAUGCAGCAAUCAAAUAUUUAAUUUCAAAGAAGGAUGCCAAGCCAAGAUUAAUUAAAUGGAUCUUAUUGCUUCAAGAAUUUGAUCUGGAAAUUAAAGAUAGAAAGGAGACUGAGAAUCAAGUAGCAGAUCACCUGUCACGGCUGGAUGCAGACACAAGCACAUUGACCAGCAAAGACAUCACUGAAACUUUUCCUGAUGAACAACUGUUGGUAGUACAGAAAGCACAAAUGCUGCAGCAGUCAGAAUCUCCAUGGCAUGCAGAUUUUGCUAACUAUUUAGUAAGUGGGUUACUACCACAUGAGCUGAAGUUUCAAGAGAAAAAGAAAUUUCUUCAUGAUGUUAGAAGUUAUCAGUGGGAUGACCCACAUUUGUAUAAGCUGUGCUCAGAUAAAGUAAUAAGAAGAUGUGUUGCAACAGGAGAGAUUCCCUAUAUACUGGAGUCAUGUCAUGCUGUAACAUAUGGAGGAUAUUUUGGUGGUCAUAGAACAGCCGCCAAAGUUCUGCAAUCAGGUUAUUACUGGCCUACUAUUUUUAAAGAUGCUUAUGAAUUUGUUAAAUGUUGUGACAGGUGCCAAAGGACAGGGAACAUGACUAAAAGACAGGAAAUGCCAUUGACUAACAUUCUAGAAGUGGAAGUUUUUGAUGUCUGGAGAAUAGAUUUUAUAGGACCCUUCCCACCAUCCUUUGGAAACUUAUAUAUCCUUGUUGCUGUAGAUUAUGUCUCCAUGUGGGUAGAAGCUGCAGCAUUACCUACUAAUGAUGCUAAAACAGUGGUGGCUUUUCUUCAGAAAAAUAUUUUUUCCAGGUUUGGCACUCCUAGAGCAAUUAUUAGUGAUGAGGGCACACAUUUUUGCAACAAAAUCUUUGCUGCAGCAAUGAUGAAAUAUGGAGUCAGACACAAGAUAGCAACAGCAUAUCACCCACAAUCCAAUGGUCAGGCUGAAGUGUCCAAUAGAGAAAUAAAAAAGAUCUUAGAAAAAGUGGUGAACCCCACAAGGAAGGAUUGGUCUUUACACUUGCAUGACUCUCUAUGGGCCUACAGAACAACAUACAAAACUCAACUUGGCAUGUCUCCUUACCGAAUUGUUUAUGGCAAAGCUUGUCAUUUACCACUAGAGCUAGAGCAUAAAGCACAUUGGGCAUUAAAGAAAUUAAACUGGGAUAUGCAUGCUGCAGCAGAGCAAAGGAAACUUCAACUCUAUGAGCUUAAUGAAUUACGGCUAUUUUCAUAUGAAAAUGCAAGAAUCUAUAAAGAGAGGACCAAACACUGGCACAAUAAGCAUAUUCAGCAUAGGAAAUUCCACUCUGGUCAAUUAGUGUUGCUCCACAAUACAAGACUAAGAUUAUUUCCGAGAAAGCUCAAGUCACAAUGGUUUGGCCCGUUUAAGCUGUUAAAAUCAUAUCCUCUUGGAGCUGUUGAUCUUCUAGAUGAACAAACUGGUCACGAGUUCAAGGUUAAUGGACACAGGGUUAAGCAUUACAUACAUCCAGCAGCAGAAUGUUCAAAGGAGGUGUUACUCCUUAAAGAAACUAGCUAUUAAACAAAGAAGGAAGGUCAGGCUGAAGGACCUUAAAUCAAGCGCUUCAUGGGAGGCAGCCCAUUGAGGAGAUAGCCACUUCAAACCAAUUUUGAUAUCCUUUGGUUUUGUAGACAACUUUCCCUCUUUACCAUCUUAUUUACUUUUUGUUUUCCUAUGAUUAGCCAUUUAUUUUCAUCCUUUUACAUUAUUGCAUUCUUUAUUUUCGUGUUAAUUUGACCUCUUUAUUUCUUUUAAUCGUUUUAGAAUUAAUUUUAGUUUGAAGCAAGUGUGACAAUUGAAUUCCAUAUUGACAAGUGAGAGUGUAUGGUGGCAGAAUUCAGAGGUGAACCACGUGUUAGAAGCUUUAGUAUGGAGUAUGUAUCCGUUAUUAGAACAAGCGCAUGGGUGAUGCAGCAACUAAUUUUACUGUUACAGUAAAUUAAAAGCUGGAGCCUUGCACUUACCGUUGGAGAUAAAAUCGUGACAGAUGGAUGCAUGGAUAUGGAUAGAAAUUGUGGAAACAAAUCUCUGAAAUUAAAGCUUUAAUUUCACUGGCCGAUAAUUUUGGGGAUAUGCACAUUUAAUUCAAAUAUUUUAUUCCUUCAAUUAUCUCUAGUUACCGUAUUUAUCUUCAAAUUAAAGUCCAUUAUAAAAAGGAGUCACUGUGUUUAGUGCUCUACGCCACUACUCCCCAUCUCCUUCGUAAAUUCCAACUCUCCUAAUUCUUCACCUCUCUUUCUCUUUUUACUCUCAGGAACAGUAGCCCCAAUGUGUUACUGCUACAACAAUGCCGAGAUAUAAGAAAACAGCAAGCCGCCUCAAAGAUCCGUCACAAUUCCAGAGUUACCACACCGAAGAAAAAUAUGAAGAAUUCAUAGAGCCGCGUAGGAUUCUGGAAGAAAAAGGGUUUCAAUUUCGAGACCAACUCACGGGAAUUGUGCAAACAAUUCAUAAUGCUAUAGCAAAGCGAGGAUGGUUAAAGUUUUGCAAUCACCCUCGAGAACCUGUGUUGCCUGUAGUCAAAGAAUUUUAUGCCAAUUUGGUAAGCUCUGAUCAGCACAAUAUUUGGGUAAGAAAUACACUUGUCCCAUUAGAUUCCCGUGUUAUCAAUGCUUUUUCUAACUUACCUGCUGAAAUUACUUGUGAAUAUGCUAAGUUGCGUGAUAAGUUAACCCCGAAAAAGUGGAACACCAUUUUCACAACUCUUACAAUCGAAGGGGCGUCAUGGGCUAAUGAGGAAGGGCGUGUAGUUAAUAGGAUAGAUUUGAAACCUAAUGCUAAGGUGUGGGUGAAAUUUCUGAAAUCUAGACUUAUGCCCACCACCCACACUACUACAGUUUCGCAAGAAAGGUUGGUCUUGUUAUAUGUCAUAGUUCGAGGGCUUCCUAUAGAUGUAGGUAGCAUCAUUACGAAAGAAAUCCGAGAUUGUGCAGUCAAAACUCAUCGAACUGCUGCCUUGCUAUUUCCCUCACUCGUCACCAGCAUUUGUGUAGUUUCAGGUGUUCGUCUUGAUGCCAGAGAUGAACAUAUAAAAAAUGAUGGUGCCUUUACAGCACAUACCAUUGAGCGAGUUGCUGGUGAGAGUGCCGGAACAACCACUGAACCAGUUGUUGUCACAGGAGCAAGACGAGCUAUUGGCUUAGAACAGACUAUCCAGGCACUCAGCAACAGUAUAACUCAAUGUGUAGAAGCUCAGCAGAGAGAAAAUGGUCGGUUUUGGAGUUAUCUACAGCACUUGGACAACUAACUACAUCAAUUUGCUCGUACAUUAAAUGCACUCACUAGAAAUUCCCUGAUACACUGUUCCAGCAGUACAAUUUUGACACCAACACCACAGGUGCUCCAGCAGCAGCCAGUGAAGAAGCCACUGCUUCAGAUGAACUAGCAGAGGAAGCUGCCACUGAGCCACAAGCAGCAGUCGACUCAGAAGAGGCUGAACCAUCUGACCCACCUGAGGACGAAGGUGACAAGUCUGAGACUGAUAGCUCACCCUUAGAGGCAGAGGACAAUUCAGAGAAAGAAAGUGAGGAACCACUCAUCCCAGCCCAACCCAAAACCCAAGAAAAACACAUUAUUCAAGAAGAAGAGGAAGAAGACCCUGACGAGGAACCCUCUAUUCCAGUCCUUGCGAGUAAGGGGAAGGACAAGGGUAAAGCAAAAAUGGCAACACCUCCAGACUCUGCAGAUGAAAUUGAGCACGUUGAUGCCGAGCUCGCUGCUGCAGCGGCCAGAGCUAUGCCUACACCUGAGCAAUCCAAGCAACUACUUGCAGUUAUUGCUGCCAUCACAGUUGAGGGCCAGGCAGCUGAUGCAUUAACUAUAAAACCUCCCCAGCAAACUCCUAGCGAGCCUAUUCGUACCAGUCCAAGACAAUCUAGCAAACGAAAAGGCAGUACAUCUACAGGUACUGCUACGGCAACCCAGCCCCAACUUCUCUUGCUAGCCCCGUAGUGAAAAAGACAAAGACAUUGUCAUCUGCUUCCCCAAAAGCUUCACCAAAGGAUAAGCUGCGCAUUGCAUCCAAGAAGCACUGAUAGCAUUCCGUCAUGUGCUGCAAUCCCCACCACAGGGGAGUACUUUUUCCUUACUAGUUUAUUUGUUGUUCUUAAAAAAAAAAAUGAUUCUGUUUUUCAAUUUGUGUGGUAUUUUCUAAGGUCUUCCAUAUCCUUGUCAAUUUGUGUGCAUUUGUCAGUAUGCUUGUGAGGACACAGCAUCUCUCAAGUUUGGGGGGGUUGUUUUCGAAUGCAUGUGUUUAUGUUUGUGUUGUAUGAAGCUCUUCAUCUAAUAUUUGUCUAUGGAUUUGAAAGCCUAAUGAAGAUAAAUUGAGUGUUAAUCAAUAUUUAUGAGAAUGCCAAUAUUUAUGAGAAUGCCAAGUAGAGACAGUUAUAGAUAGAAGUGAAAUUCUGUCCUAACACUUAGACUUUGGUUGACUUGUAUAAGACUGCUAGAGCAGAGCCAAAAGAAUAGAAAAGAUCUUAAGUUUGGGGGGGAGAAGCAAGUUGAUUGACUGUGAUAUCUAUGAAAUAAACUCUGCUCCAAUGGCUCCAGUUGCUGAGUAACCAGAUCUGAGUAUGUACCCCAUAUGCAGAAUUGUGUCAAAGGUAGCGAGAGUUAUGAGCAAUGUUGUAGCAACUAUAAAACAAAAAAAAAGAAAAAGAAAAAAAAGAAGUCCUUUGUCUAAGGCAUUGAGUAGCCAGGUCUGUUCAUAAGCCCCAUGUUCAGCCUUGAGUAAAAGAUACCUCUAGAUAAGAUUAUACAGCAAAUAUUGUUGCAGCAACUCUGAUCUGGGUAUGGUUCGAGUAAUUGGGCGUCAUCAUUACAAGUGACUGACAUUCACAUGAAAGAUAAAUGUUACAAUAAGGAGGUUGAUUACUCUUCAGUUUAUCAAUGUUAAAAGCAUCACAGUUUGAGUAGGUGAAAUUUAUGCUACCCCAUUUAUGAAUGAAGUGUAUCACUGUUGAAAUUCAUGCAGACCUUAAUGAUGUUAUAGCAUAUCUGGAAUUCAAUCAAAGGAAGCACACACACACUAUGGACAGAAAGAAGCUUAAGUCUAGAACUGAUUUACUGCGGUUAUUUUGUAUGAUUAGAAUUGUGAUCUGAGGGUGGAAGAAUCCUUGCAAAUUUGAAAAAAGAGCUAAAGUUGUGUGCAUGAUUGUUUGCGGGAAGUGUUAGUAUGUGUUAUUACUUGAGGGCAAGUAAUAGUUUAAGUUUGGGGGUGUGAUAACUCUAGGAAAUGAGAGUUAUUACAUCAAUUCUAGACUUGAAUCAAGAUCAUUUAAAGAACAAAUAAGGUGUUUUUAUUACAUUUUGCUUAAACAUGCAUUUUAAUUGAGUAUUAAUAAGUUUUGUUUAAAUAAUAGUAAUUUGUGCUAAAAACAUAUGCAUAAUUGUAGGUUCUUGGAAAGUCUUAAUUCAUGAGGGGAUAUUGAGACAUCAGAUGAGCAAGAAGAGGAAAGAAGAUGGCCACAAAAAAAGAAAAGCACAAUCGGGAAUAAUGCAGUGUUGUUAAGGAUGUUAGAGCAACCUGUGCUGUAGCAAUCUGGGAGCAAUGAGGGAGAAAACUUAGGCGCGGGUUGUUGUGCAAAUUUUAAUGUACUCAUAAGCGCACGAAUCUAUUGUAGUAUAGAUCAAUGGUGACGAGUGUCGAUCCCACGAGGAGGUGGAUUUUAAUUAUGUGUAGAAUUAAUUUUGUAAAUGGGUGAUUGGAUUUGUGGUGGAAAUGAUUUGGAAUAUGCUAAAACUUAAAUUAAAAUGGCGAGAAUAAAUUCUGAAAUUGGAAUUGAAAUGGCGAGAAUAAAUUGAAGAGAAUUCUAUUGAAAUGACGUACUUGGGUAUCUGGAUCCGUAUCAACAUGCAUCAUGGGCUAAAUAAUCCUUAUUAAUGCCAAUUAAAUCAUGAGGGGGGAAUCCACACCUCAUGAACCACACUCUAAUCAAUAUGGUGCUAAGGGCUUAUCGUGCCAAAUAAUAAUAACCUUGUACUAGAGAGCCGGUGUAACCAAGGCGGUAUCUAGACAAGAUUAUUAUUAUUUGUCGACGAAAAGUCAAAUCAUCCACAAAAAUUAGAGGGGAAAAGAAAAUAAAUUUACUAAAUAAAGCCCAUGACACAUGUUGAGACUUCACCUUCAACCCAAGCUUGAAAGAAAAUUAGCUACUCAUAAUUGAACAAGGGGUAAAAUGGGAAUUUAUUAAAAUACGUAGAAAAUACAAGAUGGAGAAGGAAUUACAGAAAAUGGAGUCCAAAAAUGGAUUCAGAGGUAUCAAAUUAGGGGGGGAGGCCCCCUUUUUAUAGAUACAUGAAGUAAAUCAUGGCCAUCGGAUUAAAAACAGUUUGGACGCUCAGGAUUGCGCCACGUGAUCAGUCAACAGUACGCGGUUUGACCACGUGGAUGAACAGUAACACGGUUUGACUCGGGUGAACAGUGAUGCGGUUUGGUUGAAAAUAAUCCUGUGUGAUGCAUGUACCGUACGCGAGAUUUUUCGUCCACUGAUAUGCUUACAUGUGAAUAGUGCCAUUUUUCCUUUUAUGCUCCUCCUAAGGUUUUCGACCGUCCUGAGUUGAAAAGUGAUGUCCGUUUUAUCGUCUGAUCUCUCGUUUAUUGUGAAAUGACCAUGAUGCCCCUAAAAUACAUAAAAUACUUAAUUAAAAUCAAACACACAUAAUUAAAUUGCAAGAAGCUUAAAUACAUAAAAGUAAGGGUUGUUAGUAAAACUUGAAAUGUAAAAUGAUGAUUUUCUCCUUUAUAAAUAUACAUUUUCUAACACUCAACACGGGUCAGCGCAUGUUUCCUAAUUUAACGCAUGCAUGCUAAUGGGCUUGUGUUUACCCUAAUUUACAAUAUAAAAGGGAGGCAUGCACAACAUAGAAACGCGGCAAGAAAGAGAAUUAUCAUUAGAUUAAUUACAAGGAACGAAGAAGAAGAAGAUCAGAAUUGAAGAUUGUUGUUUCGGCAACAUUGGAGAAUCGUGCAGAAUUACUUGGCCUUGAUUUUCACCGUGCUCAACUUAUAUUUAUCUUCUUCUACUAAUUGAUUUGAUGUAUUCCGAAAUCAAUAUGUUUAUGUUUAUUUUUCUCAUCUAGAUUAUGAACUAAAUUCACUUGUAGUUGAGUGACAAAUAAUCCAAUGGGUUCUUGACUGUUCUUAUAUGUUGUUUUGGUAUUGCUGUAUCAUUUUACUCGAAUAGUUUUUAUGAAUAUAAUUGUUAUUUCGGUUGACCACCCAUUUAAUAGUUCCAGUUAAGAUAGAGCAGCAAAAGGGCAUGUCUUAGCAUACAUUAUUAGAGUAUUACUUGUUCUUAAAUCAAGUUUCCUAGAUUAUGUUAUCUUGAAUCCCAUAAGGGCAAUACUUGAAGUUAAGAUUUGUGACACUCUAGACAUAGGUGUUCACCUUCUAGGGUAGAGAGAUUAAAGGUUAUAAUGUCGUACCAUAAAUAUAUGAGCAACUGGUCAUUGUUAGUAGAUUUAAGGGUGUGAGAUUUCCAAUAUGCGAUAGCUGCGGAUGCAGAUUUAUGCUACCCAUUGCUGCAGCACUUAUUGUAACAACUGGUGCUCAAUUGAUAAACAACAGUCACCCCAUUAGGAGAGUUUGAUCAUUCAACUACUAUACUCUCAAUUGAAUCUUAGACACAUUUAACUUAGUUUAUUUCGUUGCAGUAUUGUUUUAUUCCAUCUCUUGCAAUUAUUAGUUACAAUAUAAUUAUUUGACAAUUGUUUGUUGCGGUCUUUAGUUGAUUUGCACUAUUGUGAUUGCAUUGGCAUUUUGAGUAACAUCAAUCCCUAUGGAGACGAUCUUAGUUAUGCAUCGAGAAAUUUCAAAUGUUAAAAGUUGCAUUGGAUGCAUGCAUAUCAUGGACUACAUUAUGAAGAAGACGUUUCAGAAAAUGAAUUUAUGGAAAAUAGGUGGUUGUACUACCAAGUGGAAAAGUUUUAAGGAGGGCAAUCCCUCAAAGCUAAGUUGAAAGAAAUCUUUUGGGGACGGCGAUACGUAACGCCAAAAAGAUCAACUAAUGAGGCCUAAGGGCAUAUUGUUUAAAGAGUAAACGUGCCAGCCUUGUAGUGCAACAUACCUAGGGUCCAAAUAAAGUUGUUUUGUAUUUUCUAAGUUUAUUUUAAGACCUUAAUAUGGUCAUCCAUAUGCAUCAUAAUUUAUACAUGCAUCAAAGUAUUAUCUUGCUGGGCAUUAGCUCACUAAGUCCUUACAUUGUAAGAAAUGAAGUUGGCACCAAGUCCUAACCAAGACGAAGUGCAUAUGGGCAUAAUAGACCUUGGGAUUUUAUAAUGGGCUCAACUUUAUUUCAAUAAAAAUAAACAUCUUAGUUUUGUGUAAAAUAAAGUUUUUAUACUAACGAGAAGAAAAAUCAAGAAAAGUAAAAAGAAUUUCUAGGAGCAUAAACCAUGCCCUCAAAAGUAAGGAGAGCAGUCAUGCUCCCCAUAAAUUAUACUCCAAUGGUAAAAAGCAGAAAAACUAAUAGAAUUCCUGAGAAAAAAGAAAAGCAAGAAAAGUAAAAAGAACAAGAGAAAAAAAGAAAAACAACUCUGCUGUACCGUACAUCCGCCUUGGCCGUACAGCAGUUUAGAAUUCGUAUUUAUAUUAAAAGUAACUUUGUUUUUAAGCAUUUUUAAGUAAAUAAUAUAGUAGAGUGUUACAAAUUGGUAUUAGAGCCCAAGGUUUAAAGCGAUUCUAUAGACCGACCAUAUGCACAAGUUAAAGGGGAAGGACAAGGCUCAGUUUUUUAGUUAUAACUUGAAAUUAAGGUAAUUAAGAAAAUCUUACAUUUGAUUUGUCUGACACGUAGAAACUAGAUUAAAAAUUCGUUGAGAUGUCAAGCACUAGGGGUAACAGAGGCAGAAGGGUGGAAGGAACUACAAGGGAGCAAUCUACAAUUGAUCGACUUACAAACAUUGUGGCACGACUCUUAGAAAGAGAAGUUAGAAGGGAUGAACAUGGUCAGGCAAUGAACAACGUUGUAAGCAAAUUUAGAAGAUUAAAUCCACCCACAUUUGAAGGCAGUGUAGAUCCUAUCGCAGCAGACCAAUGGUUGCGAACCAUGGAAAGAAUGAUAGAAGUAGCCAAAGUGCCAGAAGAAGAAAUGGUCACUUGUGUCUCCUUUAUGCUAUGAGGAGCGGCAGAAUACUGGUGGGACUCAAUUAAUUGAAUUCAUAAUGAAGAACAAUGCAAUGGGUGGAAUUUAAAGAACACUUCUAUAACAAAUACGUUUCAGAGACUGUUCGCUCCGCCAAAAGAAGAGAGUUUGUUUUUUUACAACAAGGAAUGAUGUUUGUGCUAGAGUGCAUCCGAAAAUUUGAUGAGCUCUCUUGAUAUGCUCCACAUAUGGUUGGAACGGAAGACUUGAAAAAGGACCACUUUAUGCAAGGAUUGAUCUCGCAAAAGACUUAAAGGUAGCUGGAGUUCGUGAUGCUUUCUUCAACGAUCUCAUUUAUCGAGCCUUGGUAAUUGAGAAAGCAGAUGAAGAAAAGAAGGAAGAAAAUUAAAGAAACAAAGGAAGUGUGGACCAGGGGAACUUUGUAAGACAACACUCAAAUAAUAAUAAGAGAAAGAGAACGCCAGUGGUCCAAGAUCAGAGUAAAAGCAAACGCCCGAAGAAUCAUCAGAAGGAGUGCUACAAAAACCAAAGUGCAAUCAAUGCGGUAGAACUCACCCUGGGGAAUGUUGAGAAAAUACCAGAACAUGUUUCAAAUGUGGAAAGCAAGGACACUUCAUUAGGGACUGCCCGGAAAAUAGUACGCAACAAGAAAAUGUUAAUGCUCGAGUAUUCACACUCACCAAGAUAGAUGCCGAAGGAAACCCCUCAGUAAUAUCAGGUGAACUAUCUAUCUUCAAAACUCCUACAUAUGUGCUAAUAGACUCAGGAGCUACACAUUCAUUUGCCUCAUCAGCAUUCAUUAAGAAAAUCGAAAAUGUCCCUAACAUAAUAAAUAAGCCUUUUAGUAUCAUGGUACCAUCGAGUGAAAUAUUAAACUCGGGACAAUUAGUUAAGGCAUGUGAGGUUAGCAUUAGUGGUAAUACACUAUAUGUUGACCUAAUAAUCAUCGAGAUGCAUGACUAUGACAUAAUUCUUGGCAUGGAUUGGAUAUCGAAGCACUAUGCCAAGAUAGAUUGCAAGAAAAAAGAGGUAACUUUUCGACCACCACAAAAGGAAUCAUUUACAUUUAAAGGAGAAUGCAAAGGGAAUAAAAUGUCUAUCAUUUCUGCAUUAAAAGCAACCAGACUAUUAAAUGGAGGAUGUAAGGGUUACUUGGCAAGUGUGGUCAUCGAAACAGAAGAGCAAAGACCAAAGUUGGAAGAUAUUCCAAUGGUGAACGAAUUUCAUGGGGUCUUUCUUGAAGAACUCACAAGAUUGCCACCGAAUUGAGAAAUUGAAUUCAAAAUCGAUUUGUUACCAGGAACUGCUCCAAUUUCAAAAGCGCCCUAUAGGAUGGCCCCAUCAGAACUAAAUGAGUUAAAGAGUCAAUUGCAAGAAUUACUAGACAAAGGCUACAUAUGCCCAAGCCAUUCACCAUGGGGAGCACUAGUAUUGUUUGUAAAAAAGAAUGAUGGAUCAAUGCGAAUGUGCAUCGACUAUCGAGACGUAAAUAAGGUGACUAUCAAGAACAAGUAUUUGCUUCCACGCAUUGAUGACUUGUUUGAUCAGUUGCAAGGAGCAGCAAUAUUUUCAAAGAUUGAUCUACGAUCAGGAUAUCGCCAGUUGAGAAUCAGAGAUGAAGAUAUUCCUAAAACAGCAUUCAGAACACGUUAUGGACACUAUGAGUUUGUCGUCAUGCCACUUGGUCUAACUAAUGCCCCAACAACCUUCAUGGACCUCAUGAACAGGGUAUUUAAAGACUACCUAGACAAAUUCAUAGUUGUAUUCAUCGAUGAUAUUUUGGUCUACUCACGAUCAAAGGAAGAGCAUACUGAGCACUUAAGGAUUACUCUUCAAACAUUGAAGGAGAAGCAAUUUUAUUCAAAACUCAAGAAAUGUGAGUUUUGGCUUGAGAAAGUAACAUUCUUGGGACACGUCAUGUCUAAGGAUGGAAUUUCAGUAGACCCCUCGAAGGUGGAAGCUGUAAGCCAAUGGUCCAGACCGACUAAUGCCAAAGAAGUCAGAAGCUUCUUGGGUUUAGCUAGAUACUACCGAAGAUUUAUGGAAAGUUUCUCGAAGAUCGUGAUGCCACUGACCCAGUUGACAAAGAAAAUGCUAAAUUUGUAUGGACUCCAGAAUGCGAGAAAAGCUUUGAAGAACUAAAACGAUGACUGAUCACUACUCCAAUCCUAGCCAUUCCUAAUAGCUCUGAGUAAUUUGUCAUCUAUAGCGAUGCCUCCAAAAAUGGCAUAUGAUAUGUCCUCAUGCAAAAUGGGAAAGUCAUUGCAAACGAUUCCAGAUAUGAGAAAAAUUAUCCAACGCAUGAUUUGAAGUUGGCAGCGGUGGUGCACACAUUAAAAAUAUGGCAUCACUAUUUAAUGGGGGUACAUUGUAAGAUUUACACUUAUCAUAAGAGCCUCAAAUACUUCUUUACACAAAAGGAGUAAAAUAUACGACAACGGCGUUGGCUAGAGCUUGUCAAGGACUACAAUUGUGAAAUAAACCAUCAUCCUGGAAAAGCAAAUGUGGUAGCAGAUGCACUAAGUAAAAAGUCAAGCCUAUCAGCUUUAAAGAUUCUACCUAAGCCAUUACAAGAUGACAUAUGCAAGGCAGAGAUUGAGCUAGUAAAAAGAAAAUGAGCCAACAUGACACUUUGUUCAACUUUAUUAGAAAAUAUUAAAGAGGGAUAGAAAAGCAAUUCCCACUUAAAGAACUUGAAGAUAGAAUCCAACUUAAAGGAGAUGUCAUUUAAAAAGUCAGAGAGGGAAAUCAUCUUGUUCAAGGACAGGAUAUGUGUGCCUAACAAUAAAGAUAUAAAGAAAGAAAUUCUACUUGAAGCUCACACAACUCCAUAUUCACUUUACCCUGGCACAACAAAAAUGUACAAAGACUUAAAGAAGCACUAUUGGUGCCCUGGAAUGAAGAAGGAUAUAGUGGAGUUCGUGGCAAAAUGUCUCACUUGUCAACAAAUCAAAGCAGAGCACCAGAGACCAGUAGGACUUUUGCAAUCCAAUCAAAUCCCUCAAUGGAAAUGGGAAGAAAUCACAAUGGACUUCGUCGUUGGUCUUCCAAAAACUACCAAAUGCAUGAUGCCAUUUGGGUCGUCGUCGAUCGACUUACAAAGUCUGCUCACUUUUUGCCUAUUCGAAUGACUUUUUGCCUAUUCGAAUGACAUACACCAUGGACCAGCUUGCAAAAAUAUAUGUAAAGGAGAUAGUAAGACUACAUGGUGUGCCCAUUUCUAUUAUUUCUGACCGAGAUGCAAGGUUUACUUCGACACUCUAGGAAAAGUUACAUAAGGCUAUAAGGACAAGAUUGAAGUUCAGUACAUCAUUUCACCCUCAAACAAACGGCCAAUCAGAAAGAACGAUUCAGACGCUUGAAGAUAUGUUGCGAGGAUGUGCUAUUUACCAUUGGUUGAAUUCAUUUACAACAAUAGUUACCGAGCAACAAUCGACAUGGCACCAUAUGAAGUUCUAUAUGGUAGAAAAUGUAGAUUGCCUAUUCAUUGGGAUGAGAUGGCCGAGCGAAGGCAUCUUGGACCUAAGUUAAUUACUGCCUCAUCUGAAGCGAUCGAGAAAAUACGUCAAAGAAUGUAGGCAGCUCAAAGUCAAUAGAAACGUUUUGCAGAUAAGAGGCAAAGGCCUUUGGAAUUUCAAGUUGGUGACAAAGUAUUUCUAAAAGUUUCCCCAGUAAAAGGAUUGAUGAGAUUUGGGAACAAAGGAAAAUUAAGUCUGAGGUUUAUUGGGCCAUUUGAAAUACUCGAUCGUGUCGGGAAUGUUUCCUACCGACUUGCCCUCCCACCAUCGUUAUCAAGAAUACAUAAUGUCUUUCAUGUCUCCAUGCUAAAGAAAUACAUCCCAGACUCCUCUCAUGUGCUAGAUUAUAAAACUCUUCAACUAGAAGGAGACCUAACCUACGAAGAAUGUCCAAUUUAAAUUCUCGAUAGAAAGAUAAUGGAGUUAAGGAACAAGAAGAUCCCUUUAGUUAAAGUACUAUGACGAAAUAGCUCAAUGGAGGAGGCAACAUGGGAAUGUGAGGAAGAUAUUAAGAAUCAGCAUCUUGAGCUAUUCAGUAAGAAAAUUUCGAGGACGAAAUUUUUUUAAAACAGGGGAGGAAAUUGUGAGGUACAAUUUUCUCACUUCAAUAUAGUAGAUUUUAUUUUAAGCUAACAAGCCCCUAAAGUUUAUAAUAUUUAAUUUCAAGGAAUGAUGACAUAUGCAAUGACAUAAGUGAUGAUGUAAGUAGAAAUAUAUAGAGAAAGUUAAGAAUUCUAGAAUUUAGUAAGUUAUUUAUGAAGGUUAAUCUCAACCAUUGAUCAAGAGUUAUAGUGGCAAAAUCCUAGCCAUCCAUUAGCCUUAAGAAAUUCUAUAAAUAACCCCCCACCACCUCUCAUUUUCAAUGCAACCUCAAAAUUUCAUUUCCUUCUAUUCUAAGUCAUAAUAACAAGAGUAGAGGAAUCAUUAACUUAGAAAGAUCUAGAGAAGUCGAGAUCAACAGGUAAGUAACAUUUCAACUGCAAUGUAAAGACAUUUUUUUUCAUACUUAAGUUCAGUUUUAACAAUUCCUUUAUAUUAUAAUGGCUAUUAUAGUGUGAUUAGUUAUAUCUUUAUAUGGUCGGCCCUGCCGCCUAAUAUGUGAUGCUAUGGUUGGCCCUGCCGCCUAAUGUGUGAUGUUAUGAUCGGCCCUGCCGCCUAACAUGUGAUGUUAUGGUCGGCCCCGUUGCCUAAUAUGUGAUGCUAUGGUCGGCUCUGCCCCCUACUAUGUGAUGCUAUGGUCGGCUCUGCCGCCUAAUAUGUGAUGUUAUGGUCGGCUCUGCGCCCUAAUAUGUGAUGCUAUGGUCGGCUCUGCCGCCUAAUAUGUGAUAUUUAUACUUAAUUAUGCUAUGGUCAGCUAUGCCGCCUAUACUAAAGACUUUUUUUUAAUAAUAUUGUGUGUUGAUUUUAUUAUGCAUCAAGAAAUUUCAAAUGUUAUAAGUUGCAUUGGAUACAUGCAUAUCAUGGACUACAUUAUGAAGAAGACAUUUCAGAAAAUGAAUUUUUGAAAAAUAUAUGGUUGUACUACCAGUUGGCAAAGUUCUAAGGAAGGCAAUCCCUCAAAGCUAAGUUGAAAGAAAUCUUUUGGGGUCAACGAUACGUAACACCCAAAAGAUCAACUAAUGAGGCCCAAGGACAUAUUGUUUAAAGAGUAAAAGUGUCUGCCUUGUAGUGCAACAUACCUAGGGCCCAAAUAAAGUUGUUUUGUAUUUUCGAAGUUUAUUUUAAGACCUUAAUAUAGUCAUCCAUAUGCAUAAUAAUUUAUACAUGCAUCAAAGUGCUAUCUUACUGAGCAUUAGCUCACUAAGUCCUUACAUUGCAGGAAACGAAGCUGGCACCAAGUUCUAACCAAGACGAAGUGCAUAUGGGCAUAAUAGACCUUGGGAUUUUAUAAUGGGCUCAACUUUGUUUAGUACUAAGGAGUUUCUGUAUGACUCUUAAUUUUUGUAAGAAAGUUUUGUUUGUUGUAAACUUUUAGAAUUUGUAUUUAUAUUAAAAGUAACUGUGUUUUUAAGCAUUUUUAAGUAAAUAAUAUAGUGGAGUGUUACAAUAAUUAAGUAUUUUUGUAUUUUAGGGGCAUCAUAGUCAUUUCACAAUGAACGAGAGAUCAAACAGCAAAACGGACAUCACUUUUGAACUUAGGACAGUCAAAAACCUUAGGAGGAGUAUAAAAGGAAAAAUGGCACUGUUCACGUGUACGAUACUGUCCAUGUUACUGUUCACGACACUGUUCACAUAUACGGAACGAUGAUGUGUCAUUGACCGAUGACGUGACAUUGCCUGAUGAGGUGUCACGAUCUUAUUGAACUAAAAUUUUUAUGUACUGUUGAUCAGUGACGUGACAGUAUGUUAGUGGACCGAAAAUCGUGCGUACGGUACAUGCAUAUGCGUGGAAUUAUUUAUAACCAAACCGCAUUACUAUUCAAACCACGUGGUCAAACCACGUACUGUUGACACAUGGCGCUAUCUUGAGCAUCCAAAUUAUUUUUAAUUCAAUGGCCAUUAUUUACUCAGUGUAUCUAUAAAAAGGAGGCUCCCCUUCUAAUUUGAUACCCCUGAAUUCAUUUUUGAGCUCAAUUUUCUGUAAUUCCUACUCCAUCUUGUAUUUUUUACGUAUUUUAAUAAAUUUUUAUUUUACUCCUAGUUUAAUUAUGAGUAGCUAAUUUUCUUUCAAGUUUGGAUUGAAGGUGAAGUCUCAACAUGUGUCAUGGGCUUUAUUUGGUAAAUUUAUUCUCUUCCCCUCUAAUUAAUGUGGAUGUUUUAACUUUUCAUUAAUAGAUAGUAACAAUCUUAUCUAGAUACCGCACUAGUUUAACCGGCUCCCUAGUACAAGGAUAUUACUAUUUGGCACGAUAAGCCCGUAGCACCAUAUUGAUUAGAGUAUGGUUCAUAAGGAGUAGAAACCCCCCUCAUGAUUUAAUUGGCACUAAUAAGGAAUAUUAAGCCCAUGGUGCAUGUUGAUGUAGAUCUAGAUACCCAAGUGCAUCCAUUUUAAUAGAUUUCACUUCAAUUUAUUCCCGCCAUUUUAAUUUAAAUUUUAGGAUAAUUUAAAUCAAUUCCACCAUAAAUCCAGUCAUCCACUUAGAAAAUUAACUCUACACAAAAUUAAAAUCCACCUCCUCGUGGGAUCGACACUCGUCACCAUUAAUCUAUUCUACAAUAGAUUCUUGCACUUGCGAGUUCAAUAAUAUUUGCACAACGGCGGCAACAGACUUUAUAGCAAAAUUCACUAGUAACUUAUUCAAGAAGGCCAAGAUUAGUAAAGCAAUAAUGCCAACCUGGAGAUUAUAUGUGGAUAGAUCAUCAAAUGAACAAAGGAGUGGAGCAUAGUUGAUUUUUGUCACCCUAGAGCAUACAAAGAUCAGUUCUGCCCUUAGGUUUGGGUUCAAGGCCUCCAACAAUGAGGCAGAGUACGAGGCCUUGCUUGCUGGUCUCAUGUUAGCAAAAGAGGUGGGGGCAGAGAAGUUGGAAAGUUUUAGUGAAUCACAAUUAAUUGUGAAUCAAGUCAUAUCCAAGUACCAUGCAAAGGAAAGUAGGAUGUUAGCAAAUCUACAAAAGGUCAAAAAGCUACUAAUGAAUUUUGUAUAAUACACCAUCACUUAGAUUUCAAAGGAAGAAAACAACAAAGCAGAUGCCCUUGCAAGGCUGGCAUCAACCAUAGAUGUAGGUUUAAAUAGAUUAAUCCUUGUUGAGUUUUUACAAAAUUCGAGUAUUAAUCACGAAGAGAAUAAGAAGAUUAAUCUUGUGAAUACAACUGGGAAUUGAAUAGAUCUUAUCAUUAGUUACUUAAGAGAUAAGAAGUUGCCCGAUAAUAAAGAUGAAGCAAGGAAGAUCAGGUUAAAGUCAACACGAUACGUGAUUUUGGGAUAUGUGCUAUACAAGAGAGGAUAUUCACUAGCUUACUUGAGGUGUCUAACAUCUAAUGAAGCAAACUACGUGAUGAGAUAAAUCUAUGGGGUUAUUUGUAGCAACCAUUCGGGUGCAGGGUCAUUGGCCCAUAAAGUCAUUCGCCAAGGGUACUUUUGGCCUACCAUGAUGGAAGAUUCACAGAAAUUUGUGCAAUGGUGUGACAAAUGUCAAAGGUUUUCCAAUGUACCACAUCAACCCCUAGAAUAGCCUACCUCAGUUGCUAGCCCAUGGCUAUUCGCUCAGUGGGGGUAGACAUCAUCGGUCCAAUGCCUACUGGCAAGGGACAAACAAAAUUUGCAGUUGUGGCUGUAGACUAUUUCACAAAGUGGGCAAAAGCAGAACCCUUAGCAUAAAUUACAGAGCAGAAAACUACUGGAUUCAUAUGGAAGUCUAUCAUAUGUCGAUUUGGUAUUCCCUAAGCUAUUGUGAUGGAUAACGGGAAACCGUUUGAUAAUCCCCGUUUCAGGGGGUUAUGUGAAGGCCUUGGGAUUAAAAUUUUUUUCUCUUCCUCGACUCGUCCUCAAGCAAAUGGGCAGGUCGAAGCUAUCAACAAAAUAAUUAAGCAUUACUUAAAGACCAAGCUAGAAAAGCAUAAAAGGGCUUGGACAUGAAUUACCAUUCGUAUUGUGGACUUACAGAACCAUACACCAAGGCAACAGAAGAAACCUCAUACUCCAUUGCAUUUGGGACAGAAGCAGUGGUCCCUGUAGAGAUUGGCAUGCCUUCUUAUAGGGUGUAGUAUUUUCAACCUGAACAAAACUUAGAACAACUGAACCUCAGCCCAGAGCAGCAGUACACAAACAAAGGGUAGCUCCAUACUUCAAUUCAAGGUGAAGCCAAUAAGCUUUGGGUUGGUAAUCUAGUUCUCAUAAAGAUAUUUCAGAGCACAAAAGAGCAAAAUACUGGCGUGCUAGGACCAAAAUGGGAAGGCCCCUAUAGAGUAGUAGAAAUUGUCCGGCCGGGGACUUACAGGCUCGAAGACAUGAAUGGAGUUAUGCUUCCACAUCCUUGGAAUGUAGAACAUUUGAGGAUUUACUAUCAGUAAUGAAGCAACAUUAGUCAGUUUUCUUUUCUAAAAGUUUAGCCAAUUAAUAAGGCUUUCUUAAGCCAUUAGGAAGAUUCUUUUUUACGCUGAUAGAAAGUUAUUACCAACUUGCAUUUGUGACAGUUUAAUAAUAAAGCACAUCAUUAGCUUAUUCUAGAAUUUUAUAUUAUUGUUUAAAAUUUUCUUUUAUUUGAAAGAGAGCAGUUGUGGUGCAAAACUGUAAGAAAUCAACAAAUAUGUGCAUAAAAGGUGAAAGGUCAUGCUCUUUUAAGAGCAAAAAGUAUGCUUCCAAUAGUAAAUGGGGAGCAUCAGUUAUGCUUCCCGGGAAGCAGAAAUCAUGCUUCCAAGAGAGAAAGAGGAGGAAAAAUUAAUAAGUAUUCCUGCCCUCUUGGGAAAAAGAAAAAUCAAGAAAAGUAAAAAGAAUUUCUAGGAGCAUAAACCAUGCCCUCAAAAGUAAGGAGAGCAGUCAUGCUCCCCAUAAAUUAUACUCCAAUGGUAAAAAGCAGAAAAACUAAUAGAAUUCCUGAGAAAAAAGAAAAGCAAGAAAAGUAAAAAGAACAAGAGAAAAAAAGAAAAACAACUAAAAACCUUGGGUGAUAAUAGAAAAUGCAGCAUCUCAGAUAUAAUUGAUAACGAGCAUCAUCAGUCUUCUAGAAAAUGGUAAUUAAGUUGAAGGUAGCGGCUCUCAAUCAUAGCCUUAGCCUUGGCAUCACCUUUUAGAAAUUCUUCAUCAAAGAUAUUCUUAAAAUCAGUAGAAGCUUUGAACUCUUCAACAGCUAAAGUUUUCAUACUUGGAAUUUGGAGGUUCAAUUGGUCAAGAGAGUUGAACAAUUCUUGAACUUGGGACUGGAACUGAGCUAAUUCUUCCUUUGCAGCAUUAAGUUCCAACUUCAAUUAGGCCACAAGAGCUUUCUCUUCGCUUAGACACUUCUCCAGCUCAUCAAUCUUUUUUUCUAGAAGCUUAGCCCGAUUCAAGUAAAGCAUUCAUCUCCAGCAUCAGGGACUUUAUCUUUUUUUUUUUUUUAUUUGAACAACACAACCAAGCUACAAGAAAAUGAACACAGUUGGGAUCCAACUUCAUAUUGGUAAUGGUAACAUAAAAGCAAUAUUACAAAAGCGAUAUUAUUACUACUACCUGAGAAACGUUAGCAAGCAUGGCUUCAAUAAGACCAGAGUUCUCCAUUUGCCUCAUAUUAUCAGCAAAGACAUAUUGAGGCCAAGAUUGAGCAAAAGAACUUAGAUGUGCUUGAGAAAGAUCUUCCCAAGUGACAUUAAAGUCCAUUAAAGAUUAAUGGCCCUAAAACAUGACAAAGGUCCAAAGAUUACCAGUCAUGAGAAAGUAUUGACACAUAUGAAUAUGUGUCUCCAUGCAUGGGCUUUAGCUGACACUUGUCACAAGAAAAGUGUCACCUAACCUCUCCAAUUGACUCUAAGGUUGCCUAUAUAAAGGCCAAAGCCCCCCAUUUAAAGGUAAGAGAAAAGAAAAAAAAAGCAUAAAAUAAGUAAAAAACUCUGCCCAUCUCAUCUAGAAUUUCUCUCUCUAAAAAUUGAGUAAAAAUAAUUGACUUGAGCGUCAGAGGGUUAUCGUCAGCUUGCCGGCACCCUUUCAUAAUUGUUUCUUUUUGUGAAACAAUUAAUCACAAGAAGACAUGUGAUUUGAGACAUUCGCUUUAAGGAAAAAAUAAGCCACAGAACUCGAUUUAGAAGAAAGUCCAAAACACAAAUCAAUCAUUGUACAUUGAGCAAAAAUUUGCAUUAACAAAUAUGAAGAAAGAAAUUAAGAAAACGUACUUGCUUACAGUCACAAAUAUAAAGAUAAAAAUUGUAGAGAUUACCAUAAAGAAAAUUGUAAAUUUGUUUUCAUACAAAAGACAAUUUAGUAUAACAAAUUCUACAGAUAUGAAUAUAUUUUUAUAUGCACACAAAAAUUUAUCUGCUCUUUCUGUCUGAAAAAACGUUUAAUAAGUUCUAAACAUUAAAAUGUGGAAUCAUGUGAUUGGACAUACUCAAAAUGUGGCCUGUUUAUUAAUUAUAACACUACAUACAUACGAUAUAGCCUUCAUUUUUACACUUAAAAUUUCCAAAAAAAUAAAUUUAACUUCAAUUAAAUUGCACUAAAGAUAGAAAGUUAAAAGCCCAAUUCAUUAUUAAACAUGGAAUUACUUUGUAUUAUUUAGUUCACAUUUUGUUAGAAUCUUCCAACCGUUGCUUUAAAGAUAAUAAAUAUAAUGUCAAUGUAUGAAAACUUAGUAAUUCAUGCAAUACAAAUUUAGAAUCAUUAUUUUGGACUUGCAUGCAACAUUUACUAUAUCGUUCUAGCAAAAUAAUUUCCUUUUGUACAAAUAAAAUUGAACAUUGACAUUGAAAUGCUUUAUAGAAAAUGCAUUUAUAAAAAAAUUUAUAAAGCAUUUUUUUCAUUCACCAGUAUUAACUACAAAUAUUUAUUUUAUUUUAAACUACCAAAAAGAGGGGUUAGGCUAGAUCCAUACAUGUCAUGUAAAUCUGAUAAAAUUAAAAUACAUAUAGAAGGGGCCAUAGACCAAAACCUCACUAUAAGAAAACAGGCAAUAGAUGACGGACAAUUUAUGACAGAUUAUAGGUAUAUCAUAAAAUUACGACAAAAUUGUGAUAGAAUUUUUAAUCUAUCAUAGAUUUAUGAUGGGUUUGUGAUAGAAAUAUUUACUAUCAUGAAUUUAUGAUGGUUUUAUGAUAGAAUUAUCAUCACCAUCAUUGCAAAAUAAAACAUCCCAAAUAAGAAAAAAAACCAUACUGCUGUACGGCCAAGGCGGAUGUACGCCACAUUUGACCCAAAUUUGAUGUAUUAUUUUAUUUAAAAAACAAAAGAUGUGUUUUACUAAUUAAAAACAAAUGCCACCAAAACGCUACCAUUUUAAGUACUUGAGCUUUCUUUCUUUUUUCUAAGUGUUUAACAUUCACAUUACUGAUGAGAAAUCCAAAUCCCUAAGUACUGUUUCUUUUGUUCCAUCGUGCCGUUCACAAACCCUUUUCUGAAACCCCUGAUUCUUGCCGCUCUUCUACCAUUCACACAUUGUCAUUGCCUUUAUACAAAAUUUAGCCUCCCCCAUUUAAGCCAUCAACCUCUUCAGUUUCGCUUUGGCUCCUAAUACCGUCAAUUUUUUUCACUUUGUUUCAAAUUUUCGUAAUUAAAUAAUUGUCUCUUCAUUUUGAAACCAUACGUCAAUGCCUUCGCAGCAUAAAGAGCACCAGCCAAGCAAACAAAAUUCAGCCAGUUCUUAAGGUAACCCUAACCCUCAUUUGGGGAAUCUUUGGUAUUAUUUGUCUUGGAUAUUGGAGGAUAGAUAGAUCCAUGUGGGUAAAAUUGAAGCUGUGUGUUCUUCUAAUAUUUUUUAUUAACGGUAUUAUCUAUCUUGCAGCGUGAAUCUUUCGUUAAACACAUUGUUUUGAUUCUCUUUGCCUUAUCCUCUUUAUAUAAAUAUAUGCAAAGACUUGACUAUGUUGUAAAUGUUUCUAUCAGAUGCACUUUGGUUUCUUCACUUAAUUCUUUGUUCAACGAUCUAGUUUUAUCACGCUUUACAAGGUAGGUAACAUUUUUUCUUGUUACUGUAUAUACCCCACAUGCUUAUGUGAUUGCUCUUUGUAAUAAGUUUGUUUAUUUCUUCAGUAUUUUAUGCCAAAUGCUUUGUUGUUGGGUUUAAAUUAUUAACUGUUUCAUUUAUAUUUGUUUAAUAACAAUUUGUAUCUAUUUUGAUGGCAUUUUGUUGUUUUUGGAAAUUAUGUUAAUAGUGUGGGUACAAUUCUGGAUCAAACUUAGAUAAAUGUUUGUGCACUGAAUGUGACUUGCUUGGAACAUAAAUAGUUUUUUAGGGAUUCACUGUAUAUAGGCGAGAAACCAGUGACAUAUAUUCUGAUGGUCAACCCGAAUGGGGUCUAUGUCAGUUUGCACUACUGGUGUAAAAAGUCACGUACAAGUGUUCCCCUAACAUAACCUAGUCAUCCGUUUAGCAUAAGGCACCCAUACACAAUACCAGCUAAGGCUUACCUCACACAACAACAAUUAUUCCAGAAACAUGGUACGCUCACUCAAAUGGGCUUUAUUUAACUCAACCUUAGUGUAUAAUUUAUUUCCAUAUCAAAAUUUGAAGCCAUUUAGACAACUCUACAAUAGGGUCUCACGAGAUUAAACUAAACCAAUCAAAAUUGCCUUUUAAUUUACAUAGAAAUAGCUGAGAUUUAGUGAUUUAUUAAAAUUAAAAUACUCAAUAUAUUGGGAUAAAACUUUCUAGAACAUAUAUAGAUCUAUGAUUAAAUAACAUAUUAAAUUCCGAUAUCAUUGAGCUAGUGUUUCAUAAGAUCAAAUGUAAGAGAACACCUCUGUUAAAGGGGCUUCCAGAUUUUUUUUAUCAAUUAUAUUUGUUGUUCCUCACUCACAGAUCAGGAGGUUUAAUAAAUACCUAUAUGGAGUUUGUUUCUAGUGGGAAUGCCCUUAUUUUUUACUUUCUUCAUGCGGAGAAGCUUUCAAAUCCCACGGUUUAAGAGCGUGUGUGUAUAUAUAUAUAUAUAUAUAUAUAUAAUUUAUAUAUAACUUUAUGAUGAGAAAUAUGCAUCAUAAAGUCUGUCAUAAAAAAUUUCCUGCGAAAAUUAAUAAUAAAUAUAAAAAUUGACAAUUUAAUUUUCCGCUAAAAAAUUAAAAAAAAUGGUGUAAAAAUUUAAAUUAGUUUAAAUUUAAAUUUAAUUAUUUUUUUCAUAUUAAAAUAUUGUGUGACAGAUAUAUGAUUGUAAAAUGCCAUCAUGAAUUCAUGACGGAAAAUAAUUUGUCAUAUAUUAAUGACAAUGACAUAGAUGACGGAUGAAAUGUCUGUCAUAAACAUCCUUGAUUAGUUUAGUCACAUUUUGAAACAAUAAAACUUUCCAUAAUAGUCCAACCACUACAAGAAAAUAGACAAUAGAUGAUGGAAAAUAACUGUCAUAAAAGGAGGUUUAUGACAGUUAUUUUCCGUCAUCUAUUGUCUAUUUUCUUGUAGUGGUUGGACUAUUAUGGAAAGUUUUAUUGUUUCAAAAUGUGACUAAACUAAUCAAGGAUGUUUAUGACAGACAUUUCAUCCGUCAUCUAUGUCAUUGUCAUUAAUAUAUGACAAAUUAUUUUCCGUCAUGAAUUCAUGAUGGCAUUUUACAAUCAUAUAUCUGUCACACAAUAUUUUAAUAUGAAAAAAAUAAUUAAAUUUAAAUUUAAACUAAUUUAAAUUUUUACACCAUUUUUUUUAAUUUUUUAGCGGAAAAUUAAAUUGUCAAUUUUUAUAUUUAUUAUUAAUUUUCGCAGGAAAUUUUUUAUGACAGACUUUAUGAUGCAUAUUUCUCAUCAUAAAGUUAUAUUUAAAUUAUACUGCUGUACCGUACAUCCGCCUUGGCCGUACAGCAGCNNNNNNNNNNNNNNNNNNNNNNNNNNNNNNNNNNNNNNNNNNNNNNNNNNNNNNNNNNNNNNNNNNNNNNNNNNNNNNNNNNNNNNNNNNNNNNNNNNNNNNNNNNNNNNNNNNNNNNNNNNNNNNACAGCAGAUACACACAUGAUUAUAAUUUAUUUUUGAAUUCUUGUUUACAAAUUUAAUUAAUUAAUAAAAAUGAAUAUCAUAAAAAAAAAGUAAAAACAAUUAAUACAACAUCCGUUCAAUCCAACAAAUUAAUUUUAAAAUAAAUACAUCUAAUAUCAAAUUUCAUCACCAUCAUUGCAAAAUAAAACAUCCCAAAUAAGAAAAAAAACCAUACCAAAAUAUAAACUCAUAGUUAAAUUCCAAUUAAACACCAAGAAAAACAAUUCAAACUCCAUCCACCAAGCCAAGUUGCCCAACAAAACUUCUAGCACCAAUAUCAUCUUCCAAUAGCACUCUAAUACCAGCAUCAAAUAAGGUAAAAGUCACAGAUGAUACUUGUAUAAGCAAAACCAUCCACAUUAAUAAAGAGUACAUAUCGCCUUUUCUGUUGCUGUAAAAGAGUCGCAUUAUGGUCUGUCAGCUUAGUAAUAAUGGAGAAGUAAUUCCAGCAUAUUAUUUCUAUCCAGCAGGGCCCAAAUCCUCAUCUUUAGGGGCUAAGAUAUCGAAUGAGAUAAUAAAUAAGUAAAAGGGAAAUCUGAGGGAUAGUGAAACAAAAGUAAACCCAAAACUAUAAGGAUAAAGAACAUUUUUUCCCACUACUAAGAGUAGUAUAAGAUGUAAUUGCAAUUGUUGCUGCAAGGAUUAUUUGUCUUUCAGAUUGUGCAAGUGACGCUUCAUCCCUUUCCUUUUUAAGUCUAGCAAUUACAUGACAAGCUGCAUCAUGUUGAGGACAAAUCAAUACAAUCAAACAGAUGAUAUGUAUCAUAUACACUAAAUGCCGAAUAUAAAGAGAUAAUUUGUGAAUUAACUUUAACAGGCAUAACCUCAAGUGCUAUUACCUGGUACAAUGCAUGGCUUAUCUCUUGCCUUGCUAUAUGAUGUUGUUACUCCAAAGCAAAAUUAGAUAGCAUCAAACCAUCCCAUUCCUACAAUUAGACAAACAAUGUAACUGCUAGGAAAUAUAAUCUACAAUUAGACAAACAAUGUAACUGCUUCAAACCAUCCCAUUCCUACAAUUAGACAAACAAUGUAACUGCUAGGAAAUAUAAUAAAGAAUCACAUAUUAAAAUGUAAAAUUCAGUAUCAAUUAAAAUUGUGAAUUUGAAGAAGUGUCACUAAGAAAUCAGCAAUAUUACAGUUAGAAAAAAUGAUAAAAGACAUUAAAUUAUGUUUACACGAUUAUCAUUAUUUAUAAAAGAAGUAUUCACUUUUCAAAUGAAAAAAAUUAAAAGAGCACAGAACAAGGGAUCUCAAAACAAAAAUCUUAUAAUAGCUCUAUCUUGCAAAAUAUACUGGAUAAAUCUAGCAUAAGAAUAGUUGGCAAGAAAACUCUAAAACAAAAUAUCCAUGUUCUACAUUCUAAAUUAUUAUAGAAUAAAGAGACCUAAUGAACACAAAAACAAUAUGAUAUUAUGAAUGAAAAACAUGGGCUAAAAUCUGGAAAACAUGUUUCAUGCAAAGAAAAAGAUCACCAUAAAAAUAAGAGGUUAUUACAUGCUGAUUGAAUUGGAAUAUAAUCUAAGCUUUCACUUGGCAAGAAAUUGGUAAUGUGCUAAAGCACAAGUUCAUGAAAAAACAUAUGAAGUCAAAAGUCAAAUUCUUUUUAAGUACUAACAAAUUAAAAACUCCUUCCAAACAAACUUAAACAUUUAACACAGCAGACACAAGGCAAUAAAUCAUAAUCACAUACAUUUUGGAACAUUACAAGCAUCCCAUGAAUGCUAGCAGACAUCAAUGGUCUGCGCUUCUUAAACUUCAUGGCAACCCAUUUAGCAAAAGACAAAAAUUAUCAUGCAAGAUUACAUUAAAUAAUGAUGACGAAAACUUCCAACAAACCAAGAAAAGCAACCAUCAUAAAUUUCUAUAACCAUUUUCUCCUAAAUUAUGUAGAGAAAAAUAGUAAUUUAACUAUAAAAAUUUCUAAGACACAUUUAAUCAAAUACCUUCUCCCGUAUUAUAUAGAUAAAAAUAAAAUGUUAACUAUAUGAAUCUCUAAUAGACAUUUAAUCAAGCUCCUUACAUGUGCAAAAAUCUUUCAAAAUUGUAAACCAAUUAUACAUGUUAAAUCUUCAAUUGACAUUCAAAUUUUCCCAAAUCAUGAUUUCUUAGACAAGAACGAGUAAAAUUUACAAGAUAAUUGAACAUGACAAUUUCAAGAAAAAGCCAAACCCUAACCAUCACAACAACCACGAGCCACCAUUACCUUACCCCUCCACAACAAAUCCAAUACCAUGCAAAUCAAACCCAAUCAAUUUUUGCACCAAAAUCCCAUUAAUUUUACUAUUUAGAAAAAUAAACCCACAAGUUUUAAUACAUACCUGAUGUCAAUUUUAAUUUUACAAAAAUCAGCAACCUUACUUGGAUAUGGAUUGAUUCAUUGAGGAAAAAAAUUAAAAAAACCAAUUGUUUCUCACAGUGGAGGUAGAUCUGCUUGUGGAGAUGACGAAAAGAUGAAAAAACUGAAAAACAAUGUGAAACGAGAGAGCAAACAAGUGUUACAGCUUGAAUGGAGGAAGAAUGGUGGCAUUUUGAAUGACAAAAUAGUGGAGUUUUUAUGAUUUAUUCAGAUUGAAAUUUUAAUUCUAGGGUUUCAAAUGAUGAAAGAGAGAGGCAAAAUGGAGAACGUCCAACACUUAGACAAAAUUUGUGUGUUUUAAGCAAUCCUAUGGUAAAUUGUAGCCUUUUAUUCUUUUUGUUUUUAUUUUUUAAUUUUUAAAAAGGUGUUGUUUGAUUUUUUAAAUAAAAUAAUACAUUAAAAUUUGGUCAAACACAAUCAAAAUCAUAAUUCUAUCACAAUUUCUUGAUGUAGCAAAUUUCUAUCACAAUUCUAUCAUCAAUUCUUGAUAAAUAAUAAUUAUUUCACAAAAUCAUCGCUAAUGCAUGAUAGAACUAUAUUCUGUCACAAGUCCGUCAUGCUUUUAUGAUAUAUACGAUUUUACCCUGAAUCUGUCACAAGUUGUCUGUCAUCUAUUGUCAGUUUUCUUGUAGUGAACAAUUCUCAAAUUUUUUGGAGAAUCCAUAAUUAUCAUUCUGUCACUUCUAUAAUUAAUUUUCCAGCAACUUAAACAUCACCAAACCACAUGCUUAAAGCAAUAUUAGACAUGUAAAACAAACAACAACCUUGCUUUUGAGUUUUGAAACAAAAAACAUCACCAAAUCAUAUAACUUGAGAUAAUUAGAUCACUCUUAAGACUUUGACCAUGUUUGCAUUGGCAAAGAAUAUUAGUAGAACAAUUUUUUUCUUUUAAUAAUAUAAUGUUAUAAAUCUCAAAUAGUCUAUGUGUUCUUUGUUGGACCAAACAUGUGAUCAUGAUAUUUUUUGAACUUAAGUCUUAUUCAUAUCAGAACAACAUUUAGAUAAGCAUGUGCCAAGAAAAAUUCAGUUUAUGUAUUCUUCCAUAUGUUUUUCAUUUUUUUUUGGAUGUUUUUCAUCUUCAUUUGUUUAUGUUGCAGCAAAGGUAUUUAAGUCAUUGUUAAUUUGUACCUUGCAUAAAUGUAUUGGUAAUAUAUUCUGAUUUUUUAUUUAUAUUCUACCACCUUAAUGUGUCAGGAUCAGAUAUAAUUGAAACUAAAAAUGGAUAAGUCAUGGAUGCAUUGUAGUAAAAUGGCAAAAGAGUAUGAAGAUAGGGUUGAAACAUUUAUGAGGUUUGCUAUUACUAAUGCCGAAGGCAGUAGCGUCAUUAGAUGUCCAUGUACUAAAUGUAUGAAUAUAUCCUUUCAUACACAGAAGUGAAAUGAAAAUUAUGCAACCCAAAAGGGGGUGAAUUGGGAUUUUAAAUCUUGUGCUAAACAAUUCGCACAACAAUUUAAUCUAUUGCCUUAAUUAAAUAAAAAAUAAUAAAUUCAAUAAUGCACAAUAAUAAAAGAAUAAGGGAAGAGAAAGAAAACACAACAAUUUUUAUGUGGUUCGGCAAUCCCCGCCUACGUCCAUGCCUCCAAGCCAACCAAGCUUGAGGAUUUCACUAUCCAAGCCUCCCAAGGCUUCAAGUUCUUACAAUUGACUUCCAAGAUGUCAAUGAACUUUUACAAUCAAGAAAUUAUCUCCUCAAUCUCUUCACCCCAAGUGUUUCUCACACUUGUACACUCACAAUUUGAUGAGAAAUGAAAAUUACAACAAAAACUCUAUUUAAGAGUAGAUAUGCAAAUGAUAGCAUAAUAAUGAUUCAAUAAAUGAUGAUUUGUGAAAUAGAAGCUCAAUAUGUGUUAUAUGAUCUUAUUUAUGCUUGCAUAGACUUUUAAUUGAAGUUGGAGUUGGGUUUUUAUAGCUAAAGUCUAAAACCUAGCUGUUAUAGGUAAAUUUCCGCACCCAAGCAGUUAGCCACUUAAUUUGGCUAGCUAGCCGCUCCAGUAUAGUAAAUUAACUGUUAAAUUUGAAUUUGCUAUAGUAACACUAUUCAUAAAAUUAUAUUUUGCCCAAAACUUUUUAUAAUUAUACUAUGGCCAAAAACGUCAUGAAAUUUUGCAAACAUGUCCAAAUUUAGAAUUUCUAAAUAAUACUUGUCAUUCCCCAAACUUUUUGAAAUUAUGCUAUAGCCCAUCAUAUAAUAAUAUUUUUCAAAGACGUCCUUUUCAAAAUUUAACAAAAUAUUCAUAAAUAUCAAAGUUCUCAAAUCCUUUCAAUUUAAUCCAAAAUUUGAAAAUAUGAGAUUUUCCUCAGGUGGCUAGCCGCUAGCCCUUAGGCGCCGCUCAUUCUCUGUCCAAUUUUGGAUUUCAAGUGUUUGGAUUACAGUCGAGUCCUCAAACUUGCAUAAAUUAUAGUAUGGCUCAAAAUGUUUCAAAUGUUUGCAAAUAGGUCCAACUCUAGAAUUUAAAAUAAUACUUAUUAAAUUCAAAGAUUGUAAAACUUUUCAUUUUAGUCCAAAUUACUCAAAUCCACAAAAUAUUUUACCUUAUAAAUAUAAAACCUUUUAAUUUAUGAAAAGUAAUUAUUUAAAUAAACUCUUGAGCUUUUCAAAUGUUAAAUCAUACAUCAAUUAAAUCUUACUGGCUUUACAAGAAUUUGUCGUAAUAAUAUGUCCGUUGAGCUCUAAACUUUAUUCUUGAUUUCGCCAUUGUCCGUUGAGUGUCUUGAAUUUCAUUUCACUUGCAUAAAUAUUAUCCUUCCAAAACUAGUGAAAAUGUGAAAUGCAAUAUUUAUUAAAUUACUUAAGAUACAUGUUUGUUAUCAUCAAAAUUACAUUAUGUGUAGCCCUUUAGGCUAACAAUAAGGUUAUUCACGAACAUCUGUAUUUUCAUGGCUUUGAUGUUUCUUACACAACCUGGAGUUAGUAUAGGUAAGAUGUCCAUGACACACCACUUCCUAAUGUAGAAGUAAAUGUUCUGUUUAAGUUUAUGGACUAUGAUAAUGGUAACACAGUAGAUAUGGUUAACGAUGCUUAUAAGGAUUGUGUUGUAGAUCCUAAAGCAUUUAAAGAACUUCUAGAACAGGCUGAGAAGCCUUUAUACCCAGGAUGCAUAAAUUUCACUAAGUUAGGCACUUUGGUUAGCUUGUUCAAUAUAAAAGGUAAAUUUGGGUGGUCUAACACAAGUUUUACCGAGUUGUUAGGUCUUCUAGCCAAGUUGCUGCCUGAAAGUAAUGAAAUUCCUAUGUCUAUAUAUGAGGUAAAAAGACAAUGUCCGUUUUAGGCUUAGAAUAUGUGAAAAUACAUGCUUGCCCAAAUGACUGCAUACUCUAUAGAAAUGAGUAUGAAGGCCUCUUUGAAUGUCCUAGUUGCGGUUUAUCUAGAUGGAAAAAAAAAAGGAUGGUAGUGCUUACCAGUAUAGGAAAGGGGUUCCUGCGAAGCUUUUAUGGUAUUUUCCACCUACACCUAAAUUAAGCGCAUGUUUCAGUCCUCACAAACUGCCAAAGACUUGACUUGCCAUGCAAAUGAGAGAGUCGAUAAUGGUAAGCUCCGACAUCCGAUAGACUCACCAUCAUUGAAAUUAGUAAAUAACAAAUGGCUAACUUUUGCAUUAGAUCCUAGAAAUCUUCGCCUUGCCUUAUCAGCUGAUGGAAUAAAUCCACAUAGCUCUCUUAGUAAUACAUAUAGUUGCUGACUAGUUAUUCUAGUAACGUAUAAUCUUCCCUCAUAGUUGUGUAUAAAACAGAAAUUCAUGAUGUUAUCCCUACUAAUUUCUGGUCCUCAACAACUAGGCAAUGACAUUGAUGUGUACUUGGCUCCUUUGAUAGAAGGUUUGCAAACUUUGUGGGAAGUUGGGGUAGAGGGUUAUGAUGCCUAUAGAAAGGAGUUUUUUAAUAUGUUGGCUAUGUUAUUAUGGACUAUAAAUGACAUUUCGGCAUACGAAAAUCUAACUGGUUGCACUGUUAAAGGAUAUAAUGCUUGUCCAUAUUGUGGUGUAGACACUACUAAAUGUAGACUCAAACACAGUGGAAAAAAUGCAUAUAUCGGUCACCGUCGUUGGCUUUCUUAUGAUCACGAAUUUCGUGACCAAUAUAAAGCUUUUGACAACACAAUAAAGAGAGAGUUUGCUCCGAAACCGUUGAAUGGUGAGGGUGUUUUACGGCUGGUUGAUUCUAUUGAUUAUAAAUGGGGGAAGAACAAGCCAUUAAAACAUAAAAGUUCCAACAAUGAUGACCACAUAUGGUGGAAAAAAAAAUAUAUUCUAUAAUUUAGAGUAUUGGAAGCAUUUACUUGUGCGUCAUCAAUUAGAUGUUAUGCACAUUGAAAGAAUGUGUGCGAGAGCAUUUAUGGAACACUACUUCACAUUCCAGGAAAAACCAAAGAUGGUUUUAAGUCAAGGAAUGCUCUUGUGGACAUGAAAAUCAGGGAUGAACUAGCACCAACUUCAAAAAAAAAAAAAAACAAGUGCAUCUUCCUUCCUGCAGCUUGUUACACAUUAACUAGAGAUGAAAAGACAAGAUUCUGCAAAGCUUUGAAAAGUAUUAAAGUUCCUGCUGGAUAUUCCUCAAACAUUAGAAAUCUUGUGUCAAUGAAGAACCUUAAACUUCUAGGCCUUAAGUCAUAUGACUGCCUUGCUCUUAUGCAACAACUUCUCUCUAUUGCCAUUAGGUGUGUCUUGCCAAAGCAUGUGAAAGGAGCUUUAAUCAGGCUGUGCUGUUUCUUCAAUUUGUUGUGUUCCAAUGUGGUUGAUGUGACAACAUUGAAUAAAUUACAGGCAGACCAUGUGGUGACUUUAUGCUUGUUAGAAAAAUAUUUUCCUCCAUCUUUCUUUGACAUUAUGGUAUACUUGACUAUGCAUUUAGUCAAUAAAGUUAGAUUAUGUGGUCCGGUUUAUCUUCGGUGGAUGUAUCCCUUCGAGAGAUACAUGAAAACUCUUAAAAGUUAUGUUUGAAACCGCAACCGUCCUAAGGGUUGUAUAGCGGAGAGUUAUAUUACGGAAGAAGCAUUAUAAUUUUGUGCAGAAUACAUGUUAAACAUGAGUACAGUUGGGGUUCCACCUGGACAUGUGCAAAAGCUAUCAAAAGAUAAGCCACUGUGUGGUGGGAAAGUGGUGCAAAUUCUUGCAAAUUUGCUAGAUCAAGCACACUUGUACAUCUUGCAUAACACACAAGAAGUGGUAUCAUACAUUACGUAAUUUGAAUUAGCAUGAGAAAGCUGUCAUGGUUGGCUAUGUAUGGAGAUAAGUGUAUGGCCAAUAUGGAAUUCAUCACUUUGUAAUAUACAAAAAGGAUGUCUCUGUGAGAUAAUAUGAAUUGGCAUGAGAAAUCCUUGGCCAAGGUAAAAUAUGUUUGAAGGAGUUCAAAUUAUAUUUUCAUGCCAAGUUCAUUUAGAUUUAUUUUGAGAUAAAGUAUAAAUGCUUAACACACUAAAUCAUUAGCCGUGCUUUUCUCUGGACAUGGAUGAUGAAGAGACUAAAACAUAGAGAUACAAUGGAAUAGGUUCUAUAGAUCCAAUAAUUCUUGUUAUUUGGGUGGUUGUGAAAUACUGCUAGGUGUCACUCAUGACUUGUAGAAACAUUAAGAUCAUUAUUGGUAAAGCGUAUUACCAAUGUAUCUUAAGGUCAUUAGAAAAGUUCUAAUUGAUGACUAAAAAGUUUAGCAUCAUUUAAUGAAUAAAGAGUUAUCAUUAAAAUAGUUCUACUACCUUAUAACAAAGAACCUAAAAGAUCACACACCUAAUAGAAAUGAAAAAGGAGUUACUAGAAAAUGAGAAGUUAAAUUUCCUAAUUUUAGGAAAAUCAGUAUUUAUAUUAUAAUUCAUUAAGAAUGAAUAUAUAUAUAUAUAAAUAUAUCUUAAAUAUGAUUUAAGAUAGAAAUUUAGAUGUUCCAUAAAUAGUUUAAGGAACAAAAUAAAUUUCAUAAAUCCUCNNNNNNNNNNNNNNNNNNNNNNNNNNNNNNNNNNNNNNNNNNNNNNNNNNNNNNNNNNNNNNNNNNNNNNNNNNNNNNNNNNNNNNNNNNNNNNNNNNNNNNNNNNNNNNNNNNNNNNNNNNNNNNNNNNNNNNNNNNNNNNNNNNNNNNNNNNNNNNNNNNNNNNNNNNNNNNNNNNNNNNNNNNNNNNNNNNNNNNNNNNNNNNNNNNNNNNNNNNNNNNNNNNNNNNNNNNNNNNNNNNNNNNNNNNNNNNNNNNNNNNNNNNNNNNNNNNNNNNNNNNNNNNNNNNNNNNNNNNNNNNNNNNNNNNNNNNNNNNNNNNNNNNNNNNNNNNNNNNCAAGUAAAUUUAUAAUUUCAACCUUUACUGCUGUACGGCCAAGGCGGAUGUACGGUACAGCAGCCGUUGAAUGGUGAGGGUGUUUUACGGCUGGUUGAUUCUAUUGAUUAUAAAUGGGGGAAGAACAAGCCAUUAAAACAUAAAAGUUCCAACAAUGAUGACCACAUAUGGUGGAAAAAAAAAUAUAUUCUAUAAUUUAGAGUAUUGGAAGCAUUUACUUGUGCGUCAUCAAUUAGAUGUUAUGCACAUUGAAAGAAUGUGUGCGAGAGCAUUUAUGGAACACUACUUCACAUUCCAGGAAAAACCAAAGAUGGUUUUAAGUCAAGGAAUGCUCUUGUGGACAUGAAAAUCAGGGAUGAACUAGCACCAACUUCAAAAAAAAAAAAAAACAAGUGCAUCUUCCUUCCUGCAGCUUGUUACACAUUAACUAGAGAUGAAAAGACAAGAUUCUGCAAAGCUUUGAAAAGUAUUAAAGUUCCUGCUGGAUAUUCCUCAAACAUUAGAAAUCUUGUGUCAAUGAAGAACCUUAAACUUCUAGGCCUUAAGUCAUAUGACUGCCUUGCUCUUAUGCAACAACUUCUCUCUAUUGCCAUUAGGUGUGUCUUGCCAAAGCAUGUGAAAGGAGCUUUAAUCAGGCUGUGCUGUUUCUUCAAUUUGUUGUGUUCCAAUGUGGUUGAUGUGACAACAUUGAAUAAAUUACAGGCAGACCAUGUGGUGACUUUAUGCUUGUUAGAAAAAUAUUUUCCUCCAUCUUUCUUUGACAUUAUGGUAUACUUGACUAUGCAUUUAGUCAAUAAAGUUAGAUUAUGUGGUCCGGUUUAUCUUCGGUGGAUGUAUCCCUUCGAGAGAUACAUGAAAACUCUUAAAAGUUAUGUUUGAAACCGCAACCGUCCUAAGGGUUGUAUAGCGGAGAGUUAUAUUACGGAAGAAGCAUUAUAAUUUUGUGCAGAAUACAUGUUAAACAUGAGUACAGUUGGGGUUCCACCUGGACAUGUGCAAAAGCUAUCAAAAGAUAAGCCACUGUGUGGUGGGAAAGUGGUGCAAAUUCUUGCAAAUUUGCUAGAUCAAGCACACUUGUACAUCUUGCAUAACACACAAGAAGUGGUAUCAUACAUUAGGUAAUUUGAAUUGGCAUGAGAAAGUUGUCAUGGUUGGCUAUGUAUGGAGACAAGUGUAUGACCUAUAUAGAAUUCAUCACUUUGUAAUAUACAAAAAGGAUGUCCCUAUGAGAUAAUAUGAAUUGGCAUGAGAAAUCCUUGGCCAAGGUAAAAUAUGUUUGAAGGAGUUCAAAUUAUAUUUUCAUGCCAAGUUCAUUUGGAUUUAUUUUGAGAUAAAGCAUAAAUGCUUAACACACUAAACCAUUAGCCGUGCUUUUCUUUGGACAUGGAUGAUGAAGAGACCAAGACAUAGAGAUAUAAUGGAAUAGGUUCUAUAGCUCUCCUCCACUUGUUGCCAUUAGCCAUUCUUGCACAUGUGGCAAUAAUCCCUCCAAAAAGUAUUGGCAUUUGUGCCAUUUCUCGUACCCAUGAUGUGGACACUUCAAAAGUAGCCCAUUAAAUCGCUCCCAUGUUUCGAAAAACUGCUCGUCUUCUCUCUGGGUAAACUCUAAGAUUUCCCUGCGAAUGGCAUUGGUUUUAUGCACUGGGAAGUAUUUAUUCAAAAAUUUUGUUACCAUUUGUUCCCAUUAUGUAAUGUUAUUAGCAGGCAAUAUAUUGAGCCGUGAACAAGCUCUAUCCUUUAAAGAAAAUGAGAAUAAUCUAAGUUUAACAUCAUUGUCUGAAAAAUUCUCAUAUUUAAAAGUUUGACAAACAGCAUGAAAAUCAUUCAGAUAAUUAUAUGGGUCCUCAUUUUCUAAGCCAUAGAAUGUUGAGAGACAAUUUAACACACUAGGUUUUAGUUCAAAACUCCUAGCAGCUACAUUUGGGUAUCUUAUGCAUGAUGUGCUCAAAUUAGCUAAGGGACUGAAGUAGUCCUUAAAUGGCCUCUCCUCUGGUGGUUGUUGUUGUUGUUGCAAAUUCAUUUCACUUUUAUUUUUAAUUGCAACGUGUUUGUGUGGACGAAGUGUUUUUUCAACUUCAAGGUCUACAAGCUCAAGAUUAGGUAAUAAUAACCUUCGACCAUGCAUGCAAAGAACAAAAAAAUAAAUGGAAACAAAACAAAUAAAAAUAAAAAUAAAAAAGAAGGAGAAAUUACGGUACUAACCUUAUUACGCUAUUACAACCUUACUAUAACACUCUAAAAAAAAUACGUGAAAUAAAUUAACUAAAAAUAAAUUAAUAAGAUAAACAAAAAAUUACAAAGAAAAAUAAAUUGAAAAUUAAAUUACAGAAUUUUAAAGAAGAGAAAAAGAAAAGAAAUUCUUACCUCAAACUGUAGAUUCACUUUUUUUUCUUUUUUCUUUUUUAAUAAGAGAAAAAAUUACAAGAAUACAAUUAAAAGAAAUUAUUUACAAAAAUAAUUUCUACAAAUUAAAAUAACUUACCUCCCCGGGAACGGCGCCAAAAACUUGUUGUGCAAAUUUUAUUGAACUCGCAAGUGUACGAAUCUACUGUAGAAUAGAUUAAUGGUGAUGAGUGUCGAUCCCACGAGGAGGUAGAUUUUAAUUAUGUGUAGAAUUAAUUUUCUAAAUGGGUGGUUGGAUUUGUGGUAAAAAUGAUUUGGAAUAUCCUAAAAUUUAAAUUGAAAUGGCAGAAUUAAAUUAAGUGGAAACUAUUAUAAUUGAAGCACUUGGGUAUCUGGAUUCGCAUCAACAUGCACCAUGGGCUAAAUAUUUCUUAUUAAUGCCAACUAAAUCAUGAGGGGGGAAUCCAUACCUCAUGAACCACACUCUAAUCAAUAUGGUGCUAAGGGCUUAUCGUGCCAAAUAAUAAUAAUCUUGUACUAGGGAGCCGGUGAAACCAGAGCGGUAUCUAGACAAGAUUAUUACUAUUUGUCAAUGAAAAGUCAAAAUAUCCACAAUUCUAGACAAGAUUAUUACUAUUUGUAAGGGCUUAUCGUGCCAAAUAAUAAUAAUCUUGUACUAGGGAGCCGGUGAAACCAGAGCGGUAUCUAGACAAGAUUAUUACUAUUUGUCAAUGAAAAGUCAAAAUAUCCACAAUAAUUAGAGGGGAAGAGAAAUUAAAUUUACCAAAUAAAGCCCAUGGCACAUGUUGAGACUUCACCUUCAACCCAAGCUUAAAAAGAAACUUAGUCACUCAUAAUUGAACUAGGGGCAAAAUAGAAAUUUAUUAAAAUACGUAGAAAAUACAAGAUGGAGAAGGAAUUACAAAAAAUUGAACUCAAAAAUGAAUUCAGGGAUGUCAAAUUAGGGGGGAGAGUCCCUUUUUUAUAGAUACAUUGAGUAAAUUAUGGUCAUCAGAUUAAAAACAUUUCGGACGCUCAAGAUUGCGCCACGUCAUCAAUCAACAGUACACAGUUUGACCACACGGUUUGAACAGUGAUGUGGUUUGGUUGUAAGUUAUCCUGUGUACAUGCAUAUACUGUACGCACAAUUUUUGGUCCACUUAUAUGCUGCCAUGUCAUCGAUCAACAGUACAUAAAAAUUUUAGUCCAAUAGAAUCAUGACACCUCAUUAGUCAAUGUCACAUCAUCGAUUUGUCUAUGUAAACAGUGUCGUGAACAGUAACGUCGAUAGUACCAUACAUGUGAAUAGUACCGUAUAUGUAAACAGUGCUAUUUUUCCUUUUAUGCUCCUCCUAAUGUUUUCAACUGUCCUGAGUUCAAAAGUGAUGUCUGUUUUGCUGUUUGAACUCUCGUUCAUUGUAAAAUGAUCACGAUACCCCUAAAAUACAUAAAAUACUUAAUUACAAUAAAACACACAUAAUUAAAUUACAAUAGACUAAAAUACAUAAAAAUAGAAGUGUUAGUAAGACUUGAAAUGUAAAAUAACGAUUUUCUCCUUUAUAAAUAUACACUUUCUAACACUCAACAACAUACAUAUUUUAAUUACUUGAUUUGGGAGGACUAGAAAUAAGUUAAGACAUUUCCUACAUUCUGUUUUUCACCAAAAUCUAUCCGAGUUACAUGAUAUGGUCAUGAUCGAGAUAUUGUGAAAAGCAGUGGUAAAGCUAAGGUUUUAUAUUAAAUUAGACUAAAACAAAAAAAUAACAAUUAACUGAGAAAGCGGUAAUUUAUAUAAUUAUAUUUGAUAAACUAAAAAUAAAAGUAUCUACAUGAAAUUUUGAAGGUACUAGCAGGGGCAGCCCAGGAUAGCCCUCCGCUAGCUUUGCCACUGAACCUAAUAAAAUAAAUGGAAAAAAAGGAUCUAAGUUUUAAAUAUUAGGGAAAUAUGUUUUUAACAGUAUGAUUGAUUAAUUAAUCAAUCAAUUAAUUACGUAUAAUAAAUUACGACUUGAUUUUAGACGGCUAGAUAAUAUAAAUUUCAUUAAGAAAUGAGUUUAUUCCUUGGGUAAAUGCUCAUUUAGUUUUUAUAUUUUGACUUAAGUGUAUAUUUAGUCCAUAUAUUUAAAAUGUACCUUAAGACACCCUUAAUAUGUUUAAAGUGUUUCUUCUUCAACUUAUAUCCCUAACCCAUCAAAUUCAUCGAAUGAAGAAGCUGUCCGUGAUAAUGCAUGAUUACAGUACUUAUGUUCAUGGAGUAAAAAACAAUAAUCCUUCUAAAUUUAGCUUUUAGAUUUGGUAAAUUUAGCCCUUAAAUUCAGCUACGAGUAGAAGGAAUUUGAUUAGAUAAUAGCAGUUUUAAAGUAUUUGAGAUUAUUCAAUUAUAAGAAUAAGAUGUCUUGUAAUAAGACUGCUUGUGUAUUGAAAUAUAUGGAUUGUGUAAUAUAUAUUGAUAAUAUUUAAAUGUUAUGAAAGGUUUUGCAAUAUAAAUUGAUUUUUGUUGUUAUUUCUCAUUGCCUUUUAAUUUUAUCAACAAAUCAAUGGGCAACAUGUCAUUUUAUAUUUUUAUUUUUUAAUUAAUAAAUAUAAUAUUGAUACCAUAGUAACAAUAAUCACAAACACUAAUAUAGUAUUGUAAUGUUCUGAUACUAUGGUGUCAUGAUUUUGGUGAUACUAUAAUAAUAGUAAUCACUGAUACUAUACUCGUGACACCACAAACAAGUGUCACUAUUUUUUGGACUGCCAGAUUAAUGACACAAUUAGGAAGUGUCAGUAAUUACUUUUAGUGUAAUCUAGUAGUGUAAUUACUGACACUAUUCUAAUGUCAGUAAAGACUAUUUUUCUAGUAGUGUAAUUUAAUUUUCCUUUUAAGUUAAUCAAGGGAAGUAAUUUUCCUGUAUUAUAAAUAGAGAGGUCUCUUUUUUUUUUUUUUGGUUACAAAGGGGCUCUCAACAAAGAGCUAAGAAGCUAAGAAGAAACAAUAGAGAGGUCUCUUAUUGUUUUAAUAAUCUCAGCUUCAAUUAUCCAAUAAAACCGCUCUUUUAUAACUCCCUCUCUAAUCUCGCUUAAACGCGUUAUUAAAAAUCUCAUUGAAUUGUUUGGAUUAGAGCAAAAUUCUCCUCAUUGAGUUGUUUGGAUUAGAGCGAGAUCUAAUCACCCUUUGAUUAGAGCCUAAGCCUAAGCUAAUCACAUUGACUUGUUAGCAUGAAUCUCCCGAAGCUCAGCUAGUAAGAUGCGUCUAUUUAUGAAGAGAACACUUGAAUAAACAAAUGACAAGCAGCACCAACAAUUCUCAAGCUGAACCUUUUCUGUCACCGGUUGAGCAGUACAGGAGAGAACACUGUCAUUAGCAAUAGAUUCAUCCAUUAAAGCCCAAAGUUUGAAGUAGGAUUAACAGUGACCGCUAGUGAAGAAAGAUGAAUACGAUGCCGAAACCACUUGGGAUUGAAUUAAAAAUCCACCCUCGGUUCCGCAAUACCAGCAAAUGAAGGAUUAUGAAUAAAACGAACAUUGGCUAAUUCAUUGAGGACGCAGGAUGUCCUCAAUGGCUUUUCUGUAGCCCUUAAACGCCUUUUCUGAGAUUUGACAUUACAAUCUUGAAUCCAUCAAUUAUGAUGGAUUGGCUAAUUCAGAAUAAAACGAACAUUGGCUAAUUCUUCUUUUGAAUUCAGAUUAGCCACUCCCCGAAUAUUCCAAACUAAGAAUUUCAUUGAGGACGAAGGAUGUCCUCAAUGGCUUUUUCUGUAGCCCUUAAACGCCUUUUCUGAGAUUUGACAUUACUAUCUUGAAUCCAUCAGUUAUGGCUCUAAUAAAGAGUUUUGAGUCUGAGAAGGAUCUUCUCUUGAUUUUAACUCACCUCAGCUUUUAAAGGUUUUGUGCCGCUUGCUCAAUUAUUAUUUUGGGGCCUUUUUUCCAUGACUAGUAGCAUUGCUCUUGUUCAAGCUUUUAAUCCUAUUUAUAAAGCCCAUAGGCACUGGCUUUUUUCAAGAAGAACACUUUCUAAAUAGUAUGACAGGUGGCAUUUAUCUGUUGGAUAUAUACACACAUAAAUAUAUAUGUAUAUGUAUAUAUGUAUAUAGAGUUUUCACAUUAUUGGGAAAUUUUAAAUUCGCGUGAAAGUUUGUGACGACAUCUGCACUUAAGUGUGUGUGUGUGUGUUUGUGUAUACUUUCCCGUGACAUCAGAAUGAAAUAAAGUAAAAUUCGGCAUUUCACAACUGUUAAUAUAUUUUAACCAUUAUUUGUUCAGUUAACAAUAGCAUGGAUCAUAUCCUGUUAAUGCGAAUUCGUGAUUUAUUCAUUCAUCUAAUUAAAAAUAAGAUUUCCUUUGUUGAGAAGUACAAAAUUAAAAUAAUAUUUGGAAAUUGAAACAUUAUUACUUUAUUCCUUUUCUAACAGUUACCAUGGACUUAAAAAAAAAGAAUAGUGUUAUUAUUAAUUAAGUGCGAAUAAUAUCACCGGCAAUGUCAUAAAUACGAAAUUUGAUUACAUAAAUACUAGAAUCACUUGAAGUGAUUUAAUGAUAUUGUAUUUCAUUGAUAAUUAAUAUAAAGGAUAUUGAUAACACUAUGAAAUGAGAGUUAUCAUGACACUUUUAAAUUUAAAUCAAGAUUACUUAGAGAGUAAAUGACAUGUUUUUAUUACAUUUUAGUUAUAUUUUGCAUGAAUAUCAAUUUUAGUUUAUUUUUAAUAAAUUGUGUUGUUUUAGAAUAAUUUGUGUGCUUAGAUCGUAUACAUAAUUGUAGGUGACCGGAAGCUCAAAUUUCAAGGGAGGAAUGUUGUUGCAAUAGGCUUGCAAAGAUAAGGAAAAAACAUGGUUAUAGAAUAAUUGAAACAAGUCUGAAACAAUGUAUCUGUUGAAGCCAUUACUGUAGCACUCUUGCUGUAGCAAUUUUGGAGGAUUAACAAAGAAGAUUUCGCAAGAGAUACUUAGAAGAUUGCAAUCUGGAGUUUUUUAAAAUGGAAGAUACGCACCCUAAACAUCUGGUUGCCCUAAUUCUAAGCUAUAAAAGGAGCAUACACGCAAAGAAAAGAGGAGAGUCGUCACCCAAGCAGAAAAACCGUAAAGAAACAAAAGAAAAACAGAAUUCAAGAGAGAGAUUGAAGGCUGCACAAGAGGAGAAAACACAGAGAUCCAUUGAAAAUCAGUCCUUCUUGUUCUUUUCUUAUUUAUAUUUAUUCAUGGGGAUGUAUUUGAAGGCUAAAACUCUUUUAUUUAUUUUUCUUUCGCAAACCAUGAACUGAAUUUGAUUGUAGUUGAGUGAUAAACGAUCUAAUAGAUGUUUGACUGACAUAUGCGUGUUGCUCUAUGUUUGUUGCAGCAGUUUGUCUUAAUUGUAUUUGUUUUAAUUCCCUAUUUUGGUUGAUCACCCAUUUAGUGGAUACUAGCUAAGAAGGAGCUUUAAAAAGGUCAGACUUAGUGGAACAAAUUAAGACAAUACUUGGUUUUAGAUUGGGUUUCGCAAUUUGAGUUAAUCUCGAUUUGAAUAGGGUCAUACUUAAUCCAAGAUUAGUGAAGAACUAGACAAAAGGAUUCACCUUGCAGGGUAAUUAAAACCUAGAACGCAUAUUGUUAUAUCUAAUAGGAAGGGAAUAAUGUUGUUUUUCCCUGGUUAACCAUAAAUAAUUUGGCCAUUCUGACUUCCUUAACCUCCUUGUGCAUUUACUGGUUGUAUUUUUCCUCUAGGGUUCAAAUUCCCAAUAUCUUACAAAUCAUCCAUAGCUACAGUAGCUUUUGAAUUUCUUUACUCUUUUCUCAAUCUCCUUGCAGUUCUUUCAAUUUCUGGAUCAAACUGGAAUUCAACAAGUUUAUAGUUGUGCAUGAAAGGGUUGUUAGAUCACUUCUAUCAACAAAAUAAACAAAUUAAAAUACAAUAAAAAAUUAGCACUGUUUAAGAUUAAUUUCACAAAUCACAAUGAAUAAUUAAUCUCUCGCAACGUCACCAAAAACUUGGUGUGUGCAAUCUCUAACGUUAUGGGUGUCAAUGUACAAAGUAGCAAACGGACGCGCUAUCGAUGACUAGAGGGAGAUAAAUAGAGCGUGGCCCUAAUGAGAGUUACAAUAAUGGUAGAUCAAAAUCAAGAAGUAAAAAGAAUGUCAAAUGCUACAAUAGUGGCAAGAAAGAGCAUGUCAAGAAAGAAUAUUUGAACAGCCAAAAGAGAAGAGAGGGUAAAGAUCUUGAGUCACCAAAUGCCCAGAGGUGUGUAGCAAGUACCUUAGAUGAUGGUGACGUUUUACACAGUGAGUUAGCAAUGGUUUCAGCUGCUGUACCGUACAUCCGCCUUGGCCGUACAGCAGUAGAUUCCAUUUACCCUACAAGGUGAAUCCCUAUGUCUAGUUCAUCAUUAAUUUCAUAUCAAGCAUGCCCCUAUUCAAAUUGAGAUUAACUUAACUUAGGAAACCCAAUCUAAAACCAAGUAUUGUCUUAAUGAGAUCCACUGAGUCAAACCUUUUUGACGCUCUUUCUAAGCUAGUAUCCCUAAAUGGGUGGUCAGCCGAAAUAAAGAAUUAAAUUAAGUGCAAUUAAGACAAAAUUCUAUAGCAAACACAAAGCAACAAACUUAUAUCAACCAAUCAUCCAUUAAGAUCGUUUAUCACUCAACUACAAUCAAAUUCAAUUCAUGAUUAGCGAUAGAAAAAUAAAUAAAAGAGUUUCAACCAUCAAAUACAUCCACAUGAAUAAAUACAAAAUAAGAAAAGAAUAAGAAGAACUAAUUUCUGAUUGAUCUCUGCAAUUUCUCAUGUUUUGCAGCCUUCAAUCUCUCUCUUGAUUUAUGUUUUCUUGUGUUUUUCUUUGCGGUUUUUCCCUUGGUUGACAACUCUUCCUUUUUCUUUGUGUGUGUGCUCCUUUUAUAGCUUAUAAUUAGGGCAACUAGAAGUCUAGGGUGCGUAUCUUCCAUUUUUGGAAACUCCAUAUUGUAAUUUUCUAAGUAUGUCUUGCAAAACCUUCUCUAUCAAUGCUGCAGGACUGCUACAGCAACGGCUACUGCAUGUUACUUGAAAUUUAAACUUCCGAUCACCUGCAAUGAUGCAUAUGAUCUAAGCACAAAUUAAUCUAAAACAAACUCAAUUUAUUAAAAAUAAACUAAAAUGGAUAUUCAUGCAAAAUAUAACUAAAAUGCAAUAAAAGCAUGUCAUUUACUCUCUAAGUCUUACCGAUUCAAGUCUAAAAUUGUCAUGAUAACUUUUAUUUCAUAGAGUUAUCAAUGAUAUGUGAUGCCAUUCGGGUUGUUCAAGCAUCAAGUGAUUCAUGCGCUUGAUGAAUUAAGUUCUUGAGACUUUUUACUGCAAAUUUGUCAUAAUGUAUUUUGAUGAUAUAUUGUUUUAUUCUGAUGAUAUGGUAGCGUAUUUGGAGCAUUUGAGAAUAGUUAUGGAGGUGUUGUGGAGAAAUAAGUUUUAUAUUAAUCUGAAGAAGUAUAACUUUCUACAGAGUAAUAUAGAGUUUUUAGGUUUUAUAGUUGGUGUAGAUGGAGUUAGAGGUAUUAAGUCAAAGAUACAAGCCAUUUGAGCUUGCGCUUAAGACUGUGGGUGAAGUUAGAAUUUUUAUAGGAUGGCAAUGUUUUAUAGGAGAUUUAUUCAUGAUUUUAACAUUAUAGCUGCACCUAUUAUAGAAUGUUGAACAAAGGGAAGUGCAAGUAAGAGGAAGAGGAAGAAGCAAGUUUUGCUUUAUUAAUGUAAAAGUUGUCCAUUGCACCUGUAUUAGCCUUGCCACACUUCAAUAAGUUGUUUAAGGUCGAUUGUGAUGCUUUUGGCAAGGGUAUUGGGACUGUUCUUUCCCAAGAAGGCGACCAAUUAAGUAUAUGAGUGAGAAGCUAAACAGAGCAUGGCUGAAGUGGUGUACUUAUGACCAAGAGUUUUAUGACAUCCUUAGGGCGUUAAAGUCAUGGGAGCAUUACUUAGUUUAGAAGAAGUUUGUGCUUUACAGUGAUCAUUAAGCCUUGAAGUACUUUAACAGCCGGCAAAAUCUGAGUAAGAUGCAUGUGACCUGGGUAAGCUAUAUGAAGAAGUUCACUUUUAUUGUGAAGCAUAAGUCUGGGCAGUAGAAUAAGGUGGUAGAUGCACUUAGCAGGUGAGCAAAUUUACUGGUAACUCUUGUCAAUGAAGUUAUUAGUUUUGAUUGCUUGAAGGAGUUGUACGUUGAAGAUGAAGACUUUGCGCAAAUUUGGGAUCGUUGCAUCAACCAUCAAAAUGCGAAUGAUUUCCUAAUUCUAGAUGUGUAUCUAUUCGGUGCUAGUUAAUUAUGUGUGCCUUAAAGCUAUUUAAAGGAACAGAUCAUCUGUGAGUUACAUGGCAAAGGAGGUAGACAUAUUAGAUGAGAUAAGACUAAAUGCUUAUGAAAGAGCGUCAUUAUUUGCUGUAGUUGAAUAGAGAUAUGUGAAAGAUCGUGAAAAGAUGUUUUGCUAAGAAGGUAAGGGACACGUGCAAAGUAUAGAAUUAUACAUGCCAUUACUUGUUCUAGAAAAUAUUUAGUUAGACUUUUCAAUGGAUUUUAUGUUAGGAUUGCCAAGCACAAGGAUAGGUCAAGAUUCUAUAUUGGUGGUGGUGGAUAGAUUUUCGAAGAUGGCGCGUGUUAUUGCUUCUAAAAAGACUGAAGAUGCCACUUUAGUUGUGCAUUUGUUCUUUUGAGGUAUUGUGUUUGCAUGGUGUUCCAAAGACUAUCCCUUUUGACAGAGAUGUGAAGUUCAUCAAUAAGUUUUAACGUUAUCUCUAGGAUAAGUUUAGCGCACAAUUCCAGUUUAGUAGUGCUUUUCAUCUACAAACAGACAGUCAAACAGAGGUUGUUGAUAGCUCUAUAAAAUGAGAGUUAUCAUGGCACUUUUAGACUUAAAUCAAUACUACUUAGAGUAAAUGAUGUGUUUUCAUUGCAUUUUUGUUAUAUUUUGCAUAAUCAUUUAUCUUAGUUUAUUCUUCACAAAUUUUGUUUGAUUUAGAAUAAAUUGUGUGCUUAAAUCAUAUGCAUAAUUGUAGGUGACCGAAAGCUCAAAUUUCAAGGAAGGAAUGCUAAUGCGAUAAGCUUGCAAAAGAUGGAAAAGAACUUGGCUACAGAAAAAUUGAAACAAAUCUGGAACAGUGCAGUUGCUGUAGUCAUUGUUGUAGCAACCAUUGCCAUUGUUGUAGCAAUCCUGUAACAACGAAAGAGAAAAUUUUACAGAAUAUUACGAUCUGCAGUUUCCUGCUGUACCGUACAUCCGCCUUGGCCGUACAGCAGAACGGCUACUGCAUGUUACUUGAAAUUUAAACUUCCGAUCACCUGCAAUGAUGCAUAUGAUCUAAGCACAAAUUAAUCUAAAACAAACUCAAUUUAUUAAAAAUAAACUAAAAUGGAUAUUCAUGCAAAAUAUAACUAAAAUGCAAUAAAAGCAUGUCAUUUACUCUCUAAGUCUUACCGAUUCAAGUCUAAAAUUGUCAUGAUAACUUUUAUUUCAUAGAGUUAUCAAUGAUAUGUGAUGCCAUUCGGGUUGUUCAAGCAUCAAGUGAUUCAUGCGCUUGAUGAAUUAAGUUCUUGAGACUUUUUACUGCAAAUUUGUCAUAAUGUAUUUUGAUGAUAUAUUGUUUUAUUCUGAUGAUAUGGUAGCGUAUUUGGAGCAUUUGAGAAUAGUUAUGGAGGUGUUGUGGAGAAAUAAGUUUUAUAUUAAUCUGAAGAAGUAUAACUUUCUACAGAGUAAUAUAGAGUUUUUAGGUUUUAUAGUUGGUGUAGAUGGAGUUAGAGGUAUUAAGUCAAAGAUACAAGCCAUUUGAGCUUGCGCUUAAGACUGUGGGUGAAGUUAGAAUUUUUAUAGGAUGGCAAUGUUUUAUAGGAGAUUUAUUCAUGAUUUUAACAUUAUAGCUGCACCUAUUAUAGAAUGUUGAACAAAGGGAAGUGCAAGUAAGAGGAAGAGGAAGAAGCAAGUUUUGCUUUAUUAAUGUAAAAGUUGUCCAUUGCACCUGUAUUAGCCUUGCCACACUUCAAUAAGUUGUUUAAGGUCGAUUGUGAUGCUUUUGGCAAGGGUAUUGGGACUGUUCUUUCCCAAGAAGGCGACCAAUUAAGUAUAUGAGUGAGAAGCUAAACAGAGCAUGGUUGAAGUGGUGUACUUAUGACCAAGAGUUUUAUGACAUCCUUAGGGCGUUAAAGUCAUGGGAGCAUUACUUAGUUUAGAAGAAGUUUGUGCUUUACAGUGAUCAUUAAGCCUUGAAGUACUUUAACAGCCGGCAAAAUCUGAGUAAGAUGCAUGUGACCUGGGUAAGCUAUAUGAAGAAGUUCACUUUUAUUGUGAAGCAUAAGUCUGGGCAGUAGAAUAAGGUGGUAGAUGCACUUAGCAGGUGAGCAAAUUUACUGGUAACUCUUGUCAAUGAAGUUAUUAGUUUUGAUUGCUUGAAGGAGUUGUACGUUGAAGAUGAAGACUUUGCGCAAAUUUGGGAUCGUUGCAUCAACCAUCAAAAUGCGAAUGAUUUCCUAAUUCUAGAUGUGUAUCUAUUCGGUGCUAGUUAAUUAUGUGUGCCUUAAAGCUAUUUAAAGGAACAGAUCAUCUGUGAGUUACAUGGCAAAGGAGGUAGACAUAUUAGAUGAGAUAAGACUAAAUGCUUAUGAAAGAGCGUCAUUAUUUGCUGUAGUUGAAUAGAGAUAUGUGAAAGAUCGUGAAAAGAUGUUUUGCUAAGAAGGUAAGGGACACGUGCAAAGUAUAGAAUUAUACAUGCCAUUACUUGUUCUAGAAAAUAUUUAGUUAGACUUUUCAAUGGAUUUUAUGUUAGGAUUGCCAAGCACAAGGAUAGGUCAAGAUUCUAUAUUGGUGGUGGUGGAUAGAUUUUCGAAGAUGGCGCGUGUUAUUGCUUCUAAAAAGACUGAAGAUGCCACUUUAGUUGUGCAUUUGUUCUUUUGAGGUAUUGUGUUUGCAUGGUGUUCCAAAGACUAUCCCUUUUGACAGAGAUGUGAAGUUCAUCAAUAAGUUUUAACGUUAUCUCUAGGAUAAGUUUAGCGCACAAUUCCAGUUUAGUAGUGCUUUUCAUCUACAAACAGACAGUCAAACAGAGGUUGUUGAUAGCUCUAUAAAAUGAGAGUUAUCAUGGCACUUUUAGACUUAAAUCAAUACUACUUAGAGUAAAUGAUGUGUUUUCAUUGCAUUUUUGUUAUAUUUUGCAUAAUCAUUUAUCUUAGUUUAUUCUUCACAAAUUUUGUUUGAUUUAGAAUAAAUUGUGUGCUUAAAUCAUAUGCAUAAUUGUAGGUGACCGAAAGCUCAAAUUUCAAGGAAGGAAUGCUAAUGCGAUAAGCUUGCAAAAGAUGGAAAAGAACUUGGCUACAGAAAAAUUGAAACAAAUCUGGAACAGUGCAGUUGCUGUAGUCAUUGUUGUAGCAACCAUUGCCAUUGUUGUAGCAAUCCUGUAACAACGAAAGAGAAAAUUUUACAGAAUAUUACGAUCUGCAGUUUCCUAAUCUGGAAGACACAUGACCUAGGCUUCCGUUUACCCUAAUUUUCAAUUUUAAAAGGAGCACACAUCAUAAGGAAAAGAGGGAGCCGUCACCCAAAGAGAAAAACCACAAAGAAACAAAAGAAAAACAUGAUUCAAGAGAGAGAUUAAGGGCUACAAAAGAGGAGAAUUUACAGAAUUCAUUCGGGAACUCAGUCCUUCUUAUUUUUCUCUUGUUUUCUUAUUUACUAUUUAUUCAUGGAGAUGUGCUUGAUGACUGAAACUUUGUUCUUUAUUUUUCUUUUGCAAACCAUGAACUAAAUUUAUUUGUAGUUGAGUGAUAAACAAUCUUGAUGGUUUAUUGAUUGAAUUUAUAUGUUGCUGCAUGUUUGCUGUAUCAUUUUGUUUUUGUAGCAUUUAUUUUUAUUCAUUAUUUCGGCUGAUCACUCAUUUAAUGAUGCUAGCUAAGAAAUAGCCACAAAGGACCUAUCUUAGUAGAACAUAUCAGAGCAAUACUUGGUCUUAGAUUGGGUUUCCUGAAUUGAGUUUUACUUGAGUCCAAAAGAGUCAUGCUUGAUCUAAGAUUAGUGAUGAACUAGAUAUAGGGAUUCACCUUGUACGGUAAUUAUAACCUAAGUGUGUAAUGCUAUAUGUUAUGUUGGCAUAACAACUGAUCACUGUUAGGUUGCAUAUAGAUAUAAGACAUCCAACAAGCAACAGCUGAGGAUACAUAAGGAUUUUGCCCAGUACUGUAGCAGAUGCUGGAGAAAUCGGACAAACAUUAGAAAAAUAGUCAAAACAAUUUAGAGAAUUUAUCCACUCAACUACUCUAUAUUCCCAUUGGUUUUAUCUUUGAGUUUGACCUGAUAAUUUACUUUGUUACAUUUUAUUUAUUGCGUUUUUAUUUUAAUUAGUAUGUUAGUUUUAUUAAUUGUUUUAUUUUAAUUUAGAACAAAAUCAACACUGUUAAAAUUAUUGUAGCAAAUCUGAUAACAUCAAUCCCUGUGGAGACGAUAUUGAAUACUCAUCAUUAUAUUACUUGUUGUAUACACUUGCACAUUGACACCAAUACCAUUUGAAUUUAGUACUAAUAGUGGUCAAUCGCACUUUGGGCAAUAUGUCACGGUGUGUUUGUGCUGACAAGCAACGAAACUGGGAAUCCACCAUACUUCAAGUCAAGUUUGCUUACAAUAGCAUGGUCAAUCUAGCAAGACCCCUUUUGAGAUUGUCAACACUUGUUUCCCACGCCAUGUUUGUGAUCUGGCUAUCAUGCCUACAAGGGUAAGAGGAAGUAAAACAAUAGAUAAUUGUUGGUAUAAAUUCAAAUGCUAGUGGUGUCAAUGUGCAAGUGUACACAACAAGUAAUAUAAUAAUAAGUAUUCAAGAUCGUCUCCACAGGGAUUGAUGUUACUGAAAUUGAUACAGCAAUCUUAACAGCGCAGUUUUCCUUAAAUGAAAAUAUAUUAACAAUUAAACUAAUACACUACGUAAUAAAAUGCAAUACAUGACUAAGCAGAAAACAAACUUUAACGUCACACACAUAAAGAUAAAAUCAAUAGGAGUAAAGUAGUUGAGUGAUUAAACUCUCUUAAUGGUUUUGACUAUUUCUUUUAAUUCUAAGUUCAGUUGCUAGAGCAUCUGCUAUAACAUUGGGCAGAAUCCUUAUGUAUCCUCAGCUGUCGCAUGUUGAAUGUCUUAUAUCUAUAUGCAACCUAACAGUAACCAAUUGUUAUGCCAACAUAAGAUAUAGCAUUACACAUUUAGAUUCUAUUUACCCUACAAGGUGAAUCCCAAUGUCUAGUUCAUCACUAAUUUUAGAUUAAGCAUGGCCCUUUUGGAAUUAAGUAAACUCAACUCAGGAAACCCAAUCUAAAACGAAGUAUUGUUCUAAUAUGUUCCACUAAAAUAGGCCCUUUUGUGGCUCUUUCUUAGUUUGUAUCAUUAAAUGGAAAGCUUUACCAAAACAAAAUGCUAUAGGAAAUAUGCAGCAACAUAUAAAUUCAGUCAAUUAAAAUUGUCUAUCACUCAACCACAAGUAAAUUUAGUUCAUAGUUUGUGAAAAGAAAGUAAGCAACAAUGUUUCAGCCAUCAAAUACAUCUUCGUGAUCAAAGAAUAAACAAGAAAACAAGAAAAAAAUAAGAAAGACUAAAUUCCAAUUGAUUCCCACAAAUUCUCCACUGGUGCAGCCUUGAUUCUUGCUCUUGAAUUCUGUUUUUCCUUUGUUUCUUUUAGGUUUUUUAUCUAGGUUGACAACUUCUCUUUUCUUUUGCGUGUGUGCCUCUUUUAUAGCACAAAAUUAGGGUAAACGGAGGUUUAGGGCGCACAUCUUCCAGAUUAGGAAACUACAUAUCGCAAUCUGUUAUUUGCUUCGCACGAGAUUUUUUCUAUCAAUAUUCCAGGAUUACUACAGCUCUGGUUGCUACAGCAUCUGCACUGUUCCAGACUUGCUCUAAUUCUUCUAUAGCCAUGUUCUUUUGUCCUUUUUGUAAGCCCAUUGCCACAACAUCCUUCCCAUUAAAUUUGAACUUCCGGUUACCUACAAUUAUGCAUAUGUUUUAAGCAGACAAAUAUUUGAACUCAAACAAACUUUAUUAAACUUAAACUGAAAUGGAUGUUAAUGCAAACUGUCAUUAAAAUGCACUAAAACACAUCAAUUACUCUCUAAGUAAUCUUGAUUUAAACCUAAAAGUAUCAUGAUAACUCUCAUUUCAUAGAGUUAUCAAUAAUAUGGUAGAAAAGGCUCUUUAGAUCCAUGUUGAGGUUGAAGCUCACUUAUAGGCUUCCAAUGCUAAGUACAAGGCUAAGGCAGACAAGUACUGACAUAAGAAGGUGUUUUAAGAGGGUGAUUUGGUGAUGGCGCAUUUGUGGCAUAGUCGAUUCCUUAGUAUUCAUGCCAAGUUGGAAAAGUGAAAGUACAAUCCAUUUCAUAUGGCACAAAUACAUUAAUGACAAAACUUAUGUGCUUCAGCUACUGGACAAUUGGAAUAUCUCUCACACUUUCAACGUGACUCAUUUGUUCGCAUAUCAUCCAGAUGAUGAGGAGUUGUAUCAGACUAACUCGAGAAUGAGUUUUUUUUUUUCAAGUGAGGGGGAUUGAUGUAGGAUGAUUGUGUAUUACAGGUAGGAUACCUUCCGGAGGCCAUAACCUAGGCUACAGGUGUUCAUUUUCAACAUGUAAUUAAUGCAACGGAAAUUUAAGGUUCUAAUAUUCCGUUGAUUCUAUAGAAUACUGGUAUUAAAGAAUAAACUAAAUUCACAUUGAUUCGAAAAAGAAUUCUACGAAUUUAGGGGGUUAAGGCUCAUUGAUUUUGCAGAAUAUCGAGAAUUAACUAAAUUCAAAUACUCACACAAAAGAUUUGAAAAUUAAAAAUAUUAUUGAAAAUCAAAAUCUGCCUUUAAAGGCUACAAGAGAGAGCUACUUAUAUUAGUAAUACUUAUCCUAAAUAAAAGUCCUAAAUCUUAGUUAAUAAGGAAACUAAUCCUAGUAUAAUAUAGACCCCUAAGCUUACGAUGAGACGUAUCAAAUCCAUAAAGCUUGCAUUUGUUCUACCUUGUGGUCGAGCCAAAAAUUUCAUUUCAUUCCUAGAAGUUUUUCAGUUUUAAGAUUUUUUCCUAUUUUUCCUGAUUCUUCUAGGAUUUUUAUCUUUUCUUCUAGAACUCAAAUUUGAAUGCCAUUUGUUUCCUUUUCUUAUUUUUAUUAGGAGAUUUUUAUUAUAAAAGAAUAUUUUAAAUCUACCUAUUUUGGUAAAUUUGCGAUAUUUAGAAUUAUUAUAUAAAGGAGUCUAAAACGCUAGUUUUAUAUUAUUCCGAAUUAUUCAAUAAUGAUAUAAGACACACACACACAUAGUAGUCAACCUAUUUCCAAUGUUUCCGUUUCAUCACUUAUGCAACAGAACAACAAGCAAAUGAUAUAAGACAUCACACACACACACACAGAGCCUAGAAGAAUCAGGAAGCUUCCCACACCAACCUUUAAGAUGACUUCCUAGUCACUGUCGGCUGCUUGAAUUUAUUUAUUUAUUAUAUACAUUAUAAUUAUUGGCAAUAAAUUGUUAUUGCCCACAAAGUAAAGGAACAUACAUAUUGACUUUAGAUUACAACGCCUAAUACUAGAGUCACCUAAUAUUGCCCACAAAUUAAAGGAGAAUAUGUAUGUACAUAUAUAUUUGGAUGGAAAUUUUUCAAUCUAGGAUUUUAAAGUGCGGGAAAGUUCAAGAAAAUUUUGAAACUGUGCAGUUUUAAAUCUUAAUUUCAUAAUUCUAUUAAACCUCACAGUUUUAAUAUUUUCCCAAAUUUUUCCGUACUUUAAAAUUCUGGACUGAAAAACUACUAUGUGUGUGUGUGUGCGUGCGCAUAUAUGUGUGUGCGUGCGCAUAUAUACAAACCAAUUACUGUAGCCAUCAUGUGAGCCAUUGAAAAUUGUUUCUGAAAACCGCCACAUUUUGGCAGUUCUGGCCACAUUUUCCAAAUUAAAUUAAUAAUAUUUUGAAAGAAAAGACUAUUAUUGCUGAUAGUUUGUCUUGGAAUUACCUACGCCCCAAUCACCCACCUCGGCACACUCGGCUACUUCAUUCUCUAUAUAUACCCCACAUGCGUACGUAUUAUAUCAAACCAGAAUCAAGAACUCGCAAAACCAACUUAAUUACUUUGUAAUUUUGAUUCCGGAAGAAGUUAUCUUUUCUAUUUUGAAGAUUAUGGAAACUAUCUGCGCAGGUUUUUUGAGCAAUUUUAGUUGAAUAUCAUUUAUAAUUCUUAUUUUAAUAUAUUUAUGAUUAAUUCUUCUAAUAUGAAUUUUUCAGUUAAUAAUAAUUGGUCAGAGGGACUCGUCCUGCUAAUUCUUCUUCUCAGUGUUGCUGAUGAUGACAAUGUGAAUGACAAUCUUGAUCUUCUUGUUGUCCCUCAAUACGGGAGAAAUGCCGACUACACUGGUUAAUUACACUGUUACUCUUUUAUGUUAUGUUUAAUUGUAUAAAAUAAUAAGUAUUGUUACUUAUCGUUUUGUUAAUUACGUGACUGUCAGUUUGGUUCAAUUCAACUGAUAAAAUCUCUAUAGACAUAAGAGAUUUUAUUUGUUUAUUUACGUGUAUUGUGUAUUCCUAAAAAAGGAAAUAAAUAAAUAAAUAAAUAUUGUUGUGUGUCUAUGAGUUAAUAUUUAGUCUAUCCUUGUUUGCUUAAUUAACUCUCUCUUCUUGAUUAUCUUUUUCCAAAACAAACUCCAAAUAAUGGUUAACUAAUUGUUGCAGCUAGCAAGUGAUCUUAGAUCAUAAUUUAUUGAAAUAGACAAUGCAAGUAAAUUUAUAAUUUCAACCUUUAAAACAGUCAUGCCGUUUAGUAGGCUUAGGUUAAUCAACAAAAUCUUCGGCCAUAAUCACUAUUAAUUUGUUAAUUAUUUUGUUAAAUAAUGCGAAGUUACAAAAUUUUGUCUCUGAAUGUUGAGUUAAAAGCCUUUAAUCAUAUAUAUGAUCCCAUCAUCUGAACAUUAUUUGUUAAUAAUUAUGUAGAAGAUCUAUUAACUAAUGGAUUGAAACAAAAAAAAAAACCGAAACCCAAAAAACCUCUCUCUAACUUUCUCUCUCUAAAAAUUAUCUCAACUCAUCUCUGAUGCCCUUCUUUCUUCAUCAUCCCUAAAUGGCUUUUAUGGCCCCUUCGGCCGCCAGUGAUGGCGAUCGGUCAUCACCGGUAAACACACUACCCCCGAGAAGAGUUUCACAGGUUCUUGGAUCCACCUAGGAAAUCUUUUAGGAAGCCACCAAAAUUCACCAACGAACCACCACCUGACCUAAGGCUACCAUCACCACCAGAACCUAAGCCUAGACGAUCAAAGAGAUUGCUCAACCAGUGGCAAACAGCCCAUAAUCCACAUAUACAAUUACCACAUACCCUUACGAACCACCCUGAAGGAGAGUCACCACCAACAUCCACUGCCUCUAUCCUUUCUAAACCUCGUCAGCAAUCGAUUACGGUGAAUGAUCAAGAAGAAAUGUCAGAAGAUCAUGAACAAGGCGCUCCACCUCUCCAUGCAAAUAGCUUCCAUGGCGGCCAAGAGGAUGACGAAAAUCGCCGUGAGGAAACAAAUCAGUCACCCCCUCAUAAAGGUGAAAACGGAAGUCAAUCUCCGACCAAAGGCUUCACCUCCAACCAUGAACAAUCGCAACUUGGUAAAUCACAAGAUCCAACCUCCAUCGCCCUUGUACAAGAUCCACAACAACUCACGGCUGUUAACCUUGUAACCACCGUGAAUAGCCAAGAUGAAGCUUCUCAACCACCCUUGGAUUGCACACCUUUUGGUCCAAAAACGGCAUCUCCCAAAAGUCAGCAAAGAGAACUAGCUUUAGUCCCACUCACAUGCAAAAUUCCCGAAAUUCCCUCACAAAUUUUGACUACAUGCAAUCAUAUCCACUCCACCACCACCCACCAAUUAUUGUCCCCCACUCACACUAAGCCUCAUGACUCCAAUCACUCCGCUUUGUCUUUUUUCCAAGAUUUAAACAACACCAAUUCCGCCUCCCAACAAAUUCCACGUGAAAACAUCACAGGCAAUGAUUUGUGGCUCCCACCACUCAUAUAUUAUCCCCUUCACAUGCCUCGGCCCCCACCACAAGGAAUGGCAAAAAGCGGAUCUAGACCGAGUUUUUCAAGUCCAGCUCAAGCUGCCUUAAGUUUAGUAUGAGGGUCUGGACCGGACUCGGGUCGGAUUUGGAUUUUAUUUAUUUUUAAAUUUUUUUUAAAUUAUUGUAAAUUUAAAAUAAAUUAAUAAUCAACAAGUUAUUAUAAUCAUAGAUAAAUAAAAGAAAAUAAAUAUUUUAAAGUAAAAUAAUAAAUAAAAUAAAUAAAAGCUCAUAACUUUAAUUUUUUUUUCAUAUUGAAUUCUCUUAUUCGAAUGCUCUAUUAAUUAAUUAACACAAAAG